rnacentral:lncRNA from 1 species
UUUUUUUUUUUUUUUUUUUUUUUUUGGUACUUUCGGGUUUUUUUCCAAGUAAUGAGGGAGAAGAAAUUUAUGCAAGAUUUUGACCAGUUCCAAUCAAGUUGUUGAAAAAAAAAUUGUCCCCAACUAGCUUAAAAACAGACCCUUCUUUCCAGAACAAGAACUAGGUAACUUUAUUGUAUUCUUAUUUUUUCAGCAGUGUAAAUCCAUUCAUAUGCAAAACUUAUUCCAUAUCUCUUAACAUUCCUAUUUUUUUUUUCACCAAUAACACAAACUUUGUUGUCUACAGCUGCUGCUCCAAGAAAAAAACAUUUGGAUAUGUACUGAACAAUAUUCUCAUCCAUUGUACAAAUAAGAACAGUGUUCCUUCAUAUUUUUUGCAUGUGAAUAGCCCAUCGUAACCUCAAUUCCCCAUUUUUUUUGUGUAUAUAAACAAUCUCAUGUUUUAAAAUGUUUCAUCUAUAACUGGCAGUGUGAAUGAAAACUAGGAUAUUUGCCGAUGGGGAAGAGCAGGCUGACCAUUUUUGUAUGUAAAUAGCAAGACAUUUGAUAAUGUUGUUAAAUUGUAUAAAUUUAGACAUUGCUCUCGUUCUACAGUCUCCAUUUUGAUUUCUAUGUGUUUAAAUAUGUGUGUGUUUGUGUUUACAGAAUAAUUUAAAGUUGAAUUUUCGACCCGCAACAACGUGCGGGUAAAAUCUUCUAGUAUGUUUCUAAAAAUCCAUAUGUCAAACUAAUCAUAAUAAAAAAUCAUUUGAGAUUUGUCAAAGAGUAGUUAAUUAGAUGAUUGUGUCCGGCUAUACACAGCCAAUUUCAUAUAUAAAAAAUAAUAGUUGGAUCCUUCCACCCAAAAAAAAAAAAAAAAAUGCACAUAUCCCUUACAAAAAACGUAUCUUCAUGUUAUAAGUUUUUCUUGAUCUUCAUUUGAAGAUUAACCAACAAAAGAUCUUUCAAAUCAGAAACCAUGUAGUCAUCCAAAUAUAUAGAACAAAUGGAUGAUGUGAGUACUAAGUAAAAUAUUGUGAUGAAUUGUUCAUUUAUACACUUUAUUUAAAGCAAAUUACUAUAUUAUACUUAUUUGAAGUUCCCGACUGGAACCAAAUAUUGGAAGUUGACGUACUUAUAGGUUUGAAGAAUUUCAAAGAAUGGAACCCUUUCUAAAAUUAGUUCUCAUAAAAAAUGAACAUAUAAAAUGAAAACAAUGAUGUUUAUAAUGUUCGAGAUGAGAGACUGACGGGAAAUGUUGUUUGCUUACGUACCUUUCCUUCUGGAUUGUUUUAAUUUGGAAUUUUGAUCGAUUGUUUGAUUUUUUCUAGAGACCAGGUCAUUGGUUUUUAUGCAUAAAUUGAUAGGUCACUGAUCAGCUGACCAAAACACGUUAGGUCACGGUGAAUUGCCCCCUAUAAAUCGCUAUAUAAAUCGUGUAAGUUGAACAUUCGAAUUAUCUAGCAAACAAAUUAAUAUGGCAAAUUCAAGCUUCCAAGUCUCUUGUGUCUUUGUUUUUUGUACAUGCCUUGGCCUUCUCGUCACAGCACAAAGCCGCGGCCAAUUUGUGUUUGAAAAACCUGUACCCGUUUUCUUCUUUGGGGAUUCAUUUUUUGAUGCUGGAAAUAAUAACUACGUCAACACUACUUUUCGGGCAAAUUACUGGCCAUAUGGUGAAACCUUCUUCAAGAACCCAACCGGAAGAUUUUCUGAUGGUCGACUAAUUUCAGAUUUUAUUGGUAAGAUAUAAACUUUACAAUUUUGUGAAUAUUUUCGUAUAGAAACGUGAAAUAUUGUUAGUAUAUGUAAUCAAUAGUUUAAGUAUAUAAAUCUAUUUUUCUGUUACAGCUGAGUAUGCAGAGUUGCCAUUUAUUCCACCGUAUCUACAACCUGGUAAUGAUCAAUUUACAUAUGGUGCAAACUUUGCAUCUGCAGGAGCUGGUGCUUUGGUCGAAACAAGCCAAGGUUUGGUACGUAUGUAACAUCAUUCUGCAUAUGAGUUCAAUUGGGUUACUUCACUAAUUUGGUUUUUAUAAUUAUAAGCAUAUACUAUACAAGAAAAGUCACGCACGUUUAUCAGAGAUAUACUAUAAUGUAAAUUACUGGCAUAUACUAUACUGUAAAUUAGGUCAACCAUUGUUCACCACAAUUUUUUUAUACAUUUGGGUUCCAUGCACCUUGACCAGAGAUAUAUAAUAUAUAUUUGGGGUGUGUGGAACCUUGACCAGAGAUAUAUAAUAUAUAUUUGGGGUGUGCUAUCCACACACCCCUUUUUACUUCUCACACACCCUUGUUAAUUUAUGUCUGUUGAUCUUCUUCAAUUCAUCCGAUCCGACGGCCGAAAACUAAAAAGGUGUGGGAGAAGUAAAAAGGGGUGUGUGAAUAUCACACCCCUAUAUAUUUAUAUACCAACCAAUGUAAUAUAAGAAAUGUAGUACAUCAUUAUAAAACUGCUUAUACUUGCUACCUACUCAUGGCGGAUAGGGAUAAGUUCACCUCCUCAUACAAACAAAUCACUCUAAAGACUUGCCUAUUAUUAAUCUGUUCAAAUUAGGGAUAAGUUCAAAUUAAUCUUACGAGCAGUAGUUGUUGACAAAGAAACACUUACGGCAACAACCCGUUGAAUGCAUGUAACUAGUCAACAACCAACAAUAGCAAAGCCUUUUCUCAUUAAGUAUUGAUUACAAGGUCUUCUGUUAGAUCUAAGUAUUUUAAGUCUUUUCUUAUAGUCUCUUUCAAAGUCUUCCAAGGUCUUCCUCUACUCUUUCGGCCCUGAGCCUCUGUCCAAUAACCGCUUCUUCUAACUGGAGCGUCAGUAGGUCUGCGUUUCAUAUGUCCAAACCAUCGUAACCGAUUUUGAUUUCUCUCAUAUUUCCUGCAAUUUCGGUUACUCCUACUUUAUCUCAGAUAUCCUCAUUUCCAAAAAAAUGUAACUAGUCAACAACCAAUUUAGUAUAAAGAAAUGUUGCCAAGAACACAUUUGAUUUGGGCUCAAAGCCUCAAACAUUGUAACUAACUUCUUUAAAUUUACAUAUUUAUCAUCCUCCAUUACUAUAAUCAAACACGUCCCUUAAGAUUUUGACAAAAAAAAAAAAGAGUCCUUUAAGGUGCAACUAAUUGAUGUCUGAACCUUCCUCAGGUGAUAGAUCUUCAUUCUCAACUUUCAUAUUUCAAGAGCGUUAGGAAGUCGUUGAACCGGACACUAGGGGAUGAACAAACCAAGACCCUGCUAUCAAGAGCUGUUUACUUGUUUAGCGUCGGAGGCAACGAUUACACUUUCCCUUUCGAGAAAAACUCCAGUGUGCUCGGACCCCAACCUCACGAGGAAUUUGUUGGCCUUGUGAUAGGAAAUAUCACUGCAGUGAUCAAAGUAAAUUCCUAGCUAGUACGUACUUGAAAAACAAGAGAUUUUCCCACUGAUAUAUAUGCCAAGUUUUAAGUAUAUUAAUGUCGAUGUGUCAGGAAAUAUAUAGAGAAGGAGGAAGGAAUUUUGGGUUUCUUGGUCUUGAUCCUCUUGCUUGUUUACCAUAUUCAAGAGCAGUUGUUGAGGGACAAAAUGGUGGUGGCUGCUUUGACAAAAUCACACCAUACGUAAAACUACACAACAAAUUACUUCCCAAACUCCUACAGAAGCUAGAGAGAGAAUUCAAGGGAUUCAGAUUCUCACUUUCCCAAAUCUAUGAGUUUCUGACAGAAAGAAUAAGUCACCCCUCUAAAUAUGGUAUGUACAUUUCCUCGAUUUUCUUAUGAGUAACUUUCUCUUGCACUACUAGAAAUUUCAACUUUACUGAUUUUUUUUAUGAGUAAUUGCCACGCUAAUAUAUCUUUGUUGCUAGAUUAUGAAUCUCGACCAUACAUUCUAGAGAUGCUUUGAUUACUUAAUCUAUGAGAAAGAACUAAGUGAUGUUGUUUUUGUUUUGGGAUGCUAUUGUUUGGCAAAGGUUUUGAGGAAGGGAAAGUGGCAUGCUGUGGAAGUGGUCCGUAUCGAGGAAUUUAUAGCUGUGGAGGCAAGAGAGGAACCAAAGAGUAUGACCUGUGUAAGAACGUCAGUGAAUAUGUCUACUUUGAUUCUGGUCAUCCAACUGAAAGGGUCUUUCAACAGAUUGCCGACCAAUUCUGGAAUGGAACUCCCAACUCUACCGUGUCUUACAAUUUGAAAACACUAUUUGAAACUAAGUAUUAAGUAAAUCAAAUAUUCUAAUUGGGUGUUAGAAUAUAAGGAAAACUAAUGAAAAAUGCUUGAAAACUUUAAGUUUUAACGAUAAGUGUUGAGUAAACCAAAGUCUGUCAUCAGUCCCUUGAUUUAAGGAGUCCAUUUCCUUGAUUAUUGUACAGUCAUCUCAGAUUGCUUUUCAUCUACUUAGGAGUCUAACUCACGUAAUAGCUUGUAUGGGCCUUAAUUUCAGGAUCAUGAUUGAUCCAUGUAUCUGUAUAAGUCUCUCUUUGUACCAUUACAUUAAACUCAAUUAAUGAAAACAAGUUACAUAGCAGGUUUUCACAUGGCGUUCAAACACACCAAGAAGUUAUAGCAUUCCGCUCCUCGUCGACUUGGCAAUUGACUCUUCCAGCAAACACACCAAAUACGAAGAUCCCAGCGAUCCUCUUUAUCUUCAUCACUCCGAUCAGCCUGGAGCGAUUCUCGUCACACAUUCGUUGAAUGAUGAAAAUUACUCCACUUGGAGCCGAGCCAUGGCCAUGGCCCUCAAUGCCAAGAACAAGGAAGGAUUCAUCAAUGGAACCAUUAAAAAGCCUGAGUCGGCAUCCACAAUUGAAUCCCAACAGUGGACUCGUUGCAAUGACCUCAUGAAAUCCUGGCUGCUUAACUCUGUCUCGAAAGAUAUUAGAGCAAGUAUCAUAUACAACAAUGUUGCAGCUGAUAUUUGGAAUGAGUUGAAGGAACGUUUCUCUCACACAAACAGUGUACAUCUCUUCCACAUCGAACAAGAGAUACAUGGAAGUGUUCAAGGAAAUUUGACCAUUGGUGCAUAUUAUACCAAACUGAAAAGCUUUUGGGAUGAACGUGAUGCCCUGUGUGCUCUCCCAACCUAUGCAUGUGGAGCUGCGAAGAUCUUCCAAGUCUAGAACCAGUAAACUGUUUGAGGUUGUUCAUUCAGAUAUUUGGGGUCCUUCUCGUGUAGAAUCAUUUGAUGGAUAUAAAUAUUAUGCCACCUUUAUUGAUGACUAUUCUUGUUGCACUUGGAUUUACCUCUUGAAAUUCAAAAGUGAAUUCCUUGAUGCUGUCAAAGACUUUCAUCAAUUAAUCUUAAACCAAUUCUCCUCUAAGUUAAACAUUUUACAGUCGGAUAAUGGCACUGAGUAUACAUCCAACAAUAUGUCUAAUUAUUUGGGCAAUCAUGGGAUUUUACAUCAAACCAGCUGUGUUGGUACACCACAACAGAAUGGUGUAGCCAAGAGAAAAAACCGUGACUUAUUAGAGAAAUCCAGAUCUCUUAGACUUCAAAUGCAUAUUCCUAGAAGGUUUUGGUCUCAGGCUCUCCUCACUGCAACCUACAUCAUCAACAGGUUACCUACCCGUGUAUUGAAUUCAAAAUCACUUGUUGAAGUAAUAAAGGGAAGAACUAUUGACAUCUCACACCUGAGAACUUUUGGAUGCACAUGUUAUGUCCAUAUUCAAGCUGCACAUCGAGACAAGCUCGAUCCCAGAGUUGUCAAGAGUGCCUUCAUGGGAUACUCGAGCACUAAAAAAGGAUACAAAUAUUACAAUCCUCUUAAUGGAAAGAUUGGUGUCUCAAGGGAUGUUCGAUUUGAUGAGAAUGCUUUAUUCUUUCACAAAAAUAGCAGUGAAGAACCUCAGGGGGAGAACCUACUGGACAUUUUUCCUCUGCCCAUUCCAGCAAAUCUACAUGAAUUCCAUGUUUAUCUCGAUCACCACUUAAAACAACAUGAUGAUGAGGAAAUAUUUCCUGAUCAAGGAAGCUCAGGCACUACUCAUCAACCUGUCUUGGCACCACGAAGAAACCCUACUCGUGACAGUCAUCCUCCUCUAAGGCUGCAAGAGUAUGUUACGUACACGGCAAGACAUCCCAUCUUCAAAGCCUUAACCUAUAAAAAACUGUCACCAUCCCAUGUAGCCUUUCUACAUCAGCUGUCCACUAAUGAUGAACCAAGAAAUUUUAAUGAAGCUGCUCACAUUCCAGUAUGGCAGAAAGUUAUGAAAGAAGAGCUUCAAGCACUAAACAACAACCAAACAUGGAGUGUGGUUGAUCUUCCAAAAGGAAAAAUGGCAGUAGGGAGUAGGUGGAUAUACAAGACCAAGUUUCAUUCAAAUGGCAAUAUUAAAAGACAUAAGGCUCAUUUAGUAGCCCAUGGCUUUACUCAAACUUAUGGCAUUGACUACAAGGAGACAUUUGCUCCCGUAACCAAAAUGAGUACUGUACGAGUGUUGUUAUCUGUGGCAGUUAAUCUCGAUUGGUCCUUAUUUCAAAUGGAUGUGAAGAAUUCAUUUCUUCAUGGUGACCUCGAAGAGGAGGUGUACAUGAAGCUUCCUCCCGGACAUCCACAAGAGCAUGAAACUAACAAAGUUUGCAAGCUCCAUAAGGCCAUAUAUGGACUGAAGCAAUCUCCCCGAGCCUGGUAUUCGAAGUUAAGUUCAGUCCUUGAAGCUGCAGGAUUCAUAAGGAGCCAUGCUGAUUCCUCGUUAUUUGUUCAUACUGGUAUAAGUGGCAAACUAGUUGUUCUUAUAUAUGUUGAUGAUCUUAUUAUAACAGGUGAUAACAUAGAAGAAAUCGAUGCCCUCAAAUCCUCUCUUCAUCAACAAUUUGCCAUUAAGGAUUUAGGAAUCUUAAAGUACUUUCUUGGCAUUUAAAUGGCUACUUCCUCCAAGGGUUUAUUCUUAAAUCAAAGGAGGUAUGUUCUUGAUCUAUUGGAUGAAGCUGGCAUGUUGAAUUGCAAGCCCGCUUCUACUCCUCUGGUGAGUAGACUUCAAGUAGAUGCACCCAGUGAACCACUACCAAACCCUAGGGUUUAUCAACGCGUGGUAGGAAAACUAAUCUACCUCACUAUCACCAGACCUGACAUUGCUUAUUCUGUAAGUUUUGUCAGUCAAUUUAUGCACUCUCCCUUGAUGAUUCACUUGGAGAGUGUCAAAAGGAUACUCAUAUACUUGAAGGGAUCCAUUGGUAGAGGUUUACUCAUGCAAAAACAUGGUUCAAAUCAUAUCAUGGCAUACACUGAUGCUGACUGGGUGGGUAAUGCCCUCGAUUGCAAGUCUACCACUGGUUUCUGUACUUUUGUUGGUGGCAAUCUUGUGACAUGGAAAAGUAAAAAACAAACCGUGGUUGCAAGAUCAAUUGCUAAGGCUGAAUAUAGAGCCAUGGCAGCCACGACUUGUGAAUUAAUUUGGUUAAAAAGUCUCCUAACGGAUCUUGGCUGCGUCAACAAGGAACCUAUGUCCUUGUUUUGUGACAACCAAGCUACCAUGCAUAUAGCUUCAAAUCCGGUAUUCCACGAAAGAACAAAGCACAUUGAAGUUGAUUGCUAUUACAUCCGAGCACAAGUCUAAUCCAAAGUCAUCAACACCGUGUACACUCGAAGUUAUGAUCAACUUGCUGACUUGUUUACAAAAGCUCUCAACUCUACUCAUUUCCAAAGAUUGCUGAGCAAGCUGGGAUCAAUCAACCCCCUUGAUCCAGCUUGAGGGGGAGUAUUGAAACUAAUGGGUGGCCAUCACUUUGUGUUAAAGUGUUAUUCACUUUGUGUUAAAGUGUUAUUCCUUAAUUUUAGGGUUUAUGUCUUCUAGGAGAUUUCUUGUAAGUUGUAUCUAGGGCUAGCCUUUUUCUCUCUAGCUUCUAAGAGAUUUCUUGUAAGUUGUAUCUAGGGCUAGCAUUUUUCUCUCUAGCUACUACUUUGUAGCUGUUUGCAUUUGUUUAUUGGGUAGGUUUUUCCUUCCUUUCUUCGUCUCCUUUUUAUGAGACCUCUCCCUUGUAAUUCUUUUUCAUGAAUACAUACACACUUUGUUGAACUUAAAUCUCAACAUAGACAAAUACCAGAAAAUAUUGUGAUUAUUUGAGCUAUCAUACCACAAAAUAUCCAAUUAAGAAUUCAUUGGAUUAUGGAAAUUUAUCUCAUCCUUAUUCAACUUUUUUUCUAAGAAAAGUCUGCAAAAUCUCCGAACCUGAGGAAGCAAGGUUGCAAGAUGUUUGGAGAGACGCAAUGGAGGAGUUUCAAGCUCUUGAUGAGAAUAAGACAUAAACUAUUGUGAAGUUAGAAGGGGAAAAAAUACAUGUUGGAUCCAUGUAAAAGAAUUUACAAGGUUAAACUUGUGAUGGGUCAAUUGAAAGGUACCAAGAAAAACUAAUUGCUAAAGGUUAUACUUGAACCUAACUAGUAUAUUUGUCUUGUGCAGUCAAAGUGAGUUGUUUCUUCUUUCUAAAUCAAGUGUAUGACUUAGUCGUGUGAGUAAAUUCACGAUUAUCAACAUUUGGUGAGCUCACUUUCCCUUGAUUGAGUAAUUCCCAUGGUAUAUUCUUGUUCUCCUUGAGACCUUUGACUUGUCUUGCAUUAGAAAUUUUUAUAUAUUUAUGGAAUUCUGUUCUCCAACAUGUCAAUCAUGAUUCUGGCUUCAUGGGAAUAAAGAAAGCAUUUCGCGGUACUACCAAAAAGUCUCAUGCUUACGUUACUGAUAUUGAUGGUUUUAUUAUCCUGAACAACGAAGACCCUCGUCGGAUUCCCGAGGAGGCUAUGGAAGAUCCAUAUCAAAGGGGGCGUUGAGGGGAAGUGAAAGGUGCAGUCGCAUAGGCACCAAAUUUGAAGGGGCCCCUAAAUUUUUGUCAUCUAACAUCAUGUAAUAAUGUUCUAUAUUCAAAAAUUGAUUUUGUUAGCACUUUAAAACCGCAUUGUGCAUGCCUUAUAAGAGUAUUUUUUUUUCUUUGUAAAUAUAAAAACUUGGAGUACAAUGAUAUAUUUUGAGUGUCAAUAAUAACAUCCUAAAAAAUGAUAGUUUCUUAAUUUUAUUAUAUAACAAUGUUAUAUAUUCAAGUGAAACUUUGAAGUUAGGGGUUUGAAGUAUUUUAUUUCAUGUUUGGUUGUUUAAGAUAAAACUGCUUUUGAUUAUUUAGUGAAUGUUAUGUUUAUAGCUCCUUUUACUUAUCAUUAAGGACAUUUGUAAACAUGCAAUCAGUGAGUACUAAAGUUUGUUUUGAUUUUCUUUUUUUUUGAAAAAACAAUAGUAUCUACACUAAGGGGGUGGGAGAGUAGGUUAAGCCUCAAAAUUGGCUAACAAUAAUGUAGUUCAAAUUCGCCUUUGGCGAGAAUUUAACCUAAGACCUCUCACUUACAAGUGAAGAGGAAUACAACUAGAUUGUAGUACUAAGUGUCUUUGUUUUGAUUUAAGUGAAUGUUUUUUAGUAUCAAUACAUUGUCACAAUUUUUAAAAACUUUAAACUAUCUUAAGGGGGGCCUCCUUUACAAAUUUAGCACAGGGGCCCUAAAAUCUCAGAGAUGACCCUGAUCCAUAUGGCUUUGCAUUGCCUAAAUUUGAGCCAGGGUGGGUGAUGCAAUAAAAGUCCUGUUGAGUAUGGGCUUAGCCCGUGAAGGAUGGCUCCUUUUGUUUUUUGUUUUUUUUUAGCCGCUUUCGGGAUCUUUGACGGAAGGAUAAUGAAUAUAACGGGGAGAAAACAAGACAGUUAACCAAGGGAUGCAAGCGCUGCUAAUGAGGCUACUAAGCUAUUUCUUUGGAAAGCUCCUACUAAUGUGGGAAAUUCCCCAAUAAGCUGAGAAAUCAACAAUUUAUUGACAGUCGAUGGCGCGGCGAUUUAUUGAUGGUCUAUGACCUCAAAGAAGACGCUCAAUACAUAGUUGAAGAGUUCUCUUCCUCUUUGUCCACCCAAUUCAGAAUCGGUGUGUUUAUUCUUGUCAAUCGGAGAACCUAGUUAUUUGCAAAACUCAAUUUGUAAUUUGAUCGAAUUAUUCUAAAAGCUGCUAAAUUGGGGUUUAUGACAACCACUUAGGCAUACAACGGAGUAAUUAACUGAAAUUCUAAUAGAAGUAUGAAAUUGAAAUGAAAUAAUAGUAAACGUAUGAGAUUGAAAAUGUUUUAAAAAUAUUGUAUAAGGUUGCAUUUGACCAUAAACUUAAGGAGGUAGAAUGUGAUAACAGUUCACAGAGAACCGAAGAAAAGCAAAACACUUAGAGAGAAAGAAAGAGAAUUGCAAAGAGAUGAGUUUCUGUAUAUUGCUCAAAUGAAUAUUAAAAGAUUCUUACACACUUAUAUAGCACAGUGGCUGCCUUAUCUCUUAAGCUACUAGCACUAACAGUUUUAACUAAUCUUCCCACCAAUUCUAACUAACUACCAAAUAUACCAACUGCCUUACUUAACAGUUUGCCAUAUCAGCACCAUUUUACCUUUGGACCAUACUACCCUUCUUAUACUAGUCAAUAUCCCUCCGCAAUCUUAACUUGGGUUACCAAGUUUAAGAUUGUAACAAAUUGAUCUUUAGUUAAGAUAUCGGCAUAUUGAUUAGUGCCCUUCCUUGCAGCAGAAGGUGAUCUCAAUACGAUACUAGCAUGGCUUCCAAGCCUCGACACACUCCUUCCACUUUUAGGAGUAGUAAACCCUGGACUUGAACCUCGGUAACUAGCACAAAGAGUUUCAUCAAUAGAAGAUGAGGACUUGCCCAUUGCAUUUCUUACAAACUUCUAAGCAGCAGGGGAGAGUGUCCGCACACUUGGACUGGCACUGCCACCUCUAGAAGGCGACGUCAGAGGUGGCUUGUGAAACAAUUUUGACCUUUCCCUCAAUUUGCGUGUAGCUUCCUUUGACAGUAAGUGAGCCUUUUUCAUUAUUAACAGAAAUCAAGAAACACACCCCUCUUUGGCAAUCGGCCUUUAAUGAAGAAAGGGAACAAGAACUGCACUCCGGCAAUCGGCCUUAAUGGAGUUGCACACAAUAACAACAAACAAAACUUUUCAAGAACGUUACUCCGGCUAUCGGCCUUUAAGGAGUAACACACAAUAUCUGAGACAUAACUUUUCACUCCGGUUAUCGGCCUUAUGGAGGAAACAAAUUGCAUACACACUAUUGGCAAUUGGCCUUUUUCGAGUGCACAAAUUUCAAAUAACCAAGAACUAAUCAAGCAAUAGAAAGGAAUGGCUAUCGGCCUUUGUAUUCCUUCAACAAUCUCGCAGAAAAUGGCUAUCGGCCUUAACAGAGAAACUUGCAUACAAGAAACCACAUCGAAGAAACAAAUUUUCACUGCGGCAUUUAAGCAAACAGAUGGUGUGCACUGUGGAGUCAAAAAGAAAGAACAUGAUACAAAUGGAAAUAUGGACCUUUGAGCAGAAAAACCCCAAGAAACUUCAACCACCAUCAAACUUCAACUGAUCGCAAGAAGUCGCACAGCGGAAUUGAGUCCGAGAAUCGGCCUCACUCUUGAUACCAUGAUAACAGUUCACAGAGAACCGAAGAAAAGCAGAACACUUAGAGAGAAAGAUAGAGAAUUGCAAAGAGAUGAGUUUCUUUAUAUUGCUCGAAUGAAUAUUACAAGAUUCUUACACACUUAUAUAGCACAGUGGCUGCCUUAUCUCUUAAGCUACUAGCACUAACAGUUUUAACUAAUCUUCCCACCAAUUCUAACUAACUACCAAAUAUACCAACUGCCUUACUUAACAGUUUGCCAUAUCAGCACCAUUUUACCUUUAGACCAUACUACCCUUCUUAUACUAGUCAAUAUUGUUAACUACAUUGUAAUAUUUGGGAAUUGAAAGAAAAUCAAGAAGAAAGAUCAAUAUAGAGAGUUUGAGAAAGAGAGAGAUUUAGAGAGAGAAAUAUGCUUUUGUAUUGAUUGAUAGAAUGACGGUUACACAACUGUUUUUAUAAGAGAAAGCCUAACUACUCUAACCAACUUACUAACUGUAUUGCUAACUGUAUUGCUAACUUGUAUGCUUAAUACUCCCCCUCAAUCUCAACUGGGGUAUCCCAGUUUGAGAUUGCAGCAAAGUCCUCAAAUAGCAAACACUGAAAUAUGGACAAAUGGAUGCACUGCAGAGUGUUCUUGUUUCAGGUUGACUUUGGUGAUGCUUUUUGAUUGAAAAAGGUUUUGUUGCCCUAAGAUUUCCCUGAGAUUGCAGUAAUGUGAGCUCGCGCUGCUCCUCAAUUGUCUAUCAAAACAUAGAGACUUGAGGAAUUGGCAAUCAAUCAAUCAAGGUAAUUAAUUCCAAUGACACUUUCAAUGCCCAAAGCUUCUGUUCUUAAUUCUUCUGACAAAUCAAAGCCACAAAGUUCUGCUCACUGAUAACACUUGUUGGUAAAAUGAACAGAUGCUUCUUGCUCAUAUAAAAAUCCAAUAUUCCCAUCCAAAACAUCCAAUAUUUCACUGCCUCUCACAGGAGCUUCAAUCAAAGAACAGCUCUUAUAAAAUUGUAACACACCUUCAGGCCGGUUAUAACAAUUUCUUACGGGAUUACCCUUCGUGGGAUUUACCGUCAACAACUUCAUUUAACAUUGGCUUCGGCCUUUAAAAACAGACAAAUAACAAACUAUAGUGUGGCAUCAGCCUUAACUAUAGCACCACGGGAUCGCCCUUUGUGGAUUUUACCAAAAAAAAAAAAACAACUUCAUUGAACAAUGGCAUCGGCUUUCACAAUUUCAACAACUGAAAAUCAACAUCUAUGUAGGAUUACCCUUCGUGGGAUUUACACGGGAUUACCUUUUGUGGGAUUUACCGUUAACAACUUCUUUACACUUCAUCUAUAACCGGACUUAUUGUAGAUUCAUGCUAACAAUUGAGUUGGUUAGACUCGACAUUAUAGGCUGUGAAAAGAAAUAUACUGCAUAAACUCCUGCAUCUGGACAAGAAUUAUCCCCAGGUUUCUUGGCCAUAUCCAUUGACGAGGAUACUGAAGCAAAAUUCUUAAUUGAUUCGAUCAUACCAGAGCAACUCAACAAAUUCAACAAAUGCUACUUAAUAUACGUAACAAAUUCACCAACUUUCUGACCUCGACCAUCUUCAAUUAUCAACUUCAAUGAAUACUAUAUAAUCAAACAUUUUUGGCAUCGACCUUAUCAAUUCUCAAUUCAUAAAACUCAUAAACUUCAACAAUUUACAACCCUCUGAACAAGCAACUUCAUAAAUUUCUUCAACUACCAACAUUUCUUGCAAUCAGCCUUAAUCAUAUACGCAAACCCCGAAACAGAUCAUAUAAAAUUCACACCAACACUGCAUAAAAUUUCAUUGACCCAAAAACACAAACACCUUAUGUGCAGAAUUGAAGAACCAAAGAAAUGUAACGACCUGAUUCCAACAGUGCCACCAGAAAAGAUUACAGCAAGAGCACCAAUCCAAGAACAACAACUAGACUCCAAGAACUUCAAGAACCAUACCCAUAUCCAGUGCAAAUUCAGUGAAACAUUAUGAAAGGAAGAAGCAAAGAACCAUACCAUAAUCUGCAGAAAUAGCAGAGAGUGAAACUUUUCUGCUCAAACUAAAACUCUGAAAGCUGAAUCGUUUCUUCCCCAAGAGAGACGGAGAGGUUUUGAUUAGGGACCCGUAUCUUGUUCUUACCCACAAACUCUACAAAACCCAAAAGUACUUCUUCUCCAAUCACUUUUGAAAAAAAAAAAAAACACAACAAAUUUUCGUCUCUGAUCUUGGGCUCUGUUUCUUUAAGUGCACCAAUGCAGUGACAGAUUCACGAUCUGCUUGAUAUUGGUCUGCAUGUCGCGGAAUGCUUUCGACUCUCCUUCUCGUUUGUGAGAGCCUCUCUUUCUUCAAUUUCUUCAAUUUCUUCGGUUUUGUUUCGCAGUUUCGAUCGGCAAAGAUGAGGGAGUGCAUUUCGAUCCACAUCGGAUUGGAGCAGGGAGCGAGUGAUCUCGUUGAUUCACCCGUUCAGGACCUUCUCGUCGAUUACGGUCGCAUUGCUCAUCUACUGGAUAGCAGAAGCAUCGAAGAACUUGACGGAAAUUUCAAGAAAAUUUGAAGAGAAAACGUAAUGAAAAUAAAAACGAUGAAAAUGACGAAAUCUAAUUAAAACCGGAACCACCAGAAUCAAAGGCGUGAGCCUGGUGGCUCUAAUACCAUGUUAACUACAUUGUAAUAUUUGGGAAUUGAAAGAAAAUCAAGAAGAAAGAUGAAGAGAAGAAAGAUUAAUACAGAGAGUUUGAGAGAGAGAGAGAUUUAGAGAGAGAAAUAUGCUUUUGUAUUGAUUGAUAGAAUGAAGGUUACACAACUGUUUAUAAGAGAAAGCCUAACUACUCUAACCAACUUACUAACUGUAUUGCUAACUGUAUUGCUGCUAAAUAGUUUGUAAGAAAUGCAAUGGGCAAGUCCUCAUCUUCUAUUGAUGAAACUCUUCGUGCCAGUUACCGAGGUUCAAGUCCAGGGUUUACUACUCCUAAAGGUGGAAGGAGUGUGUCGAGGCUUGGAAGCCAUGCUAGUAUCGCAUUGAGAUCACCUUCUGCUGCAAGGGAGGGCACUAAUCAAUAUGCCGAUAUCUUAACUAAAGAUCAAUUUGUUACAAUCUUAAACUUGGUAACCCAAGUUAAGAUUGCGGGGGGAUAUUGACUAGUAUAAGAAGGGUAGUAUGGUCCAAAGGUAAAAUGGUGCUGAUAUGGCAAACUGUUAAGUAAGGCAGUUGGUAUAUUUGGUAGUUAGUUAGAAUUGGUGGGAAGAUUAGUUAAAACUGUUAGUGCUAGUAGCUUAAGAGAUAAGGCAGCCACUGUGCUAUAUAAGUGUGUAAUAAUCUUGUAAUAUUCAUGUAAUUUACCCUCAUAAAUAAAACAUAUGUCCCAAAUGGACUUUUGCUCCCAGCCACAACUAUUUAAAUUUUUCUGACUACUUAGUUAUCUUGUGAUGCUCUAAUAACUUAACUAUUUCUCAUGGUUCCGAUACGUUUGAGACUCUUAAUAGGCUCCAGUACAUGCACGAAAACCUUGAUUGUUCAAUCAUUCUCCCUUUUCUAAAAGAAAGAAAAAACUCGUCCUCGAGUUUCAUUUGGAUUCUUUUCCACAUUUCGUCGACCGCCCAAUCAAUUGCUGCCCAAAACAACAAUUUUAACAUUAUCCACAAUAGCCACUUUGAAAAGAUGAGAUGUCCCCCCGUCGACCCUUGGCUUGUUCACAUCUGAAAAAUGACUUCCUUUCCCACAUUUCAUUGGCUGCCUAAUCAACCCUUGGCUUGUGCAUCAAUUUCAACAUCUAUUAUUACAGAGACUUUUUAUGAAAAAAGUCCUAUAUUUAGAGAUAGGUGAUUAAAUUGGUGACCAGACGAGCCUACAAAGUUUUUUUUUAUGGUAUCAGAGUAAGCUAUUUUUGCGAUACAUCAUCAAUUCAAGUUACUCAACUUGAACUUGCUUCCUUAUGUGUUGCCUCUAGUGAUGGACUACUAAAUAUAGACCGGGCUCUUGAAAAGAUUGGCAUAGCUGUAGUAUAAUGGCCAGCUCCCAUUGUGGGAAUUGGUUCCCAUUGUGACCCAUGUGUGGCCACUUGUGAGAGCGCAUCUAGGAAAAUAGGACCUACAUCGGUUAUAUGAUAAAAUGAAAUACAAUUAAUAUAUGAGAGUAUCCACUCUUAAUAUCAGCAAGCCCUUUUAUGAUAAAACCACACAACUAAUGGUUCAGUUUGAGACAAUAUUGAUAAUGUUAGUGGUGGACCUGUAUGAGCCUACAAAGUUUAUCAUGGCAUUUGUUAAAUGGACAUGAAAAAAUCUUUGGUGCAUAAUAUCAAUUAAUUUUAUGGUGAAACUUCAUUUUCCUUCAUUUCUAACAUCAUCUUUGAGACUAUUUAUGAUCUAAUUAUAUGAUCAUAAUUUGACACGUGUGUACAAGACAUUAAAAAAAUCUGAAAACAUCUUAUCCAUUAGAUAAUAAGGCCAAAAAUAUAUAAUGCUAAAGAUUCUGCUCUCAGUUUUCAAAGAUUUUCUAUUAAAUUGAUAAUAAUACAAAGUAACACAGAAACACAUAUACUUCAAUGGCAGCCUUGAGGUUAAGAAAUUUUAUCCUGGCUUCUGUGCUUGCCGAGUUAUUCAGUGCAGCUGAUAUGGUCAUUCGGUGCUUCAGAAAAGCAUGCAACCUUAUUCAUCUUUUGUGAUUCACUUUAUGAUCCUGGAAAUAAUAACUACAUAAAUACCACCACUGUUUUUUAAGGCCAAUUGCUUUCCAUAUGGUGAGACCUUCUUUAAGUAUCCAACUGGCAGAUUUUGCGAUGGACGUUUAAUCACAGAUUUUAUUGGUAAAAAUUUGCGAUGGACGUUUAAUCACAGAUUUUAUUGGUAAAAAUAUUACUUUUUAAUGUUAAUUUCUGCAGUAUCGUUUUUUCAGGCAUUUCUUCAAGUAUCCAACUCACAUCAAUUGGUAAUACAAAAACAUAAGAUAAAUUGAUUAUUAAUUAGCCUUGCAUUGAUGUUGCAGCUGAGUAUGCCAUGGAACACUUAAAAGGCCACGAAAGGUCUAUACAAUCUCGGGAAUCUCUUCCAAGACUUGUAAGUCUUUUGCAUCCAUGUAACAUGCAGCCCAAAUUGUGCACAUUAACUAUUAAUUUGAUGUAAACUUGUGCCUUUCAAACUUUCAGCCUUUGGUUAUACAUUAAAAUAAAUUCUCCUAAUGUAUUUUCGUUAUCUUGUAUUUUCUUUUUCAAGAGAGGCAAUAUCUAUGUCUCUCCCUCUUUUUUCUUGUAUUUUCUUUUUCAAAAGGGGUAGGGUGUAUGUUGCCCCCUUUUUUCUUGUAUUUUGUUUUUUCUUGCUCUAUUAGGGAUGAGUUUUAUGUUUUUCUGACUAGGUGUAACUUCUUUUUUCAUAUUAAUAAAUUGGGGUUUUGCCACAAAUGGUUCCUGAAAUGGAUCCACCCCAUCAAGGUAGUCCCUGAAAUUGAAAAUCAAUCAAUGUAGUCCCUAAAAGUGAGUGUCACAAAUCAAUGUGGUCCUUCCAUCACAAUUCCGUUAAAAAUUAUGUUAAGUGCUGACGUGGCACUUAAAUGGGUCCCACAAAUUUAAUAAAAUAUUAUUUUGUGAAUUAAAAAUAUUUAAAUAUAAAAAAUAAAAUAAAUAUAUUUAAUUAAAAAAAAAAGAAGAUGAUUGAACACUGUUCAUCAUCUUUUUAUGUUUAAAUUCUUGACAUUUCUUGUUCUUAAUUUCUUGAAAUUUCCUCGUUUAGCUUGAUUUAGUGUUUUUUCAUCUGUGUUCUUGAAAUUUUCUGAGAUUAUUGGUUCCGGCAGAUUUUUGUGAAGAAAAUGGAGUUUAGGUGAAGAAAAUGGGUUAGAUUUAUAGGUUCUUGAAAAUUUCCUGAGAUUCUUGAACCUUGUCCAUGGGAUUGUUCCGGUACCCGUUUCUAUGACGGCGAAACCGGCUAAGAGGCCGUCGAAGGUUCGCCACAUGAAGGUGGAGGAACGGGGUGGGAAAAUCCAAUGGCCACCAUGUGUGCGGCCAGGAUCUUUCAACUGACCUGGGAACCCGGCCACAGUUCUGACAGUAGCACUCUACCCAGAAAAUGGGAGGGGGGUGUGGGGUGGGGGCUGUAGUGGGAGAUUGGGAUGGGAAGAAGAUGAUGAACAAUAUUCAAUCAUCACCUUUUUCUUAUAAUAUUUUAAUAAAUUUGUGGGACCCAUUUAAGUGCCACGUCAGCACUUAACAUAAUUUUUAACAGAAUUGUGACAAAAAGAUCACAUUGAUUUGCGAGACUCAUUUUCAGGUACUACAUUGAUUGAUUUUCAAUUUCAGGGACCACCUUGAUGGGAUGGGUCAAUUUCAGAGACCAUUUGUGACAAAAACCCUAAUAAAUUUCUCUCGUACAAUCCAGGUUUUAAAAAAAAAAAAAUUUAAAAAAAAAUUCUUUUACGAUUCCUCAUUCCAUAAUGUCAGUAAAUGAAUGACAAAUUUACUUAAAAAAAAUGAUAAUGUAAGAUAUGAGUCUCAUUUUUGGAGUGAAUAAAGAAGUCGUUUCCAUGUUGAAAAUAUGUUUCAUUCUCAAUGUUGAACGAGGUAUCCUAAAACAUAUGUUUAUCGCAUAUCUGAACAAUUUUGGUAUCAUUCCCAAAUCAUUCCAUAUGACCUUUAUUUUUCUUCUGUCAAACGAUAAAUUUGUUAAAUUAGUUGUUAAAUUAAGAAGUCAACGGAGUUCACAUCCACGUCGUGAUGCAAAGGCAACGGUAUCAUAAGCCCAAAGAUUAGACCAGCUCGCAAAAUCAUUCCAUAUGACUCACAUUCCAAAAAUGUAGAUAAACACAAUCCCAAAGAUUAGACCAGCUCGCAAAAUUUUCUAAAAACUCGUCGUCGAGUUUCAUUUGAAUGCGUUUCUACAUUUGCUUUUCCAUAUUUCGUCGGCUGCCCAAUCAAUUGCUAUCCAAAGAGAAAGUGGUGGUGUUGGAAACACCCGGUGUAAACAUCGGAACUCUACACACUAUCUUUUCAAUAAACAUGGCUGAUGAUCGGAUCAAGGAAGAGCAUGGAAGAGGUAUACCCUCAGGAGUAGAGGAAAUGGGCGGAUCAGAGAGAAAAUUGGGAAGAGACAACAGUAGAUGCAGGGAGAAAAGAAGGAAAAGAGAAAAAAGAAAACACUGCAACUGACCCUGGCUGAAGCUAGGGCUGGUGUCACCGGAAAAUCCUAAGUUUGAAGGACUCACAAGCAAUGAGAAGUACUCUCAAGUUAGAGAGUCAUACUGGUUGUCGGCUUCUUUCGCUUUGUAGCCAAUUAUCCCUUGUUUAGGGCUGUGCUCUGGAAGCAAAUUGGAGUUGUUAAGUUUGAUAUUUCUGUAUAUUCAUACUGCUGCAAUGGCAGCAUUGCUUUAUACAUUGGAUAUGUACACGCAUGCAUUAAACUAAAUAUAAAUGAAGGUGGAGUCCUCGCUGCCCAUGUGCAGAAACUGCCCAUAAAGCACAAACACAAAUGCACAGCCCACGUGGGCAGUUUAGCUGUCAAGGCAUGUGUUGAAACCAUGUGCAAUAUUCCUCUGACAGGUUUGCUCUUUAACAUUCCCCCUCAAGUUGGAAUGGAUGUUGAUUAUUCCUAACUUGUGGAGCAAAGUCGUAAACUGAUGUAAGCUCAGUGGCUUUGUGAAGAUGUCAGCUGGUUGCUUCAUGGUUGAAAUAUGAGACGUCCUGAUCAUACCACUUUGAAUCCUUUCUCGUACAAGGUGGCAGUCAAUUUCUAUGUGUUUGGUUCUUUCGUGAAAGACCGGAUUCGAAGCGAUGUGAAGUGCUGCUUGAUUAUCGCAAUACAACUUGACUGGAUGUUUAUGUUUGAUACCCAAGUCUUGUAAAACAUAUUUCAGCCAAGUGACUUCACAACAAGAUGCUGCCAUUGAGCGAUACUCCGCCUCCGCACUAGAACGUGACACAGUGUUUUGUUUCUUGCUUUUCCAGGAGAUUAAGGAUUCUCCAAGGAAUACACAAUAUCCGGUGGUAGAACGUCGUGUGUCACGACAUCUGGCCCAAUCUGCAUCACAAAAGGCAUUCAGUUGGAUUGGACUUCUUGCAGAGAGAAAAAUACCUUGCCCUGGUGUAUGCUUAAUGUAUCGUAAGACUCGGUGGGCUGCCUCCAAGUGUGGAGUUCGAGGCUUCUCCAUAAAUUGACUAAGAAUGUGGACAGCAUAGACCAAAUCAGGGCGCGUGAUUGUCAGGUAGAUUAGUCUCCCAAUAAGCCGUCGAUAAGAAGAAGGAUCAGUGAUGCAUUGUCCUUCGUCCUUUCUGAGUGAUAAGUUUUGCUCCAUAGGAGAGGUGGCUAUUUUUGCACCAAGGUAACCUGCAUCCUUAAGUAUUUCAAGGGCAUAUUUUCGCUGUGAGAGAGUGAUCCCCUUACUAGAGCGAGCAAUUUCGAUGCCCAAAAAAUAUUUUAGUUGGCCAAGGUCUUUCAACUUGAAUUGCUUCGUAAGGAAAGACUUGAUAUCCUCAAUUGCUUGUAUGUUAUUUUCCUGCCAGGAUAAUAUCGUCAACAUAUACAAGGAGAGCAGUGAAUUUACCAUCAUGGUUUCGGACGAACAAUGAAUAGUCUGCCUUGGAUUGUUGAUAACCAGCUUUGCUAAGAGCACAAGAGAGUUUGAUAAACCAUUGACGAGAGGCUUGCUUAAGCCCAUACAAAGAUUUAUGAAGUUUACAAACUCGUGUUUCCCCCUUUCGUCCGAAACCAGGGGGCAAGGACAUGUAGACAUCUUCUUCAAGGUCACCAUGAAGGAAGGCAUUGUGAACAUCAAGUUGGUGAAGGUGCCAUUGUUGGACUGAGGCAACGGCAAGAAGUAGGCGGACUGUAGUCAGUUUUGCAACCGGAGCAAAAGUCUCACGAUAGUCUAAGCCUUCAAUUUGGCUAUAACCUUUGGCAACCAAGCGUGCUUUAUACCGCUCAACUGAUCCAUCGGAACGAAAUUUGAUUUUGUAGACCCACUUACAUCCAACCGGCUGCUUUCCAGGGGGCAAUGGUUGAAGAGACCAUGUCCUAUUUGCAGCAAGGGCUGCCAGUUCUUCUUCCAUGGCUAAACGCCAUUGGGGGUCGCGUACGGCCUGUGAGAAUGAACUGGGUUCUAUGGCAGCUGAAAUGGAAGUGGUGAAAGCACGAUGGCGAGCAGAUAAGCGAUCAUAUGUGAGUACAUCAGACAAAGGAUAAGAAGUACCUACCACUGUGGUCAAUGCCGAGUGAGAUGAAGGGACGGACCGAGAAGGAAGGUUAAUGCCAACGUGAUAUUGUUGAAGAUAACCAGGUGCAUGAGUGAGGCGUUUAAGACGAGGUGGUGAAGGGGAUUGGUCGACUGAAGAGGAUGGAUCGACUGAAGUGGAUUGGUCUACUGAAUCUUGUUCUAGUGGAAGGGACGGAUGAAUGAUGGUGUCAUCACAGUCAAUAUCUUGAGUAUAUGGAAACACAACAGGUGAGACGGCAACGGAAGAAGAAAAAGGGAACACAUUUUCAUGAAAAAUAACAUCACGGGAAAUAAAAAUUUUACCCGUUUGAAGGUCGUAAACUCGAUAUCCUUUUGUGCCGUAUGGAUAGCCAAGAAAAAUACAACGUGUGGCUCUUGCAUCAAAUUUGGUUGGUCUAUGGUGGUGUGUGGAAGAGAAACAUAAACAACCAAACACUCGCAAAUGUGCAUAUGUUGGCUGUUUGUGAUGAAGGAUUUCAUAGGGUGAUUUUCCGUGAAGAAGAGGAGUGGGAGUCCUAUUAAUGAGAUAAGUGGCAAUUAGGAUUGCAUUACCCCAAAAUUUCUUGGGAAGAUGAGAUUGAAAAAGCAAGGCUCUAGCAACGUUAAGUAAGUGGCGGUGUUUACGCUCUGCUACCCCAUUUUGUUGGGGAGUAGAGACACAACUUGUUUGAUGUAGAAUGCCUUUAGCUGAAAAAAAAUGGGUCAUAAAAAAUUCUGGACCAUUAUCACUACGAAGAACCUUAACUCGUGUGGAAAAUUGUGUUUCAACAAGGUGGAUGAAUGUGAUGAGAUAUGAUCGUGCAUCUGAUUUGUGAUUCAUUAAAUAAACCCAUGUGCAUCGUGUGAAAUCAUCUACAAUGGUCAAGAAAUAUUGUGCCCCUGUGAUAGUGGGAACAUGGUAACCUCCCCAAAUGUCAACAUGAAUUAAUUCAAAAGGAGCUUUUGUAUUAAUAGAGCUCAAAGGAAAAGGAGCACGUGUUUGUUUGGCUAAGGGGCAGAUCAAACAAUCAUCAAUGCUACAAAAAUUCAAAAUUUUAAUGCAAGGAGAGAUAGCCCGUAAGGUUUUGUUGGAAAGAUGGCCAAGGCGUUGAUGCCAAAGCUGAGAAGCAGAAAGAGUAACAACUGACAUUGAAUUGCACCUGGUUUUCGUCACAUUAUCAAGGUAGUAGAGGCCUCCUUGUUCAAUUCCCGUCCCAAUCAUCUUCCCCGAUCGUUGGCCCUGAAGUAGACACUUUUUAUCAGUGAAGAUGACAAAGCAAGAUGAGGUAUUAGUGAUUUUGCUGACAGAAAUUAAAUUCAGUUUAAAUGAUGGAACACAAAGCACAUUGUAAAGGACGAGAUCGUUCGAGAGACGAACUGUGCCAAUAUGUGUGAUAUCGGCAAGUGCAUGAUUGGGUAGGUGCACUUGUCGAUUGUAUACCGGAACGCUUGUGGUCAUCAAACUUGGUGAGCAAACCAUGUGGUCUGUGGCGCCAGUAUCGAAAAUCCAGUUCCUUCCCUUAUUGAGAGGAGAAGCACAAAGAACUCUACUUGAUAAAUCAUUCAUAGUAGAGGUGGUACCGACAUGGUUAGAUGUGGAUUUAGACUGGCUUUUAUCAAGGAGUGCAAGCAGGUUGUGGUAUUGCUCGGGAGUGAGGCUGUAGGAUGAAGGAGAUGUUGCUGGAGGCGUUGGUUUGAUGUCAACGUGAUUAGCCUUGGAGUUGAACCCCUGCGAGUUGGAACCCCUGCGAUCUUGAUAAUCUCCCUUAUCGCUGUUGUCCUUUGCCUUUUUCAAUUUGCGGCAUUGGUCUAUGGUGUGACCUCUCCAAUUACAGUAGUCGCACUUGAGGUGUGCACGACAGGUUUCUGAAGUAUGUCCGGUUGCAUCACAACGGCCACAUUUUAAAUGGGAAUUUCUAGGAGAAAAAUUCCUACCAGAGUUUCGCAUGUUGUCCCGCACGGCGAAAGCUGCGGCAUCAGUGAUUGAAGACCUUCCAGGAGCAUGUAUUGAGACUGCUCUCUGUUUCUCAUCUUGAAUAAUGAGUGAGAAAGCUUUGUUGACAGCAGGGAGAGGAUCCAUAAGUAAGAGUUGCCUACGAACUGCAGCGUAGGAUUCAUUGAGACCCAUGAGAAACUUCAUGGUUUUCUGACUUUGCUGAAACUGCAUCAAUUCUUUCGCAGCUCCACAUGCACAGGUUGGGAGAGCGCACAAGGCAUCACGUUCAUCCCAAAAACUUUUCAGUUUGGUAUAAUAUGCACCAAUGUUCAAAUUUCCUUGAACACUUCCAUGUAUCUCUUGUUCGAUAUGGAAGAAAUGGACACUGUUUGUGUGAGAGAAGCGUUCCUUCAACUCAUUCCAAAUAUCAGCUGCAACAUUGUUGUAGAUGACACUUGCACCAAUAUCUUUUGAGACAGAGUUGAGCAGCCAAGAUUUCACGAGGUUGUUGCAACGAGUCCACUGUUGGUAUUCAAUUGUGGACGUCAACUCAGGCCUUUGAAUGGUUCCAUUGAUGAAUCCUUCCUUGUUCUUGGCAUUGAGGGCCAUGGUCAUGGCUCGGCUCCAAGUGGAGUAAUUUUCGUCAUUCAAUGGUUGUGUGACGAGAAUCGCUCCAGGCUGAUCGGAGUGAUGAAGAUAAAGAGGAUCGCUGGGAUCUUCGUAUUUGGUGUGUUUGCUGGAAGAGUCAGUUGCCAUGUUCACAGACAGUGUGCAGUGGCUGUGCUUGGCUGUGCUCUGCGGCUGUGCUUAAUGGCUGUGACAGGUAGAGCAGCGACGAUGGCUGUGUAGCGGUUUUGCGACGGCAAGGCAGCGAGUGUGCAGCUUGCAGUGCACUGGUUGCUGCAGUAGCAGAUGUCGCUGUUCACAGUAUAGCAGCGAAAGAGUGAAGGCAGAGCAGAGCAAAGGAUUACCUGCGCUCUGAUAUCAUGUUAAGUUUGAUAUUUCUGUAUAUUCAUACUGCUGCAAUGGCAGCAUUGCUUUAUACAUUGGAUACGUACACGCAUGCAUUAAACUAAAUAUAAAUGAAGGUGGAGUCCUCGCUGCCCAUGUGCAGAAACUGCCCAUAAAGCACAAACACAGAUGCACAGCCCAUGUGGGCAGUUUAGCUGUCAAGGCAUGUGUUGAAACCAUGUGCAAUAUUCCUCUGACAGGUUUGCUCUUUAACAGAAAUGGUAUCUGCAGAGGAGAUGCUAAACGGGGAACAAGGAAUCGGGCGAUGAACUGAAAAGUUAUAUGUGGGUGGAGAUACAGUGGAAGGUUCUGGCGGAAGUUGUGUUGUGUUUUUGGGCCAUACGUCUGUUUGGGCCUUUCUGCUUUACUUUUGUUUUAGGGCUUUUUUGUUUGUAGUAUACGUGUUUUGUGCUUGUUGUGUAAUGAAAUUCCCCUUUGACCGAAAAAAAAGAAAAAAUCAAUUGCUAUCCAAAGCAACAAUCUUAACAAUAUCCACCACUUUGAUAAGAUGAUAUGUCCCCGUCAACCCUUGGCUUUUCCAUAUUUGAUUAGAUGAUAUUUCCUUUCCCACAUUGUUGGCUGCCCAAUCAAACCCUUGGCUUGUCCUACGUCAGUUUCAACCUCUUAAAUCACUAAAAAAAUUUAUAAAUAAACCUCACACUUAGAGAUAGGAGGUUAAGUUGGAAAUAAUAUGUACCUACAAAGUUUAUUAUGGUAGAGCACGUUAUUUUCUCGAUCUGUCUUGAGCCUAAAUUACUGGGCUCGAACUUGCUUCCUAAAACUGAUUGAUAACUACGAUUUUGAAAAGUUGUGUGCUGGGUGGGUCCAGUGAUGGAUUACUAAAUAGUAAAUACUCGUGGAUGCAAAUUUCCGCCAUUUUCUCCUUCGACGAAAAUGCACCUGUAAAAUAAUAACAUCUAAGAUUAAGGCCAAAAGCCUUACAUGCACACGAUGAAUGGGGAGGGGUUUUGGCCGAAGAAUCUCUGAUGCCAAAGUUAUAAUUCUGAAAAGAAUGUGUUUAGGAGUUUGUGGGUAGCAAAUGACGUAGCUUUUUAGUGGGAUAAUAGGACUAUUUAUAGAGAAGUGGCUGGUCCUAUUUGGAGAAUAGUGGUCAGCCAUAUACGGUGUAAUUGGAGAAUAAUUGCAAGAUAUUAUAUGAAAUAAUAUUUUGCAAUUAACAUGGUAAUUAAUCCUAAAUUAAAUAGGAAGUUUUAGGAGUUACAUUUUGAAUAAGGAUUUGAUAAGGAGUGAUGAGAGAGAUUUGAAUAAAUACCAUUUUGAUCACAUCUGACUCUUCCUUGAUUAAACCAUUAUUGUCCGUUGCAUGCGCAUGGGAAUCCUGGUGUGCUUUGAGGGUAAUUUUGUCCUUUUAACCCAAAAGUCCACGUGUCAUCUCCAUAAUUUUCUUGAUUAUUUUUGGCUCCACAAAUGCCUUCACACCUGCUGGGCUGCUCGCAGAAAAAGGCAUCGGGUGUAAAGAUCUCCAACUUUGAUGCAGAUUCCCACUUGGACUUGGAAUUAGAUUCUUCUAAGAAAGGGAAAUAAAUCGCAUCCAAAGCCUAUUUAAGCUUACCUUAAGUAACAGAUUAAAUCAACUUCGGAGGGUAAUUACUUAUCCUUACAAGAAAAAGAGAUAGCUAGAGGAUAUUUGUUUCCCCUCCUCUAACACUCUUCUUUGCUUGCCCGUGCAAAGAACCGUCUUCCGUUGAUUUCUUUGUCUUCUAUGUGCUGCACCAAUGCAAGAAAAAAUUAAUUUUCUUUGUCUUCUUCUUGGGUGGUGUUGUCAUGGGGCAAUCGUUCGGGUGGUGCGGCACGUCGGUUGGCAGGUGCAAGAAAUUGGCUCGGCAUGGGUCGAGGAAGUGGUAUGGCAAGGGCCACAGCUUGUGCAGCUUGGCUUGAAUGGUGCCAAGGGCUGGCUCAACAUGGGCCAAGGAAGUGGCGUGGCAUGGGCCAAAGUUUACGUUGCCACGUCUGGGUUGCUUGCCAAGAAUGAGGAAAUUGCUUGAGUUUGAUUUCUUAGCUGCCAUAGAUAGAGCAAUCAAGGAUAAAGUUGCCAAGAUCAGAGUUGCUAAAGAUGAAGUGUCGGAUGAGCGAACUGUUGAGUGCAAAGUGGCUGCUGCCAUCUGACCAUUUACUGCUUAGUUGGUCUUCGAGUAUUCGAUCUUUUGAGUUAUGUGACCUACAACACAACAUGAUAAAGAUCCAUGGAAUAUGAAAAUUGUUAACUAAUCACAUCAAAAUGAAUAGUUAUGCGGAAAUUCAUUGGCAAUUUGUCCCCUUCCGUUGAAGAGUAGACUCAGAUAGGCAUAAGAGAAUUAGUUUAUAUGGAGAGCUUACCCAUAUGGGUGUUAGGUAAUUGGUUUACCUUUUUGCACUAGAGAGUAAUUAGUUUACCUUCUCACACUGAAGAGCUUACCUAGAUGGGUGUCAAGGGAUUGGUUUACCCUCUUGCACUAGAGAGCUUGGAAAUCGUUAUGAGUGCAGUUGAGAAAAUUUAGACUGCAAGACAACUAAAAUAAUCCUCAUCUUGCCGACGAUAUGCUUGAGACUUUGAACUGCUUGUGGAAUCGGGGUGUACGUAGGAGUGUAAUGAACUGCUAUCGGACCUUAUUGUGCCAUCCUUGGAUGUUUCGUCGCAUGCUCUCUUGAGGCUUGGUUGGUAAUCAGCUGAGAAUCUGAAUUUAUUGCGCUUCAUCACUGCUAAUUAUUUCGCUAGCAGAGGCUGCUAGUCAAGCCUUGUAAUCUGCUUUGUUGUUGGAUGCUUUAAUGUUUGAAGUGUCGUGGGCUUAGUCGAUGAAGAUAUAAGCCAUAUGGAAAGAUCGGCACGAUUAGGAGCUGUGAUACAAGAUCGGUACGGCUGGGAGUCGUGGUGCAAGAUCGGCACGGUUGGGAGCCAUGGUGAUAGAUUUAGGGCAGCGGAGAACCAAUAAGCAGGUAUGAACAGCGGUGAACUAUUGGAUCAUUGGAUCAGUGGUGCUCGGCUACUGGUGAUGUGUUACUCUAGUAAUGAAUCGUCUAGAGUGACGAAAUCAAGACCUGCCCCCUGAUUCUUGGUGGUUGGGAUGGUGUGUCCUUUUGGUACCCAUGUGCACUCGAUGAUCCAUUAGGUUGAGUUGUUGCAUUUGUCUGAACAUAAGUAAUCUUUGUAUCCUUUAGUGUAUGUGGGAUUGUUCCCUCGAAGCACCUCGUUAGUAGCUUCGUUGCACUGGAAUUGUUCGGUCAAGAGCCUUUCAACUUCUUCCUCAAUUUGCCUCUAGUGGGGCAGUGAAGCUUUCGACUGCCCUUGGUCGGGAUCUGUUAGUCUAGGCUGCUCUUUCAUAUGCUCGACUUGUCUAUGUUGUAGCUGGGGUGCAUGUGGUAUAUUUCUAGCAGGCGAACAAGUUACUCGCAGGUUACCGGUUGAACUUGAGUUGGAUUGAGUGAUUGCUUCACUCUGUCCAUCGUGCUACUUACUCAGAUGUGAGGUAGAUGAGGCUCCUUGCGGGCUUAGCCGUAAAUGAACACUUCAUUUAGAAGGUUGCUUAUGUUAAUUAUCAAAAUAUGGCCCCAACCGUGAAUGUAUGCUGGUCUGUAGGCCUAAUCGAGAGUGCAUGCUCCUCCACGAGCUAAUACACUAUCUCGGGGCCCAGUCAAAAGUGCACACUGCUAGAAUGGUUGAUUCAUGUUUGGUCGAAUGGCUGUUUACCGAGAUGCUGUUGGAGAGGUUCGUCGUCUACCCUUGUCCUACUUCGGGACACCUCGCCAAUGGCACACUGCAUCUCAGUACACAAUAAAAGCUGAUUCACCAAGGUCAUCUAUUACGCGAUGGCGCUUGUUAAUUCUAUAACUUGUCGAGACAAGUGUUGUUUGCCAUUUGGGAUGGAAAAACUUGGACGAUUUUGGUCUCCUUGAGUAGUGGAAGGGCAAUGGACUUUGGGUGUGAGAUUUGAGUUGAGAUAUAUCAAAUAUGCAGGAAAUCGAGGUGAAAAUACCCCUGGUUCAAUCGUCAGUCCAGAAAUCUAAAGCUAGGAUGGUUGAACUAGCCUUGGACUAGUCGGGAUCACUAGGUGGACUACGAGAGCAGGUUGGGCCGUGGAAGUGGGCUGAGCCAUGUACGGGGUGUGUGGGCGCGGUGUGUUCUGGCUUGCUUGGCACUGGGCCCGCUAGUGUUGGUUUGCUUCAUUUGUUGCAGCCAUAACUGCUUGGGCUAUGCUUUGGGCCUCUGCUGCUAUGGCAGCGUUGUGGGCCUACUGGGUCUAGGCGGCCUCACGUUGAGUUAGCUGCCUUGUGGUAAGGGCUUGGGCUUGAUACUGCAAGGUGGCAGCUGUUGUUUCUUUGUGGCUUUGCUGCUAUGAAGUUGUCCUACUCCCCACUGCCACGGUGGUUGUCAUGACUGCCGUGGUGGUGGUACUCCGUGGUGGUAAAGUUACUCAUUUUGUCGCUGCGUUGAGCUUUGUGGAUCGUCGUGUGGGGUUACAUCGCAAUCUCCAUCAUCUGAUCCGGAUCUUUGAACGUAGAAAGUUUCUUUCGUCGUGGUUUCCGAACUUCUUGCCAUUGUAUUUUUCUCCUACGUCUAUUCAAAGAAUUAAAAACUUCUAAGAAUAAGAACGUAUGAAAAAUUUACUUAUGAAUGAGAAAUGAGAAAUUUUGAAUGCGAGAGUCUUCUUCGAGCGUGUGAAUCAAACUCUCAAUCAAAGUACUAAUUUAUGGAUGCAAAUUUCUGCCAUCUUCUCAUUUGACGAAAAUACACCUGCAAAAUAAUAACACCUAAGAUUAAGGCCAAAAGCCUCACUCACCCACAAUGAAUGGUGAGGCGCUUUGGCCGAAGAAUCUCUGAUGCCAAAUUUAGAAUUCUGAAAAGAAUGUGUUUAGGAGUUUGUGGGUAGCAAAUGGGUUAGCUUUUUAGUGGGAUAAUAAGGCUAUUUAUAGGGAAGUGGCCGACCCUAUUUGGAGAAUAGUGGCCAGCCAUAUAUGGUGUAAUUGGAGAAUAAAAUAAUAUUUUGCAAUUAACAUGAUAAUUUAUCCCAAAUUAAAUAUGAAGUGAUGAGAGGGAUUUGAAUAAAUAUCAUUUUGAUCACCGUUGACUCUUCCUUGAUUGAGCCGUUAUUGUCUGUUGCAUGCGCGUGGGAAUCCGGUGUGCCUCGAGGGUAAUUUUGUCCUUUUAACUCAAAAGUCCACGUGUCACCUUUAUAAAUUUUUUGAUUAUUUUAGGCUCCACAAUACCGACCGAGGUCUUGAAAAGAUUGGUGUUAGCUGUGGUAUAAUGACUUGAUCCAGUUUCCGGUGUGCGAAUUGGUUUCCCAUAUGACCUCGUGUGGGACCACUCAUGACGGGGCGUGUUAGAGUAUAGAAUCUCACAUUAGUCAUAUGAAAAAAUAUUAUACAAUUAAUAUAUGAGAGUUUCCAAUCUAAUAUCACCGAUCUAUUUUAUGAUAAACCACACACCUAGCUAGAUGAUUAGGUUGAAGCAACAUUGGUGAUGUUGAUAGUAGACUUGCAUGACCCUACAAAGUUUAUCAUGACAUUUAUUGAAUGGACGUAAAAAUUCCUUUGUACCUAGUGAACUUGAAGAAGAGGUUUUAUGGAUCUUCUCCCUGGGCAUCCUCAAUAAUCUCAAAAAUACUUAAUUUGUUUCCUUGCAAACAAGAAAAGGAUAAAAAGCAAAUAGAAUCGUGGCUGAUUGUCUAGCUUUCUUUAACCUACAAAGACGCGAUGUGAAUCAAAUUGAUAUAGAGAUGUAUUAUCUAUAUAUUCAUUUUUACUUCUCACACAUUCAUUCAUUAUUAAUUUCUAUCAUUUGGUCUUCUUUUUCAAUUUAUCCGAUCAGACGGUCGAAAAUUAAAAACGUGUGCGAGAAGUAAAAAAGAGUGUGUAGAUAUCACACAUUUUGAUAUAAUAUGGAUUUUAAGUUAUGAACAAUUAGCUUAACAAACUACAUCAACUAGCUGGAUUACAUUGACUUUGACUUCUAGAAGCUUUCCAUUACGCCCAUUACACGUCAAAUUUUGAGAUGAAGAUUUUCAAGUAAGGAGGCUGGAUUGCAAGUUUUCUUUUCAUUGACUUUGACACUAGACCUUUAUUCUCAGCUUUGGCCGCUAAUUUUGUGGAUACAAGUAUGCAGAACAUAAUUUCAUGAUCAAUGAGUAGCUAGGGGGAAACAUGUAUCUAAAUUACAAAAUAGGGAAACUGAACAACAUGGAGUCCUCUACAUUACUAUCACAACAGUUCUAACUUUCACAAUCAUCAACUCACAUUAAUCUUUUCAAGAGCAUCAUCAAUAGGAGUGCAAAAAUGCUUUGGAUUGUGGAUUUUUACUUUCUUUUUUAUUUGUUGGAAAAUUUUCUAGUGGAUGAGAUGUAAAAUAUCCAUGUUGGCUAGAAAAUACAUAUAACAAUGUAAAUUUGCAUAAUUUUUAUUUUCCAUCUUUUAUAGAUGGACCCCGCCAGGCAAAUAGAGAAUACUAAUUGAGAUUUCAAUAAUUACAUCUCUGUCAUUAGAGUGGAAGAAAUUUUUUAGUAUGUCUAGAACAUUGCCUGAUACACAAAGUGUAAUAAACAAUUGGUUGAAAAUUUGAAAAAAAAAAUUCAAUUAAUUAUAUUAUGACACUUGGUAUACCGAGCCAUAUUCCCAGCAAACUGAAAAUUUUCUCUAAAAAUAGGACACACAUUUUCAUUUCCAAAGACAAAGAGUGUAAGAUAAGAUGUAAAUAUGAUUUUUAUAUCUCAAAUUUGCAACUCUUCAUUGAAGAUACUGCCUUAACAUUAAUCAUGAAUGAACCCUUUAGAUGCCAAUAGAUAUUUUUAUUAACUUCUUAUUGAGAGUACACGUCAAGAAAAAGAUCGAUCUUGCAUGUACUUAUAAAAGGCUGGACUACUCUCCACUGCCAAUUAACCUCAAAUUUCUUCAUGGUUUCAGAGUAGGUUGACCCAAGUGUGAAAAUUAAUGGUCACAUGUGCUCCACGUCACCCAAUUUGUAUUGUCCAUGUAUUUGGUUUGAGAAUUCACCAUGUGAGGGAGGCGUGUGAGGAAGUGAAAGUUAAAGAGUUCCACAUCGUAGAAGGAGAAACCUUGCCAUUGAUCAUAAGCAUGGAAGAAAAUGCCGAUAAUAUCGGUGAAAUAUCGCCGAUAUUAUCGGUUUUUCGGGAAAUGGAUAUUUUAAUUGGUAUCCGAAUGGUUUUCGUCCAAAUAUCGCGAUAUUAUCGAUAAUAUCGCGAUAUUUUUUUGAACGGUGCAAUCAGACUCCGAGCCGAACGUCGGAGAAGAACGCCGGAGACGGUGUGCCUAUUCCCGAGCUGAUUUCGUCCCAAAAACCUUGCAAAAACACGAUUUUUAACUUCAAUUUCACAUAUAAACUUCAAAUUUCACGCAUGCAAGAGGUAAUAAACGAUUCAACAUAUGUUAUGUCGGUUUAGGGUUUAGGGUUUCAAUGGAAUCUCACCUGAAAACUUGUUUUCUUCGAGUCGAAGACGAACCAGAUGACUGAGCCAACUCCUUGCUCAGCGGCGCACCACCUCAGACGACUGAGCCAACUCCGACUUCGCCAGAGCCACGAUCAAUGGCGGCGACAUCCAGAUAUCGAGAGGGAUUCGAGAUUGUCGGACUGAGGAGCAGAAGGCCGUGGUGUGUGUGUAGGGGAAGGGAGAAGAGAGAUCGAGAGAUCUUUGUGUGUGUGUGUGUGUGUGCGUGGGAGAAGGGAGAAGAGAGAUCGGAGAAGGGAGAAGAGAGAUCGAGAGAUCUGUGUGUGUGUGUGGGGGGGGAGAAGGGAGAAAGAGAGAUCGGAGAAGGGAGAAGAGAGAUCGGAGAAUGGAGAAGAGAGAUCGAGAGAUCUCUGUGUGUGUGUGUGUGUUUGGGAGAAGGGAGAAGAGAGAUCAGAGAUCUGUGUGUGUGUGUGUGUGUGUUUGGGAGAAGGGAGAAGAGAGAUCGGAGAUCUGUGUGUGUGUGUGUGGGAGAAGGGAGAAGAGAUAUCGAGAAGGAUCGAGAGAGAGUGAGAAUGAGGUCGUGGUCUGCGUGUGUGAUGAUUGUGUGCGUGCGUUGUGUGCGUGUGUGGUUGCGUGCGUUGUGUCAUUUGUGUGUGUGUGUGUGGGUUCCUCCUGUCAGGAGGACACAUGACUCACUCAAUAUUCCCGACAAGUUUUACAAUUAUUUUGACAAUUUGACAGACUCACUUAGUAUUCCCGACAAGUUUUACAAUUAUUUUCUUUUACAAUUAUAAUUUGUAUUCUUUUCAGACCAUGGAUGGUGGUUUCAUUCAAAACCGUGUGCCGAUAUUGUUUUAAAAGGUGGAGUAUCAGAGCCAUUGUGAUAUUCUUUCAAAGCUGCAUUCUUUCAAGAGGUCGAGUAUCAUAGCCAUUCAGAGCCUUUUCGAUUAUUUUAUUUCCCUUACCCUUUUCAAAGUCAUUCCAGAUCAAUUCCAGAGCUUGAACACAAAGGGUUCCAUAUUUAAAGUAAGUUUACAAACUUAUAUUUAUAUUCUUAUAAUUUAUACAACAACAAAAAAAUUUGUGUGAACUCGUAUGUUAAUUUUUUUUAAGUAAUUAAUACUUGCAUGUUAGUUUUUGUAAGUAAUUAAGUAAUGUUAACAAUUACAUGUUAAUUUUUUUAAGUAAUUAAUACUUGCAUGUUAGUUUUUGUAAGUAAUUAAGUAAUGUUAACAAUUACAUGUUAAUUUUUUUAAGUAAUUAAUACUUGCAUGUUAGUUUUUGUAAGUAAUUAAUUAAUGUUAACAAUUACAUGUUAAUUUUUUUUAAGUAAUUAAGUAAUGUUGUAUAAUUAUUCCCUAGGAUAAUUUUAAUAUGUUUAAUGUUAUUUAUUAUUUUAUUUCCCUUACCAUUUUCAAAGCCAUUCCAGAUCCAUUCCAAAGCUUGAACACAAAGGGUUCCAUAUUUAAGGUAAGUUUACAAACUUAUAUUUUAUAUUAUUGUAAUUUAUAUACAACAACAAAUAAAUUUGUGUGGACUCGUAUGUUAAUUUUUUUAAGUAAUGAAUACUUGCAUGUUAAUUUUUGUAAGUAAUUAAGUAAUGUUAACAAUUACAUGUUAAUUUUUUUAAGUAAUUAAAUAAUGUUGUAUAAUUAUUCCCUAGGAUAAUUUUAAUAUGUUUAAUGUUAUUUAUUAUUUUAUUUCCCUUACCAUUUUCAAAGCCAUUCCAGCUCCAUUCCAAAGCUUGAACACAAAGGGUUCCAUAUUUAAGGUAAGUUUACAAACUUAUAUUUAUAUUAUUGUAAUUUAUACAACAACAAAUAAAUUUGUGUGGACUCGUAUGUUAAUUUUUUUAAGUAAUUAAUACUUGCAUGUUAAUUUUUGUAAGUAGUUAAGUAAUGUUAAUGUUGUAUAAUUAUUCCCUAGGAUAAUUUUAAUAUGUUUAAUGUUAUUUAUUAUUUUAUUAAUAUUAGGUUUUAUUAUCAAAUAGGGUAAUUAUUCAUUAAUAUUAGGUUUUUUUAUUAUCAAAUUGGAUUAUUAUUCAUUAAAUUAGAUUAUUAUCAAAUUGGAUUAUUAUUCAUUAAAUUGGAUUAUUCAUUAAAUUGGCUUAUUAUCAAAUUGGACUAUUCAUUAAAUUGGAUUAUUAUCAAUUUGGAUUAUUAUUCAUCACUAUGUUUUAUAUUAGGAUUAUUUUUUUAUCAAAUAGGAUUUUUAUUCAUUAAUAUUAGGUAUUUUUUAUUAUCAAAUUGGAUUAUUCAUUAAAUUGGAUUAUUAUUAAAGUGGAUUAUUAUUAAAUUGGAUUAUUAUAAAAAAGGAAUAUUAUUCAUCACUAUGUUUUAUAUUAGGAUUAUUUUCAUGAAACAUAAUUAUCAUCAUUUAUAGUAGGAUGAUUUAUAUUAGGAUUAUUAUCAAAAAGGAAUAUUAUUCAUCAUUUAUAUUAGGAUUAUUUUUUUAUCAAAUUGGAUUAUUAUUCAUUAAUAUUAGGUUUUAUUAUUCCAUAUUAUUUUUUUAAUUACUUAAAUUUUUACAAUCAUUUUCUUUACUUCAUAUUUAAUUAUUCUGUAGAAUAACUUUAUUAUUUAGGUUCUCUUAUAUAACCGUCAUCACUACUAUAUUUUUUGGCCAAAAAAUAUUUGUCUAAUUUUCAUGAAAAAUAAAUGUAGGUACAUUUACGAUGUCCAGUGGAGCUACUAAACGUGAUCCAGCUUGGGAACAUGGAUACCCAAUAGACGGAAACAAACAUGGCACAAUUUGCAAAUAUUGUGGUCGGGUAAUGAAGAGUGACGGAGUGACACGACUUAAGUACCAUCUUAGUGGAUUAGAUCCAGCAAAAAAUGUCCAACGAUGCGAUAAUGUCCCCCCAGAAGUGAAGGCAUUCAUCAGCACAUUAUUAAAAAAUAAAAAACAGCAGAAGGAAAAGAUAACACAGGGAAUGGAAAAUAUUCGAGCUGGGCUACAGGGAGAAGUCUAUGGCCAAGAGCUUGACAGUGAUGAUGAUGACGAUGAGGACGAAUGUGAUGAUGACAUGGGACCUGAAGAACGACGCAGUUUGAAACAAGCAUUACGUGCCUCCAAACAAUCAGCAUGGGAAAGAGAACACCUUCAUAAAAUUCCUAAUAGAGCACAAGGUUCUGGGACAAGUGGUGGUGCACAAAUGAGACGGGGAGGCAGUCUUAGAGAAUCACAACCAACACCACCAAUAGCCCCAAGUUUAUAUAAGUCAUCCAAAGCACGUCAAAAGAGUGUUUGGAGUUAUUUCACUGGAGGUAAUGUGAAGGAGGGAAUGGGGCGUCUAAUUAGCAAGUUCUUUAUCUAUGAAAAUGUCCCUGCUGCGAAGGCAUCAUCACAUCAUUUCAAAAAUAUGGUAGUGGGAUGUCAACAGGCCGGUGUUGGAGUACAACCUCCCACUCCCUAUGAGAUAAGAAACAAAUAUUUGGAUAUGGAGUAUAAAGACAUUGGCGAGUAUGUUAACAAGUUGAGGUCAAAGUGGGAAACUAAUGGUUGCACAAUCAUGUGUGACGGAUGUACCGGCCCGACCAGAUUGUCUACCCUCAACUUCAUGGUAUACUCCAAGGGAAAGAAAUUUUUUUUGAAGUCUUUUGAUGCUUCAGACCAUAUAAAGAAUUACAAGUAUAUUUACAAAUUAUUGAGGGAUGUAAUCAUGGAGGUGGGAGAGCAUAAUGUUGUCCAAGUCGUGACCGACAACGGUUCUGCAUUUGUCAAAGCUGGAAAAAAGUUAAUGAAGCAUCAUAAUGUGUUUUGGACAUCAUGUGCAGCACAUUGUAUUGAUCUCAUGUUUGAGGCAAUGGGGAAGAGAGAGAAUGUUGCUACUGUGGUCAAAAGAGCUAGAACGAUCACAAAUUAUAUUUACAAUCACGGUUGGUUGUUGGCAAAGAUGAGUGAAUUUUGCAAAGGAGAAAUUAUUCGUCCAGCUACCACUCGAUUCGCCACCAACUAUAUUGCAUUAGACAGCAUACUCAAGAAGAAAGCAGGGUUGAAGCAACUAUUCACUAGUGACGAUUGGGCCAACCACAAUUUGAGCCGCUCAAAUACAGGUCGUAUGGUGGAAAGUAUAGUGCUUGAUCAUGCUUUUUGGACUCAAUCAGAACAUGUGUGCCAAGUGUUUGAACCUCUUUACAAAGUUUUACGGAUCGUUGACACAGAGGUGUAUCCUACUAUGGGGGGCAGUAUAUGAGUUGAUGCGUGUAGUGAAGGAUGAAUUGGAAAGAAAACAUGGUGCAAGGUGGGUCAUAAAGAUAAUUGAAGACCGAUGAUAUAAAACAUUAUACCACGAUUUGCAUGCAGCAGGUAUAAAUUAUGUCAUAAUUUGCAAUUCGUUUCUUUAGUUGCAUAAGUAUUAUUUCUCUUAUUAGAGUAUGUGUUUAUUUGAACAACAUAUUAUUUGAAUCCCCGAUACCAAUACAGACCCGGUGUUGGAGAUGAUGGUAACCUUAUACGUGCUGUACAUAAUGUAUACUCUAAAUUAGACCCUGCAUCACCAGCAGUUGGCCAAUUUGGAAAUGAGGUAGACAAUUACUUAAAUUAUAAUAAUUACUUUGUUGGAUUAAACUAACACGAUUUAUUGAAUUCAGCUAACAUGGUUUAAAGAUGCAAGAAGAACUUUUGGAGAACCAACAUCAGUUGCUGCUUGAACAAAUAUGUCUCCUAGUGAGUAUAAACAUAUUUCACUAUAAGUUUAUAAUAGAAUUUGUUGGAGUUAUUAGGCUUAUCAACAUUGUUUUUCAUUGUAGCUGAAUGGUGGAUCAUGUAUGGGACCGAUGCACCAACUGUGAGAAAGUUAGCAAUCAAAGUAUUAUCACAAACAGCUUCCUCAUCUGCUUGUGAAAGAAAUUGGAGCACAUUUGUACUCAUACACACAAAGCAAAGAAAUAAGUUGGCUCAUAGUAGCUUGGAAAAAUUAGUUUAUUGCUACUACAACAUGAAGCUUCAAAUUCGAGAUAAGGAAGCAGAAAUAGAUCAUGUCGACCGUGGGGAGCCACUAGAUGUGUUUGAUAUUGUUGGUGAAGAUGAUGAUACAGAGGGUAACCAACUUUUUCAAUGGAUUAGACCUCUUCAUUUAGAUGAUGAUGAAGGCAACCCAGUUCCCAGAUUUGCUGAAAAAGCACGUAAUGAAGGGAUAAAUGUAGAAAGAGUAUUAGAGGAGGAGGUGGGAUCUAGCAGCGCUGACUAUUUGGAAGAACUUUUGCGCCCAAGACCAAGAAACACUGGAAUUCCACCUUCUUCCAAUCCUGCACAACCACAAUAUCGUGCUGAUACUAAUGAUAGCUCUAGUACAAGAUCAGGAGACUCACCUACCACCGGAGGUGGGAAUGAUGAUGGACAUAGUGGAGCUGGAGGUAGUGGUGGUGGAUAUGGAAACUAUUAUGGACCACCACCUCCCAGAUAUAUGAGCCCCUUCACUGGUGAGGCAAACUUCACGCAUGCAACAUAGGAUGAUGACCAUGGAAGUAGGCGGGCAGGACCAGGAAUUGGUGCCAUAGGGAAGGACUAUACUCGCAGAGAAAGAGGCAAGGGGAUUUUGUUAAGUCAAGAAGAUGACUCGUUAUCUAGAACUUCAGACUCUGUUGGAUUGGGAAGUAGUAACUAUGGUUAUACUCAUAACCAACCAUUUCCCUACCCUUCAUAUCCCAUUCCUGUUGGGAUGGAAUCGAGCGACUCAUGGAAACAAUCCCAGACUCAAUCUUCAAAUGAUUUUUCUUAUGGACAACCUCAACCAAUCUCGGAUCCAUAUGGGUGGCAUGUUAACAAUUACAUGCAAAACUAUUUUGGGGAUUUAUCAUUUGAUAACUACUCUUCACAAUACACUCAUUCUACACGUAGAGAUGAUGAAGAUAGUGAAAAAUUUGAACCUCAUAGAAACUCUAUGUGGUACUAAAGUGUAAAAUAUUGUACUAAUUCAUUAUAUAUAAAUGAUUAUGGUGUGUUUAGACUUCUUUCAUUAAUUACUACAUAUUUUCUACACUCACAAUGUUUGUCAGCUCGCUAUAUAAACAACUUGAUAAUGUUAAAUCCAUCAUGCAAUGCAUUUCUUUCCAUUUUUUUUGUGAUAAACUAAUAGAUAAUUGACUAAAUAAACAUCCUACAAAGUUUCAAUAAAAAUUUCCAAGUUUUUCUUACAAUUUCCGUGGUUUCCAUGUAAUUUUUAUCGAUAUCGAUAUUUUACCGAUAUUUCCAUCGAUAUUUCCGUGUUUUCGGACUACCGAUAUUUCCGAUAUUACCGAUAUUUUCUUCCUUGAUCAUAAGUAAGUUGGCAAUCAGUUUUAUGUUGGAACCUCUUCUUUGUGGUAUCUGAGCAUGUUGUCCUGAGUGUGAAGCUCACCAACUAUACGUGCUUCACUUCACCCGAUUUGUGUUGUCCAUAUGUUAAGCUUAAAAAUUCACCAUGCAUGAGGGGACGAGUUGAGAGUAUCAAUCCUACAUCAGGAAAAAGAAGACGUUGCAUGUGCUUAUAAGAGGUUUGGCAAGUUUCAUAUUACCAAUUAAUUUUACGAAGUUUUAAAGAAACACUCCCAUUACUAUUCACUUUUAACGAAAAACUACAUUUUUACCUUUCCCUUAUACUAUUCACUACACCUUUAUUUGUCAUUUUUCAUUAAAACUAAAGUUUUUUUUUAAUUUUUCGUUAAUUUUCCUUUAAUUUUUCGUUAAUUUUCCUUUAAUUUUAUGAUGAAAGCUCAAUUUUUUCACUUCUAAUAUCAUCCUUGAAAUUAUUGCCAUCACUAAUUUUUCUUUUGUAUUUAUGAUCUAAUUAUAUUGUCAUAAUUUUGACGAGUGUGGACAAGACAUUAAAAGAUAUGAAAACGUCUUUAUCCAUUAGAUAAUGAAGCCAAAAAUUUCUACACCUGCAAAAUAAUAACACCUAAGAUUAAGGUCAAAAACCUCAAUCGCUUACGAUGAAUGGUGGGGGCUUUGGCCGAAGAAUCUCCGAUGCCAAAUUUAGAAUUCUGAAAAGAGUGUAUCUAGGAGUUUGUGGGUAGCAAAUGACAUAGCUUUUUAGUGGGAUAAUAGGGCUAUUUAUAGGGAAGUAGCCGGCCCUAUUUGGAGAAUAGUGGCAAGCUAUAUAUGGUGUAAUUGAAGAAUAAUUGCAAGAUAUUAUGUGAAAUAAUAUCUUGCAAUUAACAUGGUAAUUUAUCCCAAAUUAAAUAAGAAGUUUUGGGAGUUACCCUUUGAAUAAAGGAUUUGAUGAGGAGUGAUGAGAGAGAUUUGAAUAAAUACCAUUUUGAUCACCUUUGACUCUUCCUUGAUUGAGUUGUUAUUGUCCGUUGCAUGCGCGUGGGAAUCCCAGUGUGCCUUGAGGGUAAUUUUUUCCUUUUAACUCAAAAGUCCACGUGUCACUUCCAUAAUUUUCUUGAUUAUUUUUGGCUCCACAAUGCCAACCGAGGUCUUGAAAAGAUUGGUGUUAGUUGUGGUAUAAUGACUUGAUCCAGUUCCCGAUGUGGGAAUUGGUUUCCCUUAUGACCUCGUGUGGGACCACUCGUGACAAGGCAUGUUGGAGUAUAAAAUCUCACAUCAGUCAUAUGACAAAAUAUUAUACAAUUAAUAUAUGAGAGUUUCCAAUCUAAUAUUGCCGAUCCAUUUUAUGAUAAACCACACACCUAGCUAGGUGAUUAAAUUGAAGAUAAUAUCGGUGAUGUUGGUAAUAGACUUGCAUGACCCUACAAAGUUUAUCGUGACAUUUAUUGAAUGGACGUAAAAAAUUCCUUUGUACCAAGUGAACUUGAAGAAGAGGUUUUAUAGAUCUUCUCCCUGGGCAUCCUUAAUAAUCUCAAAAAUGUUGUAAAUAUGGUGGAUGUCCACGCUAGCCACUAAUCCACUAAGCUACAAGUGGGAAUAAAGGUUGUCUUUCGCUGUCUGCCAAAGCUUACUCCCUACGACUCAUGUUUUCUAUAUAAAUGCAACACACACAAAACAUAGGUGAGUGACUCACGGUAGAGAGAGAGAGAGGAAAGAAGAGGAAGAGAGAAAAAGAGAGGAGAUAAUAAAGAGAGUUAUCUUUGUACUCCUAUUAUUCCAAAUUAUAAUGAAAGCACCACUGCUGCCCCGAGGAUGUACUCUAGUCACACCGACUGUAGAGGAACCUCGUAAAUUUUGUGUCUUGUUUCCUUUAUUCCACUACACACACUGUCGAUUUUACAACACGUUAUCAGCACGAAAAGCUCUUAUUUCCGUGGAAAGCACAACGCCAUAAUUCGGUGAAGUAUUACCUAACUCCCACCUCUGCUAGCCAAAAAAUUCACAGAAUAAAAGGUAUGUCCAUUUUCUGUAUCUCCCACCGCGCCAGAAGCGCCCCACCGAAUUCCGGUGAGAAUUGAAAUUUACAACGACCUAUAGUCGUCACGAGAUAAAAAAACUCAUACCUGACAACUGGUUUCCAGAUAUCUAUAAGAAUCUCAUCAGACUUGGAAACCCAUAUCGCGUCGUUUUUUAUGGAUCUCGAGAACUCCCAUGAAUACUCAGUUGUCUGAAAUGGUGAUGGCAUGACUAACUCCACACAUGCCUCCCUCUCUUGUACCUUCAUCAACUCCGUUGUCAUUUAUGUCCCUAUAGGGAAGUUCUUGCUUUGCGACGCCAUGUUCUCUGGGCCAUGCAAGAACAACGUUAGUCUCUGGUAGCCUUAUUGGAUUAAAUUGGCUUUGUGUGACCUCCACAACAACCCAGAUGGCCCUGGGUUUGAGACUAGUACAGAUAGACAAAUAAGAAAAAUGAAGGAGGGAUUAUGGAAUGGUGUUUCAAGCACUGUGUGAAAAAGAAUUGGAAAAGUGGAAUUUUUGGACAAAUGUUUCUAAUGAUACAUCUGCACCAUUCUGAAAAGAAAAAAAAAAUAAGCAGAAUUUGGAUUGGUGCCCCGACAGAAGUGAAGGGAGGAAUAUAAUAAAACAAAAAAGGGGAAAAGCCAAAAGGCUUUGAAUGGUGCAUGUGAUCCAUUAUUAAUACUGGGUGUGCGCAUGUGUGUGAAUAGGAUUCCGAGGGAAAUAAUACACAAAAUACCCACAACAUUUCUCCAAAGAUUUCUGGAACCACCAUUCUGAAAAGAAAAAUAUAUAUAUUUCAUGUUAUUGUUAUUUAUGUGAAUGGUGUUGGCUUAAAACACUUUCACAAGUUCUAUUUACUUUAAACCAAUUUAUUUACCAUGGACGGUUUUACCGCUUAUUGCUUUAAGUUUUGAUUUAUAUGAAUGGUGUUGGCUUAAAAUACUUUCACAAGUUCUAUUUACAUUAAAGCAAUUUAUUUAUCAUGGACGGUUUUACCGCCUACUGCUUUAAGUUUUGAUUUAUGUGAAUGGUGUUGAAUUAAAGCCCUUGUCACAAGCUUUAUUUACUUAAAUGCAAUUUAUUUACUAUGGUUGGAAUUACCGCCUAUUGCUUUAAUUUAUUUAUUGUACUUACCUUUUGUUACGAUAAGUAUAUAUAAGGCCCAAAGUUCCUUGAUAAGAUCAGAACCUGAAGUUUCUUGAUCCUCAUCACAUAAAAUGAUUGGAUCCAAAGUUCCAUCAUGCAAAAAGAACAGGCAUGAAGUCCCUAGAUCCUCAAGAUCGGACAUGAAUUUUCUUGAUAAGUACCUUAAGUUUGAAGUGCCACAGUGCUUCAACUUAAUUGUAAUAAAGGUCAUAAGAAUCUCAGUCUACAGACUAUUAAAUAAGGACAAGAAGUUCUUUAUGUCCAUACUCAAAAUGGUUUAGCGAAACAUUUGUUAAGCGAAUGAAAUUGAUUACCCGCGCUCUACUCAUGAAAACAAAAUUGCAAGUUUUCUACAUGUGGACAUACCAUUUUACAUAAUUCAUUAUUAAGUUUGGUUGAGACCAGUUGCCAACCAUCAAUAUUUCUUAAUACAACUCAUGUUUAGGCACCAGCCAAACAUUAACAUUUACGAGUUUUUAGUUGUGUUAUCUAUGUGCCUGUAAGGCUGCCACAACGUACUAAAAUAAGGCAUCAAUACAAACUGGGAAUUUAUGUUGAAUUCGAUCCACCAUCUAUCAUUCAACAUUUGGAACCCUUAACUGGGGAUAUAUUUACCGCAUGAUUUGCGGACUAUGAUUUUGAUAAGACAAUUUUCCCGCCAUUAGGAGGAGAAAAUAACAUUGUUCCAGAAGAAUGAUAAGAAAAUAUCAUUCCAGAAGAAUGAUAAGAAAAGACCGUUCCAGAAGAACGAAGAGAAUUUGUCUUAUUUUGAUUCAUGAAGCAAUCAAUGAGAAAAUGAAGUAAGAAUAAUUGAAUGAUGCAACGAAAGUGAUGAAAUCAUAUACACUUGCUGCAAAUGUGCCUAUAAGAAUUGAUGUCCCUGUUGGACAAAAUAUAAUGAGGCAGUAAAUGAUUUAUCUAUUGCACGCCUGAAGUGUGGCAGACCCUUAGACUUAAAAGGUUCAUUCAUUUGAAAGAAGAAGAAUAUGGGACUACUAAACUAUUGCAUUCUCGAAACAUAACUGUUGCAUGCCAGAAGCAUAACAGUCGCUGCAUGGAUAUACGUCCCAUAAAGGACAAUCUGUGGAUAUGGGAAUGUUGAUGUCUCAUGCAUGGAGCAUGAUAGACAUAUAGGUUCCAAUGACUCAACUCCCGAAAGUGGAGAUUAAAAUCCAAGCUCUAUAACGCUCAAGAAGAGGUUAUGAUCCGCAUUCUCUAAAUUAUGACUAUCCUAGAAGAGAUAGUGUAAUGCCCUUGAAGAGGCAAUGGAUAUCCAAAAGAAAUGAAAAGCUUUUAUGCAUGCGCAUGCACAUCAGAAUAUGAGAUCACAAAUUGAUGAUAACCAAUGGUAAUUUUGGUUUUUAUAAGUAGCUACAAAAUCAUCAAUGAGCUGUGUUGAUAUUGAGUCUCGUUCUUUUUCGUCAACAAAAUUAUUGGCCAAAAUGGAGAAAGGCAAUUCCAUUACAAUUUUGUACGAACAUGGAAAAAUGGACCUAUAUAUUUGAAUAUAAUACAAAUAGCCAAAAGAUAUUGAACCAAGGAGGUUACAUUGAGCAUUUGUAAUACAGUGAAAUACACUCAUAUGAUAUGACACAAGGUAUUGAAACCUGAAAUUAUACUCUUGUAAACAAGUUCAUAUGAAUGGAGAAUUAUAUACGAAGGGUUGUGAGUCGUCCACAUUAUAUUUCCAUAAAUAGAUCCCUCAAGUAUACAUGGGAGCAAAUUGCUCUGUAUAAAUUCCAAAGGAAAAUGAGUCAUGAAGUGUAGAAAAUCCUUGAAUGAUUCAAAUUGCUUGAAGUAAGCCCAGGAAGGGUAAAGCAUAAAAUAUGUACUCAAUACCAAUGGAUGGGAUAAAUUGCCUUAGUGAGUACUAUCAUUAUGAUAUUGUUGCAAUAUACUAAAAUCUCUUGCAAGAAGUUGAUGAUAUUAAAUUAGAACUCCUGAAGAAACUCUCGAAGAGUUUAGAAAGAAUAUAAAGUGUUGAGAGAAAUAUUGUCUCGAACUGCAGAUCGAACAAUAUGCCAACACAAAUCUCAUCCAUAAUGUUUAUGAUAUUAAAGAAUCAUAUGGAUUGAAGAUUAUGAGUUAAAUACUCAAAUAAUGUCGACACUAAGAAUGAUCAUUUAUCUUCGUGAGGGUAAAGAUAAAUUAAUAUUUGGUCCAGAAGUACCACAUCUUAGUGAAGUAUAUGCUUUAUUGUAUUUAGCACAAUACAUUGAAUGAAAUAAAGCUUAUCUAUUAAUAUCUCCGAGAAAUUACAGAUAUGUACAUACACAUAAGUUAAAACAAACAAACAGGAUGGAGUCUUUACAAAGGUUGCUCAUGUGAAGCCUCAGUACUUGGAAAUACCCCAGAAGGGGGAGGCACUGGAGAUUGAUUAUGUGGCACCCCAGUACUUGGCAAAACACCAGAAGCGGAAGACAUCAGUUGCUUUCAGAAUCUAGCAACGAACCUUUAGUGAUUAGUUUGAAUCCGACUUUCGGAUUCCUGCAGCUGGUUGAGCUUUCUUUUCAUGCUUGUCGAGUAAUUAUUUGCAAGCACGUGUAACACUCUAUUCUCGUGCUUGAGCCCUCUGAUCUCUUGUUUAAGACUUGCCACCUUAGCCAUCAAUGAUUCAACUUGGCGAGUUUGAGCAAGUAGGCAUUGGCCCAUAUUGGAUACAGAGCCUGCACAUUGAACAUUGAGAGCCAAUGAGUCUUGAACGGCCGACUCAUCAGACCGUUUGGAAAGGACCAUGUUAUCCUUUGGAGUGAGAAAAUUCCUAACUACCACAGUAGCGGUUAUGUUAUUCUUCAUCACAGAGUCCCCAACCGUAAGAGGACCAUUAGAAGAUAAGAAGGACAAGCGCCAUAUAUUAUCCUGAUGCUGCUCGUCUAUGUCACUCAUAAGACUCAAAUCUAAGUAAAUGUUAGAUGGGCAAGUCAUUUUCAGAAAUGAUGAAGGAAAAAGGAGGUCAAGUAAAAUUUCAGAAGUGCAAGAAAGAGGAAAUUUCUACAGGCAGCAACUUUCUGGGCACACUCUUAAACACAAUUGAUGUCUCUAUAAAAGAAGAGGUAACAAAGCCACUCGUUCAGAGAUCGAAGAGGCAUUGCUCUCAAAAUUUCAAAAGCCAUAUUUUCUUGAAUAAAGUUCGUGCAUUUUUCAGAUGCAAUCUCAGCUUUUUUGGAUAUCGCGUGCAACUUUGUCAAAGAUCUCUGACAAAGUUGAAAACGCGUAAAUCUUACUGUUCUAAUUACACCACAGUUGUUGACAAGAGUAAAGGCACAUCACCACUACCUGCUAUUGAAAAAUCUCUAUAUAUGUCAAUCUCCGUUCUCCAUAACAAGGCAGACCUGCAAGAAUACCUAACUCUUCCUCAUCUCCAAGAAUGCAUCUUCAACAAAGCAUCUCGAAAUACUCAGUUUUCUUCCUCUCCUAGAAUACCUUUUCAAAACAAGUCACACCAGAGCAAGAGUAUCUCAUAUCUUCAGGGAUGACAGCAAGAGUAUCUCAUAUCAUGCAAUCUCCAUGUCAUUUCCCUUGUCCUUGUUCUUACCUGCAAAGACAAGGAUAAAGAAAGCAAUAUGUCGGAACCUCCACUCAAACUCUCGGUAAGGAACCGACUGCCUGGAACCUUUCCUGAUUGCUUACAUAGUAUUGCUCUCGAGUAGGCAUCUUCAACUGUUGUUGGAGCUGGGCCUCUAGUUACCAAGAAGUGAUGAACCAUCCAAAUGCAAGGGUUGCAUUCCACUCCUGCAUCAGAGGGCAAAUACUGCAGGAGAAUAUGCCACACAUGCAUGGGGGGAAACCAGGGAAAAUAUUACUUAAGCAAGGGGAGCAAGUAAGGCAAGAGAAAAUGAUACAUUGAAGCAUGUGGAGACAAGCGCAUCAAACACGUGCUUAUUCAUCCCCGACAAAACCGAAGAUCACUUGCCACGUGAAGCUCCUCAUGAUCCAAUUUCAUUCAAGAUCAAACCUCGAGGCCCUUGAGGAAAUCACAAGUCCGAUUUAAGAUCAAGUGUCCACCACCCUUGAAUCAAAUUCCGCUCCAGAUAAAAGGAGUAAAUUCAGACCUUUGGGGUAAGUCUAGCAGAAAGCCUUCUAACCCAAUUCAAGAACAAGCCUGUGGAAAGUUAACAACAAGUAAAACAUCUCUUUCGGCAACUCUUCUCACUAAGAGACUGAAGUAGAAUGAUCAACAAUCAGCCUAAAUGAUUUGAAAUCAGGGGGAGAUAUUCUUCAGGGGGAGCAUCCAAGACAGAUCAAGAUUUUAACGAGUCAAUCGAAGACUUGUGGCCAUCCAAGGGGGAUUGUUGUAAAUAUGGUGGAUGUCCACGCUAGCCACUAAUCCACUAAGCUACAAGUGGGAAUAAAGGUUGUCUUUCGCUGUUUGCCAAAGCUUACUCCCUACGACUCAUGUUUUCUAUAUAAAUGCAACACACACCAAACAUAGGUGAGUGACUCACGGUAGAGAGAGAGGAAACAAGAGGAAGAGAGACAAAGAGAGGAGAUAAUAGAGAGAGUCAUAUUUGUACUCCUAUUAUUCCAAAUUAUAAUGAAAGCACCAUUGCUGCCCCGAGGACGUACUCCAGUCACACCGACUGUAGAGGAACCUCAUAAAUUUUGUGUCUUGUUUCUUUUAUUCCACUACACACAUUGUCGAUUUUACAACAAAAAAUGCUUAAUUUGUUUCAUUGGCAAACAAGAAAAGGAUAAAACGCAAAUAGAAUCGUGGCUGAUUGUCUAGCUUUCUUUAACCUACAAAGACGUGACCUAAAUCAAAUUGAUAUAGGGGUGUGCUAUCUGCACAUUCAUUUCUGCUUCUCACACAUUUGUUGUUAAUUUAUGUACUUUGGUAUUCUUUCAAUUCAUUCGAUCAGAGGAUUGAAAAUUAAAAAUGUGUAUGAGAAAAAAGUAUGUAGAUAUCACACCCCUUGAUAUAUUAUGGAUUUUAGGUUAUGAACAAUUAGCUUAACAAACUACAUCAACUAGCUAAAUUACAUUGACUUUGACUUGUACGCGUCAAAUUUUGAGAUGCAAGAUUUUCAAGUAAGGAGGCUGGAUUGCAAGUUUUCCUUUCAUUGACUUUGACACUAGACAUUUAUUCUCAGCUUUGGCCGCUAAUUUUGUGGAUUCAAGAAUGCAGAACGUAAUUUCAUGAUCAAUGAGUAGCUAGGGGGAAGCAACAUGUAUCUAAAUCACAAAAUAGGGAAAGAGAACAACAUGGAGUCCUCUACAUUACUAUCACAACAGUUCUUAACUUCCACAUUCAUCAACUCACAAUAAUCUUUUCAAGAGCAUCAUCAAUAGGAGUGCAAAAAUGCUUUGGAUUGUGGAUUUUUACUUCUUUUUUUUGUUGGAAAUUUAUCUAGUGGAUGAGAUGUAAAAUAUCCAUGUUGGCUAGAAAAUACACAUAAAAAUGUAAAUUUGCAUAUUGUUUUUUACAUCUUUUAGAGAUGGACCUUGCCAAGCAAAUAGAGAAUACUAAUUGAGAUUUCAAUAAUUACAUCUCUCUCAUUAGAGUGGGAGAAAUUUUUCAGUGUGUCUGGAACACUACCCGAUACAUAAAGUGUAAUAAACAAUUGGUUGAAAAUUAAAAAAAAAAAUUCAAUCAAUUGUAUUAUGACACUUAGUUUACUAGGUCAUAUUCCUGGAAAACUGAAAAGCUUCUUUAAAAUAUAACACACAUUUUCAUUUCCAAAGACAGAGAGUGUAAGAUGAGAUGUAAAUAUAAUUUUUAUAUCUCAAGUUUGCAACUCUUCAUUGAAGAUACUGCCUUAACAUUAAUCAUGAACGAACUCUUUAGAUGCCAACAUAUAUUUUUAUUAACUUCUUGUUGAGAGUACAAAUCCCACAUUAAGAAAACGAUAGAUCUUGCAUAUGCUUAUAAAAGGUGGGACUACUCUCCAUUGCCAAUUAACCUCAACUUUCUUCAUGGUUUCAGAGUAGGUUGACCCAAAUGUGAAACUUAAUGGUUACACGUACUCCAUGUCACCCAAUUUGUAUUAUCCAUGUAUUUGGUUUGAGAAUUCGUCAUGUGAGGGAGGCGUGUGAGGAUGUGAAAGUUAGAGUCUCACAUCGGAGAAGGAGAAACCUUGCCAUUAAUCAUAAGUAAGUUGGCAAUCGGUUUUAUGGUGGAAUCUCUUCUUCGUGGUAUCUGAGCAAGUUGUCCUGUGUGUGAAGCUCACCAACUAUACGUGCUUCACUUCAUCCAAUUUGUGUUGUUCACGUGUUAGACUUACAAAUUCACCACACGUGAGAUGACGUGUUGAGAGCAUCAAUCCUACAUCAGAAAAAAGAGGACCUUGCAUGUACUUAUAAAGAGUUUGGCAAGUCUCAUAUUACCAAUUAAUUUUAUGAUGAAAGAUCAAUUUUUUUUUCACUUCUAAUAUCAUCCUUGAAAUUAUUGCUGCCAUCACUAAUUUUUCUUUUGUUGUACACAUGAUAUUUGAGACAAUAAUUUUGUCUCUGAAACUAUUUAUGAUCUAAUUACAUUGUAAUAAUUUUGACGAGUGUGGACAAGACAUUAAAAAAAUAUGAAAACGUCUUAUCCGUUAGAUAAUGAAGCCAAAAAUCUUUCUAAAUCUGUAUAAUUGCCAAAGCUUCUGUUCUCAGUUCUGUCAUCUUGUUAUUAUUCAAUCAACUUUCCUUGUCUACUUAUCUCAGGGAUUAUUUCCACUUGCUAAAGAUUUGAUCCCUUGUCAAUGAUUUUCUAUUAAAUUGAUAAUAAUUCAAAGUAAAACAGAAACACACAUACUUCAAUGGCAGCUUUGAGGCUAAGAAUUUAUAUCCUGGUUUUCUGUGCUUGCCUAGUUAUUCAGUGCAGCUGCUAUUGCCAUUCUGUGCUUCAGAAAAAGCAUGCAGCCCUAUUCAUCUUUGGUGAUUCACUUUAUGAUCCUGGAAAUAAUAACUACAUAAACACCACCACUGAUUUCCAGGCCAAUUGGGUCCCAUAUGGUGAGACCUUCUUCAAGUAUCCAACUGGCAGAUUUUGCGAUGGACGUUUAAUCCCAGAUUUUCUUGGUAAGAAUCUUAAUCGUGCUGUCAAUAAUUUUUGUUUAAUUUUUUCGAUACCCCUUCAAACACCUUUCCUGCUAACAAUUAUACCAGCAUAUUUAGUACAUUUACAUUGAUGUUGCAGCUCAGUAUGCCAAGUUACCGAUUAUACCAGCAUAUUUACAACCUGGGUUGAACAACUAUACUAAUGGGGUGAACUUUGCUUCUGGUGGAGCUGGUGCUCUAGUUGAAAGUCAUCAGGGACUUGUAUGUGCUCUAGCUUAUAAAAUGUUUUCCAUUAUUAUUAGGAGUUUUCGUUUUUCCAACGAAACAGAGGACUAGGCGAUUAUUGAUUUUCCGUGUGCGAAAGAAAUUCGGGCGGACAUUUAUCCAUUUGGCAUGACUUAAUUUUGUUUUCCUCAUUCUUUCCAGGUGAUAGACCUUAAAACUCAAAUAAGUCAAUUCAGGAAGGUGGAGAAGCAGUUGAGGCACAAACUGGGUGAUGCACAAGCCUACACGGUGCUCUCCAAAGCUGUUUACAUAAUUAGCAUUGGAGGCAAUGACUAUUUGUCUCCAUUAGCGUCCAAUUUUAGCAAUGAAGAAUACGUUGGCUUGGUUAUUGGCAACCUGACAAUUUGGAUCAAAGUAACAUUUUUUUUCUAUGCUUAGUUUCUUCUUUUUCCGAUGAUUUGCGACAGCUCGUGCCCUUUUCUAUUGUUUAUGAAUUCAGAAUAAUAUUUGGAUGAAUAACUUGGUAUACAUUUUGUCAGGAAAUAUACAAGAAAGGAGGAAGGAAAUUUGGAUUUUCAACCUUGCUGCCUCUCAGUGAAAUACCGAGCCUGAGAGUACAUAAACCAGGGGACACAAGCCCCUCAGCGGAAGAAGUUACACCACUAGUGAAACUACACAAUAAAGCACUUGGAAAACUCCUCCUAAAGCUGAAGAGAGAGCUCCAAGGACUCAAAUACUCAACCAUUGAUCUCCAUACAUACCUAAAACAAAUUAUAAAUCGUCCAUCAAAAUAUGGUAUAUCUAGCUACCUACUGUACCUUCUUUUAGCUUUAGCUUUAGUUUCUCUUAUUUGUUUCCUUUUUUUCAUAAGCCAAUUAAGUUACGUCCUUUCUAAUUUUGUUGUAAAGGCUUCGGUGAAGGAAAGACGGCAUGUUGUGGCUCUGGUCCAUACAGAGCAAUUUAUUCUUGUGGAGGGAAGAGAGGAGUGACUAAGUAUCAGUUGUGUGACAAUGUUACUGAAUAUGUAUUUUUCGACUCUUUCCAUCCAACCGAAAAGGUUUACCGGAAACUGUCCAAGUUAUGGUGGAGGCAUAACUUGAAGGAUCUAUUUGAAGUUUAGACAAAACUAGCUAGUAAUGCUCGCGCGUUGUUGCGGGAUUACAAAUUGCAUGAAUAAUUAUGUAUCAUUCUCUUCAAACAGUUUCUCUAAUUAUGAGUUUUAUUAAGCAAGAAAUAAGACUUUUUUCUUGUCACAGAAUUAGCAUUUUCAAUGCAUCAAAGCAAGUGGUAAUUAUUAAAAUGAAUAUGUUAACACAUAGCAUAAAAUCUAAUAACCUAAAUAAUAGUAUUUUAAUUGACAUCAACAAUCAGAAACACAAUAAAGUUGGGUGAUUUAAUGGUUACAAACCAUGUAAAUCACCUAAACAUAGAGAAAUAAAAAGUAGAUAAAAAUUAAGGAUUGACUUGAGCUUGGAGUUCACAAAAUGCUUUUAAGAGCAGUAAAUGUUCUGUUGGAUCGAGUUCCUUGUAAUGAGACUCUUCUCACAAACUGCAUAAAUAAAAUUCUAACUUUCAACCACCCCUAAUUUAAAAUAAUUAAGCUAAGCAAAUACACAGUAAGCACUGCACAAUCACAGUAAUAACAAUUUUCUAAUAGCAUUACAUUUAUCAAUUACUCUGCACAGGAAUUUCAAAAAUGGAUAACUAAGCUGUAAUUUAAGAUCUUUGAAAUUGCAAUUUUAUAACUCACUAAACCCAAAUUACAAACUAUGCAGUCAAUCUCAAUACCCUCCUUAUUACACAUCGAAAGUUAAAAAACAAUAUAGUUUCUUUGAGAUUUGUAAGUGGAAGUACCUCAUUGAAAGCCUUUAGGAAGCACUGCAGCACCUUUUGGAACCUUUGCCUCAUUAUGGUCUGGAGUGCAUAAUGCACAAACAGUUUAAGCAUUUCCCAGCACCACAGAGCAUCAUAUUUCCUAUUAUUAAUCCACAAUGCCCCCUCCAGCUUUGAAAUAGCAACUAGGCAAACAAACACAAAUAUACAUUUAUAAAUUCAAACUCCCAAAUAACUAAAUGGAAGAAGUCACAAAUUUAUAUUUUCAACUACCAGAUAAAACAUGGAGAAUUCCUACGUCUAAAAUAAUUAAACAGUUGGUAUUUGGCGGUGAAACUUAAAAACCAAAACUGCACUUAAUGUCCUAGAGAGAACAAAAUUGCAAGCAAAAGUUAGAAUAUUGAAACAAUAUCGUGAUAGUCAUGAAAUAAGUUUAUCGUUUGCUAAUAUUGAUUAUUAGGUUCCAAGUUUGUCUCAAUUUAUCAUUUUCUAUUAAGCUGAAAGUCUAAACAUUUUGGUACUUACCAAGUAAAAAGCAAUUAAUUAUUUGAUGCUACUUACAAAACCUAUUGGCAUAUAUAGGCUUUGAUUAAAAGGUCAAGUAUUUACCAAAAGAUUCCAGCUGCAAAAUGCAUGGACGAUUUACAAAGUGUUUGAUAAAUCCGGAAUUUGAUUCUUUCUCUUCCUCCGUUUCCUUGCACCCCAAGAAAAGAAAAGCAAUUUAGUGCCAAACUUUAAAAAGAACCUGUAAAAUCCAGAGCAAGCAUUAAAGAAAGUUAACAGUGUAGGACUGUUGACCCUAAAAACUACCAAGCCUACAUGGCGCGCAGGCCGAGUAAUUAAUAAGCUAACUACGUCCUUCGGUGAAUGCGGGGCAUGCCAACUCGUCGGCCGAGGAGUAAAUUUUGUUGAUGUUGCGUUGGGUGCGCAACUGACUUCUGCGUCUUGCGAUUGCGGCCGAGAAAGGAACACGUCUCGGCCUCUUGGGCUCUCGAACCUGAAGACAAGGUUUCUAUUCUUACGAAGUUCAAUAUCAAAUUCGGCUUUCAAUGUGCCGAAUGUAAUAACUGUAACACCUCACUUUGCCGAGAAGGCUGAUGAGAUGACCUCGACCAAUAAGGAUUCAGAAACCCUUCUCGACCGAGACUUGGAUAGGUAAUCAACCGUCCUCGCCGCAGUGCUGUUGAUGCCAACGGAAGAUGCUGCGAGACCGGCUGUGACUUAAGAUAUCACCGGUUGCUUCCACAGUGCUGUUGAUGCCAACGGAAGAUGUGUCAGCGAAAAAGAAAGAAAAAAUCUCAAGUUGUUGAGUUUGCGCAGGGCAGUUUUGUAUUGAUUUGCAGGGGUCCUCUUUUACGCUGCACAACCUCAUGUAUUUAUAGUGAAGGUUAAACCCCACCGCUUGGCGCAGCUUGAUACUCAUGAAGAGUCCUAUUGAAUUAUAUCUUGUGGAAUUGCAUCCGAACUGUGCGCUGCACUAUCCUUUAGCCGAGGAUCUCUAAGACAAACUAAAGCAUAUCCUUCAACAUAAGCCAUAAUACCACCGUGGACUUUUAGCCCAUUUAAACCACCACCUUUGCAUGUUAAUCUCUGACGCAUAUACCAAAAUGUUUAUCCAUAUUUUAUAUACAUAAUAAUCACUUUGCAGCAGACUAAGCAACCAAAUUGAUCCCACCCACACAUUUAUACGCGGAUCAACUUGGAUUCAUACGCCAAACAUCCAGAUCAACUCGAAUUGUGCCACCAUAUUCCCAGCUUGGAGAUACAUAUAUCAUCUUUCAUAAUAAAUUAUUAUUAACAGAUAGUUAUGAUAAAGAUCAUAACAUUAUCCUUAAAUAAUAACAAAAUGAUCUUUUUACCUUUCCAUCUGACGGUUGGGAGCUAUGCCUACCUAACGGCCUUGAUUGCACGGGCCGAUGAUGUAAAAUCGGGUCCAAACAUUGCCCCCCAGUUUCCUUGAACUUCGGCUCGUAAGCCAAUUGGUUGAGGAAAUUAAGUCUCACUAGUUGAUCACAAGCACAGCGGCGCCAAGAAAUAUAUCGAACCGAAAUAACCGUCGAAUCCCCUAUACAAUAUUCUGAAGUCCGAAAUGAUUAAAUAGCAUAGCCCCAUAAGAAUGACUUUGAUAUUGUCAUAAUAUGGUGAAAUAUAUCAUCACCUCCAAGCAUUAGUUCGCCGAGUCUCUAAUGCCCUCAUUAAAAACAAUCCCCCAAUAUGUAUAUAUACACACAUAUAUAGUUGUGGCCGAGAACCCCCAUUUUCUUUAUAUAUAUUUGGUGUUGGCCGAAGCAUAUAUAUGCAGCUUUGGCCGAGGCUUAUAUAUGCUGAGGCCGAGGCUUUUGUAUGGUGGUCGAGCCUGAGGCCUUUGUAGAGUGGCCGAGGCCGAGACCGAAACCGAGAAAAAUCCAAGACGUCGGCCUGCCUAUAUAUAUAAACCCAUUUUACUCGGCCAUAUAAAGAUCAUUCCUGGGGCUUGGCUGUAACGUAUAAAAACACCACGAAACCACGUGGUCUUGAGCAAUCAUUCAACUACACCAAACCCUCCAUGCACCGACACAUAUUUGUACGAGGUCAGGACUCAGGAUGCUUGCACUUGAUUCUGAUGUAGCCUGCUAAGAGAACAUGGUCAUGGCUUCCUUAGACCAAAGAACAACCCAUGGUCGAAGAAAAGUGAUAAGCAAUCACGAACCAAGGUAGAAAAAAUAAUUUGGGGUCGAGAGUUUGGCCAAACUUUUUUUUUUUUUUUUUUUUAUUCGGCCAAACCAAUCCCAGGUGCAUUGAAUGGCUCGACAACCACUCUUUUGGCCGAGACUCUAAUUGCAGAUGCCAUGAUUCAACUCCUGCUUUGAUGCCAAAUUGUAACACUUUGUGCUAGAACAAUUCAUGCCAUGAUUAAUUUCUGCAUGAUACGUUAUAUGCCGAAUAAAUCUCAAAUCUGAACACAAAUCGGUCGACACAAUACUGCCCCCUUUAUUUUUUAUGCAUCGGCUUAAUUAGCCAGAUGAUUAAGAGAAUAAUAAAUUAUUUUUCUUAAAAAUCAAAUGAAAAUGGCCGAACUAAUAAAGAGGAGGAGGCCAACGAUGCUUUAUUCCAAGCCGAGAUCUUAGGCCGAAUAAAGAAUUUUCUCCAAAUAUUUUUAACUUAAUGAAAUAUUUUUCAUUUUCGGCCGCCGAAUGUGUUGAACAAUUAUUAUGCCCCCCGGGCAUAAUUAUUUCACCAAUUUCGGCUUUUAACUCAAGCAACUUAGCCGAACGGGAUUUCUCCAUAUCGGCUUUAUCACCAAUAAUCAUAUCAAUUGGCGUGAUUUUUUCAGCUAGGCCUAUGUCUUCAAUUACCAUAUCAAUCGAUGUGAUUUUAUGGUUUGAAGUCGUGUAUUGGUCUUGUUCGUCAUUGGAGCACUUCUCUGACGAAUCAUUUUCUAAGUCAAUUUGUGGCUCAGAAACUUGAACAUUUUCUUCUAGGCCUACCACACUUUCAGUCUCGACCGAAAAAAUAGGUGGCCUUUGUUCUUCGGCCGAAUUAACAAUUUUCUUAGGCCGAAUAUUGGUUGUGGCCGAAGCGGAAAUUUGCCCCCCGGCCUCUUGCCUUUCAGAAAUUCUUCCCAAACUCUUGAGGAGUUGUUUUUGCUUAUUUAAUAGGAGAUGGCACUUUUCCCAUGAAGCCUGAUCGAGAUAGAUCAUGUGAACUUCGUAGUUUUAGCACUAGGUCCCACUGGGCGUGCCAAAAUGUUGACCCUAGAAACUACCAAACCUACGUGGCGCGCAGGCCGAGUAAUUAAUAAGCUAACUACGUCUUUCGGUGAAUGCGGGGCGUGCCAACUCGUCGGCCGAGCUCGGCCGAGGAGUAAAUUUUGUUGAUGUUGCGUUGGGUGCGCGGCUAACUUCUGCGUCUUGCGAUUGCGGCUGAGAAAGGAACACGUCUCGGCCUCUUGGGCUCUCGAACCUGAAGACAAGGUUACUAUUCUUACGAAGUUCAAUAUCAAAUUCGGCUUUCAAUGUGCCGAAUGUAAUAACUGUAACACCUCACUUUGCCGAGAAGGCUGAUGAGAUGACCUCGACCAAUAAGGAUUCAGAAACCCUUCUCGACCGAGACUUGGAUAGGUAAUUAACCGUCCUCGCCGCAGUGCUGUUGAUGCCAACGGAAGAUGCUGCGAGACCGGCUGAUUCUACGGUGACAGAGCUAUCUAUGCCGACUUAAGAUAUCACCGGUUGCUUCCACAGUGCUGUUGAUGCCAACAGAAGAUGUGUUAGCGAAAAAGAAAGAAAAAAAUCUCAAGUUGUUGAGUUUGCGCAUGGCAGUUUUGUAUUGAUUUGCAGGGGUCCUCUUUUACGCUGCACAACCUCAUGUAUUUAUAGUGAAGGUUAAACCCCACCGCUUGGCGCAGCUUGAUACUCAUGAAGAGUCCUAUUUGAAUUAUAUCUUGUGGAAUUGCAUCCGAACUGUGCGCUGCACUAUCCUUUAACCGAGGAUCUCUAAGACAAACUAAAGCAUAUCCUUCAACAUAAGCCAUAAUACCACCGUGAACUUUUAGCCCAUUUAAACCACCACCUUCACAUGUUAAUCCCUGACGCAUAUACCAAAAUGUUUUUCCAUAUUUUAUAUACAUAAUAAUCACUUUGCAGCAGACUAAGCAACCAAAUUGAUCCCACCCACACAUUUAUACGCGGAUCAACUUGGAUUCAUACGCCAAACAUCCAGAUCAACUCGAAUUGUGCCACCAUAUUCCCAGCUUGGAGAUACAUAUAUCAUCUUUCAUAAUAAAUUAUUAUUAAAAGAUAGUUAUGAUAAAGAUCAUAACAUUAUCCUUAAAUAAUAACAAAAUGAUCUUUUUACCUUUCCAUCUGACGGUUGCGAGCUAUGCCUACCUAACGGCCUUGAUUGCACGGGCUGAUGAUGUAAAAUCGGGUCCAAACAAGGACAUAAAUGUUUGCCCCAAUAAAAAAGAAAUGAUGUUUCCUAGCUAUACUUCAAAGUAUUCCAAAAAAAGGAAAGAUGUUUCCUAGCUAUAUUUUAAGCAAGCUCACAUACACAGAACAUAUCAAUUCUACCACGCACAUAAGUAAAACAAAAGCAUCAGAGCCAAUAAUAACACGGAAUAGAAAACCCAUUAACCAAUUUAUUAACAUAUUUUUAUGUAGAUCGCUACCUCUGUAUUCUUAAUUUAUCAAAUUGAUUAAAAUUACUAAUUCUCUUAUAUCUGACAAUACCCCUCCCACUCCAGAAUGAUAAAAAAUAAAAAUAAAAUCUCAAUUUCUUAUCUCACAAAAAAAAAAGCACAUCAUUUCCAUUUCAGCUCUUAAAACUGAAAGAAAAUAUCAGGGUUUCUUACCCAAAUCCACCAAUUUGAACAGUAUAAUAUCGAACCGUUCAUUGUUGCUAUUUAUACUAAAGUAUCAGGGUUUUUUGUCAUUAAUAUCGAUAAAACUCAAUUGCGACCUCUUGAAUCAUUCAUUGUGCAUAUUGAUGUCAUUUUAAUAUAGAACAUCUUAGGAAUCUAAGCUCAUCAAAGCGUAUUUCUGACAAAUAUAUAUACCAAAGCGACACUUAAUUUCACAUGAUACAACCAAAAAGGGUUAAAGUACAACAAUGAAGCAACUUUUCAUUCCCAAAUGGCCAAUUUUAUAGGAUUCAAGCCAUACAUGGGAAUCAAGAGUAUUGAAGCUGUCCGGCAUAAAACAUAGUUGCUGAUUGAUGGAAAUGGCCAAAAUAUAAGAUAGAUAAGAAGAAAGUCCACUCACUUUUUGAAAGUGACUUUCUGCAGUAAAACUUAAUCAGCUUAAGGAACAAUAUUUCAUAAGCAGGAAAAGUCAUUAACUUUGGAAAGAUUGUUCCCUCUUGAAGAUACAGCCGAUCAUUCGUGCACUCAUCAAAUUCAGCCACCAUUGCAAUCAUGUACCACACCUUUCCUGAAAGAUCUCUCCUCCAUUUCCAAACGGUUAAAAAAUGUAUAAUUGUACUUAUCAUGAAAGGCCAAGGAGAUUACAAUGAUUAUAGUAUGGUGCAAGCAAACCCGAUAUACUACAACUGAUGCAUACAAUCCAAUUAAAAUGUUCAUGAAAACUGACCACACGAUACUUGAAACAACCACAAUUAGCCACAAAAGGAUUGUCAAACCAGCAAUAAGGAUGCAAGCUAUUUCAAGAAAUGGACCUUCUCGAGUAAUCAGAUCAUGAAUCAGUUGAUACCAGCCUUUAAGCAGCAUAUAGUGACUCUUUACAACAACAAUUAUAGUGUAAACAGAAUCUCCACAAUCAGCCCCAACACGCCAACUAUAUUACAUCCCAGAAUGUGAAUCAACCUACAAUAUGUCCCCGAAAAGAAUUGAGUUCAGAAUAAAACCGCUCUUGUAGGCAGUGUUAUUUCAAAUGUUUAUAUUUGGCUAUUGCUACAUAAUUUGAUGACAGAAGCAAAACAAUUAGAGUCACUAAUUACAACACGAUUACCUUAUGGUUCAAUUCAAAUGUUUAUACUUGGUAAAAUCAAUCAUGAAUGACUGCUCGUAUGUAUCUAAGAUCACCAAUUAAGCAGAAUUACUCAGGACUGACAAUAUAGGCACCCAAGCAUCCCAUGACACACUAUGACUGAAUAACCUGCACAAAUAUCCCAAUAAACCUGCAGAUUCGUAGAAAUAAUAGAAGAGCGUUUGAUGUUGAAUGUCAAAAAUACAUAAAGAAAGCUGGUGGACGGAUAUACAUUUCCGAAGAGAUUGAUAUUGCGAUCAGAUGGGGGUCCAUAGAAUUCAAGCCAUACGUGGGAAUCAAGAGGAUUGAAGCUGUCAGGCAUAAAACAUAGUUAUUGAUUAAUAGAAAUGGAAGUGUAUACAAAAUAUAAGAUGGAAAAUAAGAAGAAAGUAUACUCACUUUCUGAAAACUGACUUUGAAGGCAAGGACACAACCUGUACAUGCUUCUUCAUUGAACCCAACCUUUCAACAGAAAGCUAAUAAAGGAAAACAGCAGUCUUGUUAAUUUCCUCAUCGCUUGGACCAAGCAUAAUAUUCUCUUCAUUAAAUUUAAAUAGCAAAAUGUCAAAUUCAUAGAUGUCACCUCGAGGCCAAUGUUACCUUGAGUACAGAGAGCAAAAGCCCCAAAAUCUGAAGGAAAACAAAGGUCUCUCAAGUCUAAAAACAAAACCAAAUAAUUCGAGGUUAGAAACAAAACCCCCAAAAUUACAAAAACGAAAUUUGAACACAAAACCUAUUUUUAAAUCCAAAUUUACAGGUCUAAACACAUAAUAUUUACUCCGGCGAAGAACUCACAGAAAACAAUACCUUUUAUGGGCUAAGUUUUUUUUUCGAAUCGACACCAGAUUCACUAUUUUCAGCAAGAGGACGUUAUGGUUUGUAGUUUCAGAGUGAAAGUACUGAAGAAACAAUCGUUUUCAGCAAGAAAGUGAAAGAGAGAAGUCGAGGUUUGAGAGCGAGAGAACAGUGAGAGAGAGAGAGACGAACCUUCUUGCAUGCUUGAAAGAGAGCUCGGCUUUUCAAUCCGUCUUUCCUUCCCGAUGAGCAACACGUGUAUAGCAGUCGGGGAACCAAAUGCAAUAGCCUGACUUUUCCAUUGUAUUCACUCAGCGAUGAAAGACACGUAGAACCAAAAGGGCAAAACGGUCAUAUUACUGUAGAAACGCAACAUUAAAACGAAGAUGACGAAAAAAAUUGAGGGGCAUUUUCACCACUCCACUACCAAUGAACAGUAACCGGGAGCUUGGGUUUUAGUAUAUAUAAAUAUGGCUUGAUAUAUAUUUUCAGUUUUUCUGAAUUUUAAUUCUUGACACCAAAAGAAGGGGAGAAUAAAUUCUAAUGAAUAGCAGACUUGGUUCAGCCAAUAAGAGUUAACUCUUCAUUCAAAUAAAUCAGAGUGUUUUGCUUGUAUCAAAUAUUCUUGUUUCUUUCGUUCAUUUGUCUAAGUGAAAUUUAGAGAGGUGCGAUAUAGUUUGUAAACUUAUCAGCAACAUUAUUUGGUAUUAGUUUGUAAACUGAAUACUAACAUUGAGGGAUUUUGAGUUGUGAAGGGGAGGGAAGGGUCAUAGAUUGUGGUUUAUGUCACAAUGUUACUGAAUAUGUCUUCUUUGACUCUGGCCAUACAAUAUCUUCUUUGUUUAUUCCUUACAAUCUCAAAGCCCUAUCUGAAACUAAUUUUUCUUUGCUAACACAAUAGACCAGCCAUCAGCAUCUCCAAGAGUUAUUUUAAAACUUAGCUGGUUCUUUUUUCUUUUCUUUUUUUUUUUGAACAAAAAAUAUUAUUUAAACUAAGAAGUUGGUGGAGUGGGCUAAGUCUCACAAUGGGCUAGCAAUAAUGUGGUUCAAAUUCAUCUUUGGCAAGAACUCAACCAAAAACAUCUCACUUACAAGUGAAAAUGAAUACCACUAUAUCGUAGUACUAAGUGGCAAAAUUUAGUUGGUUUAGCUAGUGAAUAGUGUCAAAGAAUUAGUUUAUUUAUCUAGCUAAUUUAACUUUUUUGUCAAAAUAAAUAAAUUUCAUUAAUUAAAAAGGCUAGUACAAGAUAAAAAAAAAAAUAAAAAAUAAAAAAUAAAAAAAAACCUAAAAAGCAGUCCAAAGCAACCAAGUACAAGAAAAACUACAACAAUUUAAAUACAAUAGAAAGUAAGGCUGGUUCAGUAUGGGAUACCGAACUGAAACCCUUGUUCUGAUUCCCAAACCGAAGUUUUCGGGAAUCCCAAUUUCGAUACCGAUCCCAAACCAAAUUUUCGGGAAUCCCGAAAUAUUUUUGGGAUUUCGGGACAAAUCGGGAAUCCCGAAAUAGUUUUGGGCUUUUGGACUAAAACUUGACAUAUUGGGCUUUUGGGCUAAAAUAUAACCUUUUGAUUAUAAAGCCUCAACCUUCCAUGUUUCCCCAUGAACCAAAAGUUCUCUGCAAGAAUGGGAAUCCAUGUCUUGAGGACAAAAAGUGACUGACAAUAUGGGGUGGAAGACUAGAAAUGGUCUGGAAACCAACUUGGAGGAAGAACAACUUCAAAAAAAAUUUGAGAUUACUAAAAAUGUUAAAUGUCGUGAGGAAAAUCUGUUCUCCACUUAUUAUAGCUUACUGCGUAUACUACUGUGCAAUUCAAAAAAAAACAAAACCCCAAGAAAGGGCAUUCCAUUCACCCACACAUAGAUGGCAUUACCAAAUGUAAACCAUAUCUAUCAGAAAACUCCAGUUAUAAUGCAUUACGAUGAUGCUUAGACCAAAUAUGCUGAUAUACUUGCAUAUUGAGAAGAGAAUAACUUUAAACGUAACAUAGUUGGCAAUAUAACAAUUUCCUGACCAAAGGUUUUCUUUGGAGAACUUUUAAGAACCUCAAUAGCACUAGUACGAAAUGUUAACCAAUGCCCACCCUAACAAAGAAGUUAUGACAAGUAAUCAAAUCAUGAAUGCAUUUAACAAAAGAAAAAUGAAACAAAAUAAAACAACACUUACCUGAGUAGACCCCUGCCUUGCCAUGUUCUAGGUGUCAUGGUUAAGUUGACUUGAGCACCUUGCCUUACAAGUAUUACAGGUAUCUCCAAGCUGCAAACCAUCCUCUGCUGCUGGUGAUGCAUCAGAUAUCUCAUCCACCAACGCAAAGGGUACGCUCACAAUCACAUCCACAUCCAUGGCAUUGGUAGAACCAGUAUGAACAUUGAUUGAGGAUGCAGAAGCAACCAUGUUGACAACUGAUGCGCUUUGGCCAUCUGACAUCCAUCAUCACAGAAACAUUAGACAAAAAUGCAGGUGUCACAUAUCUUGAUAGAUACACAGUACAAUAUAUAUUUAGCUCCUAUCUGAAAAGGCCAAUAAAUCUCAGAAUUCUCACAGUGCACAGGCACUCACUACUCAGUACUCACACAACCAAUACAUAUCAAAACACGAAACAGAUUAAACCGUAGAAAAUGUAACUUUCCUACCAAAACGAUAAUAUGCAUGCCGGGUUUCAAAAACCUACCUGAAUCUUUGAGUGAUGAUUGUUUCGGAGUAAGCCUUGCCGAAUGCAGAACUUCUAUAUUUCGGUUCAAUUUCUCGGUAAUCUCUUCGUGAUCAUUUCGCAAUUCUGAAAUUACAAGCAAGACCACACAGAAAUAACAAAUACCAACAUCAGAACCGCCAUUAGAAGCAAUAAACAAAGCUCCCCAAUUUAUUGCGAAAUUUGACAAACAGUAAUCUAGAAUUCGAACCCUAAAUUAAUUCCAAAAUUCACUUGAUUUGGGGGAGAAUCGGUGCACAGUGCACUGGAAUCUGGAUGAAGAAGUCGAGAGAGAGAUCAGAGAGGUAAGCGGCGCCGGUGGCCGUGGCUCUGCCUCUGUGCCGUGAAGGAAGGCUCCUCCACAGUGAGGGUAUGAGGGAUGAGAUGAGGUCGAGAAAGAGAGUGAGUGACUGAGUGAGGGUGAGGUCGAGGAGGGUGAGAUGAGGUCGAGAGAGAGAGUGACUGAGUGAGGCUGUGACUGUGAGGGUGAGGUGAGGUCCAGAGAGAGUGACUGAAUCGGACUGUCUGAGUGGACGUUUAUUUGGAUUUAACGGUAAUCAAACCAGACGGUUUACAAUUCCAAAUAUAUAUUUAAAAUUAAAUAAUAUAUAUAUUUAUUUAUUUCGGUUCGGUUUGGAAUUACCGAACUAAUGUAAAUGUGAGACCGAUUUUCCUACCGAAAUUUUAAGAUUGGUUUGGUAUUGGGUAUUGAAAUUUUCAGGAUUUUCGGUUUGGGAUUUUUUCGAUUCGAUUUCAGAAUUUUUCGAUUCGGUUUGGAAUUUUGGGUUUUUUUUUUUCCACCCCUAAUAAAAAGAUCCAAAAGUAGCCAGACCACUACAAGGAAAACCUAGUUAUGAAAGAUCGUUGGCUCCGCCAAACAGUUGCACCCCUAUCAGAAAGACUAGAUGAACCCACAAAAUGACUAGAUGAACUGGAAAUGGGGGUGAAUGAGUCACCCACGCAAAAAACGCUACUAUGAUCCUACUAAAUAAUAGUGCUAAUAACAUUUUAACACCACCCAAUGCCAAAGUGUGCCCAAGUUGAGUAGUAGAGAUUGAUAGUUGAAAACUCGUAAUGGAAGCAACAUCUGAGUAAGAGAGCAGCAUGAAAGCUCAAAUCUGAGAUAAGCUAAAAAAAAAUUGAGACAAAAGCUCGAUCUGAGCAAUGCAUUAGCUCGGGAAUCCCAAAACGAACUUAUUUUUAUUUAUUUUUUAUUUAUAAGUUAGGGUUAAUUUCACCCGUUGGAUUGCUCUAAAAUAUCUGGCUUAUCCGUUUUUGUCGUCUCAUCUCUGCCUUCCAGCCCUACUCACUCUCUGUCAUUUCAUUUUGCCUUUAUCAUCUCUGCCUCAAAUUUGAAGCUCAGCAACCACUCACCCAUCCACCCUCUCAUAAUCCCACUCCAACGAACUAUCUCCACUCCGGCCCUCACCAUACCUCAUAGCUUCAUCUUCCGCAUGACCACAUCAUCUUCAAAUCUCCAUCAUCCCUCCAUCACACACAGUCACACAGCCAACACACAUUCUCUCUCCUGUUUCUCUCUCUUGUGCGAUUCUCAUUCUAAGACCGUCUGCAAUUCUUUCCAAUAAUUCUCUGUGUGUAGGGGUUUCGAAUUGGGGGCCCGGGUUAGGAGGAAGAUGUGGGUUUGACUAUAUUUUCACUAUGUCUCUCUCUCUCUCUGUUGACCUUCAAUCUUCACUAAUUCACUGUUGCUCUAUCUUUGAUUUUAAUUUAGGGUAUUAAUGCAAGUUCGGAUGAUUUCAAUUUCAAUCUGGAUGAUUUGAAUUUUGAUGCAAGUCCAGUUCCGGGAAAUCCUGAAAUUCCGAAAACAUUUUAGGAAUUCCGAAAUUCGGGAAUACUAGAAUUUCGGUUCAGGAUCGGUUGUCGAAUUCCGAUCCCAAAAAUGAUCAGCUCGGAAUUAGUUAUGUCGUUUUCGGUUUGGUAUCCCAUACCGAACGAGCUCUAAUUUUAACAAAUUAAUCUCACAAAAAAACCAACGCACCUUUUAGGAGAGAGAAUGUGAGUUUUAAUAGUUUGUUAAUAUUUUGUUUUUGUUAUUUUCUCUCUCCCCUUUUUAAAUUUAAAGAGUAACUCUUUAUUUUGUUAAGUUAGAUUGUCUUCAUAAAGAUUAAUAAAUAAUCAAUUGAGACAUUCAAAUGAUUGCAAGUAACAGAAAAAUGCAUAUACAUAUACUAAGUAUUCAUUCAUGCAACUUAAACAUAUUAUUGUCAUUCAAGUUAUGGUGUAAUUCCAAUCUCAUCAACCAAAACACAUAUUCAUGGAAUAUAAAACAACGCUUUAAUAGAUUCAUGCAAGUCUACUUUAAUGCUCAAAACUUUCUAACCAUGAACAAUAUGAUUAGAUUAACCCAAGAACAACCCCCACUAAGCUUUUAAUUUUUUACACUUACUGCAAAUAAACUAAUGAGUGUGAAACACAAUUUUCUUUAACUACUUCUCCCGCUUGGGCAAACACUCAUUAAUGUGUAUUCUUUCACAAGAUGUACAAAAAUAAAAUAGCUUCAUAUUUUAGACAUAAUAAAAUAGAUACCAAAACCAACAUAAAGUUUGUCAAACAGAAUUUCAGCAAUAAGUCACACUUACUUUAGAAUUUUUCAUAAUUAAUUCAUAAGCUUGAUUUCUACCAAAAUUAUACAGGUCAAACUAGAUAUUCUAAUCUUCAUAGAAUAAAAGUAUAGAGCCAUUUUAAGUCAAAAUGAUAGUCUAAAGUGAUGUAUCAAAAAGACCAACGCAAUCUCUACCAGCAAAACUGUAUAUACGAGCAAGGGUUACUAGUAAAUUCACCAUAAUUAAAAUACAUCACAAAAAAUUACACAAAUUUGCAGAUACAUAUUAGAUAUUUAUAUGUUAAACAUAAAAAAAUUCAGAUCAUUUGGUGACCAUUAGAUGUGUCAUUCAUCCGAUUUGAAUCAAUACAUGUAAACUGCCAGAAAUACUAUGUGCAUCUAUCAUGAAUCUAUACAACCAUAACUAAUUCAAUCUCAUCCAAUUUCAAUUCGAUGCGCGAGGAAACUUAAGUAGUCAAAUUUAUCCUUUGAAUAGAAAUCAUAGUUCAAAUUGAAAAGAUUUACAAGCAUACUACUUAAACAAUGUGUACCUUAGCAAUCAUUGACUAACCUUCGUGGAUCCAAUACUUUGCAUCAAUAAGUCUCAUCAGGAGACACAAAAAUACAUCAUGAUGCAACCGAUUUCCAUGCCCUAAAACCAGGACCUAUAAUGGGGCUCAUACUGGAAAUAUUUGUAACUGAAGAUAUGGAACUUAAUCCCCAAUAAACUCCAUGAAAUUAGAUUAAUUUACACCUGUGGACAAGAAAAUUACCUAGUUUCUAGUACUAGAUUAUAUGUCACAAAAGUACCUUCAUGAAAAACUUCAACACUUGUGGGUAGAUAAAGCUUUCAUAACUCCUGUCAAAUAAAACCCAUACUUUGCCAUCUUAAUUAAGCUAAAAGAAACAAUCCACACAUACAGGCAAGAAGAUUAUUCUUUUAUUCUAAUUAAGAUGCAACGUUGGUCAAAAUAACUCAAAAACAUAGUCUCAUCAUCAACUAAGCCGUUGCGGCUUGCUUAGUUGAAAAGACAUUAAUCAACUCCACCUUGAAACAAAAGGUAACAUGGAUUAAUCAGCCUUAAGUGACAAAAUUAUGAUGACCUGAUUCAAGCUUCGAAUCUUGCCAACAAAUGUCAUUAACUCCUUCAUGACUCCCUUUGACAUUCAAUCAAUCUCAAGAAACAUGACAGCAAAUUUGAAAGAGAUUAAUCACAUAUAGAACAAGUUGUAUAAGAAUCGUAAUAUCACACUUCCACCACAAUAAUGUCCAUACUUACAAGAGAACAUGAUGGAGCUAAUUGCUUCGAAAUUGAAACACUUUAUGUAAUGUGAAAGAAUAAUACAUUUGCUUUAAUUCAAAAGCCAAUUUGUGAUAUCACCUAAAUGCUUUCUUAAGUCAAACGAGUUCCUUUUCUUUUGUACGUUUCUUUCCGUAGUACAAAACUACUAAAAGCGUUAAUUAGCAUUAAAAGCAUGCAUUAGCUUGGUAAAUACCAAAUCAACUAAAGCAACAACCAAAAUUUUUUUCUUCGGAAGGAAACAUCUCAAAUACCUGUCAUAUAUUAGUCUUGAAUAAUUUCUUUUCUUCUUCCAUUAUGGCACAUAAAAUUUUGACUGAUCAAGCAUUGUUUAAAUACUUUAGGCAUUAGGAAAAACUAACAAACUAUAAUACAAGUUUGGAAAUUCAUGCUUAUUAAUUUGUUAGUUUGUUAGUUUUUCCUAAUGCCUAAAGGAUUUAAACAAUGCCUUUUUCAUUCAUAUUUUCACCACUAGCUUUGGAUUAGUAUUCCUUACGAAAGAAGACCUUUAUUAUGUCUAAAUAAAAGGGCUAUUGCACUAGCUUUGAAGAAGAGCAAAACAAUAAGUUGUAUGCCACUCAAGGAGUUAAAGUGAGAGAAUAUAAUAAGGGCAAAGUCUGUGCGAGAAAAAAAGAAAAGAGAUAAUAGUUUAACUCUUGUUAUUUCAAGUCUUCGUCAAGUACUAAUCCUAAAGGCUUGGAAAUAUAAUUUAUUGUACUCAUUAUUGAAAUAGUAAAUAGUUGAACCAUGUAAAUUCUUGGUGUUAUCUAUCUCGGUUAUUUGUUUUCAGUUUCCGAGUUUGUUAAGUUUUUCCGUUCUUGAAAGCAUUAUUCACAAGUGGUAUCAAAGCCUCAUUUGGCUGAUAUCCAAUUUAGAAUGAAGGGUGCGAUUAGCCCUGUGAUAAAAGCCACCCGUUCUAACUUGGUGAUGUGGAAAUCAAUAAUGAAGGACAUGCUUUAUUGUAAAGAACUCCAUGAACCAAUUGAAGGUGUUAAGGACAAGCCAUCAAGUAUGUCUAAUAUCGAUUGGAGCAAGAUGAAUUGUAAAACUAUUGGUAGGAUUAGAUAAUGGGUGGAUGAGAGCAUAUAUCCCCAUGUAUCUCAAGACUGAUAUGCAAGCUCUUUGGAAGAAGUUAGAUUCUCUCUUUAAGAAGAAAACCGAUGCCAAGAAAGUAUUCCUUAUCAAGAGCUUGUCAACGUGAAGUAUGUAGAAGAUGUUACUAUAAUCGAGCCCUAGAACAACUUUCAGAGCAUGAUCCAUUAGUUGGCCACUAUGGGUUUGAAUAUUGAAGUAGAACUUUUAGCACUAUUGUUGCUAGGAUCCUUGCCAGAUGAUUAGUAAAACUUUGUUGUAACUGUAAACAAUCCAGCUUAUAAUGGUGUACUAUCUAUGGAUGUUGUUAAGGAUAACAUGUUCAAUGAAGAAAUAAGGAGAAAAGCUUCAUGUGCAAACAUUGGACAAAUCUUUAUCACAGAGAAAAAGGCAAACAUUUUGGUGAGAUGAUGUUUGGUGGUGACUGCUACUAUUGUGGAUAAAAGGGUCGAUGAAGAAGUAUUGUCGUAAAUGGAAAAGGAACAAAAGGAUGGGAUAUUUUGUUGGUGUUGUGACUAACGUUGGAGAGCUUCUUUAAUGUCGAUGAGCGAUGGUUUCUAGCAAAGAAAUCUAUAAUUGCCUUUGCCAAAUGAAGAUGAGAGUCCUAGUCAGCGGGAGCCUGGUCAAGAGAAGUUUGAUCUUGGUUAUUAGAUGUUUGAUCAAUGAGAGUUUGGUUAAGAGAAUCAAGGGUGUAGUACUAUUUGUAGUAGUGGUCCUUAUAUAUUGUAUUAACAAUAAAAAAAUGGUCGAAAGAAAAAAUCUCUAUUUGACAAGGCUUCUUCCUAUACCUAUGAAAGGAGAUUGUUGGAUUUUUCCAAUCGAUGAUGAGUUUUCCUAUGUCUAUUAAGAAUUAUAGUCUUUGAGAAUUAAAUUGUUUGCCCAAUUGGAGUGGUUUUUCCAAUUGGAUUUGGUUUAUGUAUUAAAGAACUAUUGAUAACUAGAUUCUUUAGAUUAGUAAUCCAUAUUGAAUAAGACCUUUAUUAUGUUUAUAUAAAGGAGCUAUUGCGCUAGGCUUGAAGGGGAGCAAAUCAAUAAGUUGUGGACCACUCAAAGAGUUAGAGUGAGAGAAUAUUGUAAGGACAAAUGUAUGCAAGAUAAAAGAAAAGAGAUAAAAAGUAUUUCUUGUUCUUAUUCUUUCAAGUUUUUCAUCAAGUACUAUUGUUGAAAGCUUGGCAAGAUAAUUUGAUGUACUCACUAUUGAAAUUAAAUAUAAAGUUUGUUGUUACUACCUCGUGGACUUAGGCACGUAGCCAAACUAUGUAAUUCUUGGUGUUAUUUAUCUCGGUUAUUUAUAUUCACAACAAUAACAACCCGUGUUUUAGGUACAUUGAAAAAUCUCUUAAUUUAUGAUUUCUAAUCAUCCCCCGAAAAUAGUAAAGAAAUACAAAAUAAGAGAUUUCAUGUUAAUAGGUUUUAGAACGUACAGACACAAGUUCACGAUGCCCUUUUUGAUCAAAAAAACACAAACCACAUAUUGCAUGCGAGUUGGCAACACGGUAUGUAGAAAACCUUUGCCAACCCAUGGCCAGUUUCUUGUAGGUAACGGUUGUCUCUGUCGACGCAAAUUUCCGCUGUCUCUAACUCUGACAAAAAUGCACCUGCAAAACAAUUAACACCUUUGAUCAAGGACCUAAGCCUCACGCACCCAGGAGGUGGUGGAAGGGGGGGUUAGGCCAAUGGAUCUCCGAUGCCUAAGUUAGUUUCUCUAAGAAAAGUAAAGUGUUUAGGGCCUUUAUGGGUAGCAAACACUUCCGAAAUUUGGUAGAAUAUGAGGUAAUAUAGGAGGAGAGGGCCGACCAUAGUGUUAGGGUUUUACCCUACACAUGGUGGCAUCCUAUUGCCCAAGGUUUAUGGGGAAAUAUUCGCAAGAUAUAAAAUAGGAAAUAAUAUCUUAAGAUAAUGGAGUAAUUAUCCUUAAUUGAUUUAAAUUGGGAUUACUUGCUUGAAUGAAGUCAAUCUUUAACUGGGGAAUGUAUUAAAGAUAUGAUUUGGGUAAUUAAUCCUUAUCUUUAAUGCUUUGACUUUUCCUUACUAAGGGCAGGUAAGUUGUGGGCAAUUAUAUUCAAUUGCUAAGACCUUUAGGAGUGUGAGCUACGCGUGGAAGUAUCUGAGGAGCCUGCCCAUUUAUUGAGGGCAACUUGUCUUUCUUGAGCAAAAGUCCACGUGUCGCCUCUAGAAUUUUUGGGAUUAUUUUAGACUCCACAAAUGGCCCCACACCUACUGGGUAGCACGCAUAAAAAAGGCAAUAGGUGUAGAAAUCUCAAGCUGCAUGGGCUUGUAGAAUUGUUUCCCAAUUUAAACCUGAUCUUCUUCCUUGAUUUGGAGAUAGACUUCUUCUAGGAAAAGGAAAGCAAUUGCCCCUGUUACUUAUUUAAUUCUGCCUUAAGCUGGGGAUUAAAUAAAUUUGGAGAAUAAUCAUCAUUCCAACAAAGAAGAGAGAAGCCAGAGGAAAAAUUUUCCCUCUCCCUUAGUUUUAUUAUUCUUUUGCCAUUGCAAAGAGUUGUCUCUUGUUGUUCUUUUUCUUCUCUGUGCCGCACCAAGGUAAAAAAAAAUAAAAAAAAAUCAAUUUUCUUCUUCUUGAUUUUUUUAGAGUCUUGGGACUUGAAAAUUUGACUCAGCAAGGGCUGAGGAAGAGCUUAGCUGCCACGGAGCUGCUGUGCUACGAAGGUGCGGUGGUAGAGCUCAGCUGGAGUGGGCUAGGUGUUCAACUUGACUUGGGUCGAGGUGAUAGGUGCGCUGGGGCGCAGGGCUGAACGAGCUGUAAGGCUCUAGCCUAUCUAGGUUUGAGCUUAGCACAAGCCAAGCAUGGAGGAGUAGGCUUAGGCCAGCUAUGGUGGACGAAAUGGAGAGAAAGACCGGUAUGGGUCGGGUCUCUCCUGCAGACAGAUUGGGCUGAAAGGCCUUGGGCCCUAUUGGCCGUGCUGGGCGCGAGAGAGAGGUAGAGUCGGGUCUAGGUAGUGGGGCUUGGCUUGCCGCUAAGUUUCUGUGAUUUAGGCCCGUGCUGGAGAAAAUAGAGAGUAAGGUUGAGAUAGAUCAUACCUUUCACUGGGGCGCUGGGUUCUGCGGUCUUUUUUAUUUUAUUUUAUUAUUUUUGUUUCUCUUCUUACGAGCUGCCUUGUAAAUAUUUUUCUUGGUACUUUUUGCAGACAUUUUGAGAUGUCUUCCUCCGAUCGCAAAAGUGACGAAUAUCAUCCACCUUUGUACCAUCAAAGUGGGCUACUUCAAGGCUGCACAUGUCAAGAUCAACUCCGAUGAGUUGUUUCGGGAUUUUCUUAAGAUGUACAGGCAUACGAGUCUGUCAGGGGUUUGUGUUAAACUAGUGAAGAAUGAUAGCAAACAUGAACCGUGCGGUGAGGGUGCCACUGCUAGGAAGAAGGCUAUCAAAUUCCAUUUGUAUUACUUCAUGUUAGGAUUUACUUUUCCCAUGCCGCGUCUUUUCAAGGAAGUGAUCUGCUCUAUGAAAUGCGCACCUACUCAAUGCUCUUUGAAUGUAGUUCGUGCGAUGGUGGAGUUCUCGAACUUGAGCAGGUUUUUAAUCUUAGCUUGACCAUAAAUGAGUUUUGGUACUUUUUUGAAUUCAGCCACAAGGAAAGCGUAGGGCAGUUGAGGUCUCAUCAUUGGAUGCAUCAUGUUUUCUGCAAAGGUGAUCAUGAGUAGGCAAGAGAUAUCUUAGAGGUAAGUGGAGAGUGAGAGUCUGACUUAUCUCCUGACUAUCUUUAUCAGUGGUAAGUGAACUACUUCAUUCCUGGCUUGCUUGGAUUUUUGUUAAGCUGCUCCAUGACUUCAGUUUAUUGAUCGUCCUUAUUAUUUUAUGUAGAUUCGAAAUUUGGCUCAACUCCAAGAACUUCGGCGGAUAUGAAGAAAGUGCACAUUACCUUGGGCAUUCUUGCUAAGUAUCGUGAGUGGCGCUAGCUGCUCAAUCUUCUUCAUACGCAGAAACACGUGCUGCCUCUGAAAGAAGAGAUAAAGCGGAUAAAAGAUGGGGUGCUGGCUCGUCCUAUCAUUGCUGUAGAGCUUGUUGCCAAUGAAGGCGGAAAGAAAAUAUCUUCCUCACUUGCUUGUGAGUCUUCAACCGAGAAGAAGCCAAAGACUUCUUCUACUGCUAGGGGCUCAUUUUCUGCUGAGCCUGUGAAACCUACUACUCGGAAGGUAGCCACAACCAUUGCUGAGAGGUUGACCAGCAAAAAGGUUAGGUGGUGCCGCCGGUGUCUGAGUUUGUGUCGAAGCGCACGUCAGGAGCUAAGUCCAGUUCGGCUUCUAAAAGGCUCAUUGCUAUGAAGAGCGGGAAUAUGGAUUUUGCUGCUAAGGUGGCGCUUAGGCCUGUUCCUUAUUCUAUUGCCACUGAUUUGUUUGCUGAGAAAGGGAAGUUUGCUCGCACGGGGAGUUGUGAGAGAUCCACCGAGUCUGAAGUUAGGGAGUUUCUUGAGAUUUGUGCCCUGCUUAAGGAUGACCUGCUUGAGGACGUCAAUGCAUGUGCCAAGUUUGUUGAUAAUGUUGGGAAAGUUAUCGUCCAUUCAGACUUUUUUACGAAGUGUCAUACUUGCUAGAAGAGGUCAUCCCUGAUUACUACAAUGCAUAAGACUUUGAUCCUGGUAGUUGAGUAUAUGCGCAAUGAUCAGGAUGUUGUCGAAUAUGCUAAGCAAGCCAAAGUGGCAUUGGUGGCUCAGCUUUGCUCGAUUGUUGAAAAGAUUGAGAAGCUCGAAAAUCGCUCAUUAGGAGGUUGCCCAUUUAAAGGCUAAGCUUAGUGCGACUCAGGCGAUUUGGAAGCUACAGAGAAGGAAGUCAGUAUUGUUGCACUGGUGGUCAAGGACCUUGAGCAUGUCAAUUCAGAGCUAUGAUUUGCUUAUUUCACCAAGGACGAGGAGCUUGUCUUCAUGCAUGCUAAAGUGUCUUAUCUCAAGGAUGUUGCGAGUAAACUUUAGUCCAAGGAAGUGGAUCUGCAAGGUGCGCUGUCUGCUAACGAGAACAUGAAAAAAGAACUGGGUAAGUUACAUGAUGCUCACACUGGGCUUGUUGAGGAGAAUGUGCAGCUGAAGAAUGAGAAGGUCGGUCACGAAGUUGCGCUUGUUUCUUGUCAAGCUGAUUUCUACAAGCUUGGCUAUGUAGACCAUCUUCAGGGUAGGCCGUAAGAUUAUGAGUUUUCCGAGAAUGACUUCAAGAUUUUCUUCAUUUCUCCAAUUGAUCUGCUUGACUUCUCGUUUGAGGCUGCCUUUGGUAGAGCAGCUGAGGGUCAAGCAGUCCAGGCAUGGACGGCUGAGGAUGAGCUGAUGGAAACUUUAGCUGCUAACAGUGGUGUGGCUGCUGAAGGCGUAGCAGUCGAGGGACCAGUGGUUGGUAAGCUACCGAUGAGUAGUCUUUUUGCUUAGACUUAGGAUUUGUCUUCUUUUCCUUUUCGUUCUGCUUUAUUUGAACUUUGUUGGCCUUCAAGUCGGUUUAUCAAUUUGCUAGAAAUUUAAUAAACAACUUUCCUUGCUUUGCUUCAUUAUUCUAUUUCGCCAUGUCUUUUGCAAAACUUUACAGUAGGACGGGUAGCUAGGUGAGCUGUCUCAAUGAAGUAGUCGAUUUCACAUCAUCACUUAGGUUUUAGUCUCGGCUUUGAUGCUCAAUGAGCUUUACCUACAUGAAGGGAAAAUGCAAGAUUUCCAACUUAUAGAGCCAGCGGCAGAACUCGUAGCCUUCGAAUGAGGUAGGCGAGUCUGCGUAGCUUCUAUAGUCGUGAAUCUCGGCUUUACCAACUUCUUGGCCAUCCCAGGGCAUGUUGAGAAAUUUUUAACUUAUACAGUCGGCGGGCAGACACGUGCUUCUCGUAGAAAACAAAAGAGUAUGCGUGGCUGCUAUAGUUGUACAUUUCGGCUUUAGUGGCUACAUAAGCCUUGGCCCUCUAGAGGCAUGUUGCAAAAUUUUUAACUUAUAGAGUCGGCGGCUGGACAAGUGCUUCUCGUAUAGAGCAGAUGAGUUCGCAUAGCUAUUAUAGUUGUACAUUUUAGCUUUAACUUUUGCAAAACUUAAAUCGUAGAUCGUCGGCCGGAAUGUUUUAAAAUAAGCAGACGGGUUCGUGUAGUCAUAGUAGGUGUAAGUCUCGACUUACAGAUUGCCUUGGGCAACCAGCCAUUGGGUCAUCAACCGGGCAUCUUACUUACAGAAGUAGACGGCCUGCGUGACUACUUAGGCGUCGUCCUUGGCUCUCGAAUGUGUUUCAGGCUUAAGGUGUAGGCAAUAUCGUGGCUUAGAGACCAUAUCCUUUUGAGUUACUGGUCCAUUAAUCUUCUAAGUUGCAUGCAGCUCGAUAUGGAUCUCUAGGGCAGCAAUUGUAACUUGACUCCAUAGGUCGCUUAACUAGUAUUACAACACUUUAGAGCCAUGUUAUGUUCAUGAAAACUUGCGUAUCGAAGACGGACCGUCAAGUCAUGCUAAUUCUUUCAUGGGCAAGAAUCCUGCACUUAGCAUCUUUUUCGGUUAAAGACUCGAGCUAAGUCUUUUUAGGAAAAAGACUAUUGUGACCAAUUUUUUUAGGUAAAAGACUUUAGUCAGCUAAGUUUUUUUAGGUAAAAGACUAUUGUGGCCAAUUCUAGAGCAGUCCGACGCAGGUAGUCAAUGCAUUCAGGGGGAACUGAGCAAUCAUAAAACCCAUCCACGUCUGGAUGUUCCGAAUCAGUUUACCAUCUCUUGUUGGGAGAGCACACGCCAUGUCUGCAAGGGUAGGGGCGUCUUCUGCUGUCAUAGGGAUGGUCAGUUUGUUUAUGCAUUCGGCCCAGGGUUGUGAACAAUUCCUUCAAUCUUCAUUGAAAAUAGAGAAAAUGUAUUAACUUUGCUUGUAUGCAGUAAUAGUAUAACUCAUAGUCUUCGACAUGCAAGGUCUUGUUCAUCGAGUUGCUUAAGUCUUCAAACUUUAUUUGUCUUAAAUAGGGUCCAAAGAAUGGUGGGAGGUCACACGUAGUACUUUCUCAAGUUGUAGGAAUUCCAUUGCUUUUCGAUCUCUUUGUGGCUCAUAGUGGUGAUUUCUGCCUACUCAACUGAUUUUGUACAAAUUUUCCUAAAUGGGAGCCAUCUUUUUGGAGCCUUCCUGGUGGGCGGUUAUGAAGGCUUUUCUGAGGACUAAGUCUCAUGGCUGGAACUGCCGGAUCUUCGCCCUCUUGUUGUAGUUGGAGAGGAACUGCUAUUGAUAGAAACUGUAAGGAGGGUGAUAACCUUCUCGCGCUCUUCCUCUGUCAAGUCUAGGUUUGUGGUCAUCUUAUUCUUGUUCUGUUCGAAAUUCGGUAGUGCAGUGCUAAUGCUUGGCACCAUGACGUUGGGAGAGAUGAUCGCCUCAAAGGCAUGCGCCAGAGAGAAUGGAGUUUCGCCGGUUGCUCAUCUCUUGGUGGUGCAAUAUGCCCAUAAAACACCGGGGAUCUCAUUUGGCCAAUUGUUCUUCUUGUCUGGGAGGGACUUCUUGAGGCAGUCGAGAAUGGUCUUGUUGGAUGCCUUGGCCUGCCCAUUGCCUUACGGAUAUCGGGGCAUGGACAUGUGUUGCUUGAUGCCAUAUUUUUCAAAGAACUUCGCCAAGCCCACAAACUGCAGACCAUCAUCUGUGACGAUGAAGUGAGAGAUGCUGAAGCGGUAUAUGAUGUUCUUCCAUAUGAAACGCUUUAUGUCCGUCUGGGUAGUUGUAGUCAUGGGUUCGGCUUCAACCCAUUUUGUGAAAUAGUCGGUCGCUACGAUCAUCAUGCCUUUGCCCCCAAUGGCAAGCGACAUUAGUCCUUGAUACAUUAAUAACCUCAUUUAUUAAUUACAUUUUGAUUUUUUAAUUAUUUCUCUUUUUCUUCCUAAUUUUAAUGUAUUAAUUAUAUUUCAUUAUAGUUAUAAUUUUCAUUUCAUUUAUCUUAGUAUAUUUUGUUGUAAACAUUUAGAUAAACUAAUUUUUGUUAUACAAUAUAUUUCUAUGUACUUUGUUUUCUUCAUUUAGGUACAUUAAAUUCAUUAUAAUACAUUUUAGUGCAUACAUUUAGGUACACAUAUUUCGGUACAUACAUUUUGAUACAAAUAUUUAGGUAUAUUAAUUUUGUUUUUGGUAAAAUAGGUAUAUUAAUUCAAUAUAAUUCAUUUCAGUACUAACAUUUCGGUACAUAUGUUUCAGUACACACAUUUAGGUACAUUAAUUUAAUAUAAUAGGUGCAUUCAUUUUAGUACAGACACUUUGGUACUAACAUUUAAAUACAUUAGUUCAAUAUAAUACUUUUCAGUACAUACAUUUCAUUACUAACAUUUAGGUACAUUAAUUGAGUCUUUCAAGUUUGAAGAAUGUUAAAUAAACUAAUAAAUUUAAAAAAAAUAUUUUUUUUGGUAAAAAAAAUUAAAAUUUGUAUAUUAAUAAAACUAAAUAUUUAAUGGGAGACAUUAAAUAAAAUGCACAUUAAUUAUUUUGAAUUAAGGACACAUCAAGGGACUAUAAUCAAUACGUAAUCUAACACCAGGUUUAUUUUAAAUUUCAAUGUUCUUGAAGGAUUAAAGUUAAAAAAAUCACAAUUCAGAAUACUAAUUGAGAUUUCAAUAAUUACAACUCCCUCAUUAGAGUGGGAGAAAUUUUCCAGUGUGUCUAGAACACUGCCCGAUACACAAAAUGUAAUAAACAAUUGGUUGGAAAUUUGAAGAAAAAAAUUCAAUCAAUUGUAUUAUCACACUUCGUAUACCGAGUCAUAUUCCUAGCAAACUGAAAAUUUUCUCUUAAAAUAGAACACACAUUUUCACGUCCAAAGAUAGAGAGUGUAAGAUGACAUGUAAAUAUGAUUUUUAUAUCUCAAGUUUACAACUCUUAAUUGAAGAUACUACCUUAAUAUUAAUCAUGAAUGAACCCUUUAGAUGCCCACAUAUAUUUUUGUUAACUUCUUGUUGAGAGUACAAAUCCCACAUCAAGAAAGAGAUCGAUCUUGCAUGUGCUUAUAAAAGGCUGGACUACUCUUCAUUGCCAAUUAACCUCAACUUUCUUCAUGGUUUCAGAGUAGGUUGACCCAAGUGUGAAAAUUAAUGGCACACGUGCUCCACGUCACCCAAUUUGUAUUGUCCAUGUAUUUGGUUUGAGAAUUUGCCAUGUGAGGGAGGCGUGUGAGGAUGUGAAAGUUAAAGAGUCCCACAUCGUAGAAGGAGAAACCUUGCCAUUGAUCAUAAGUAAGUUGGCAAUCAGUUUUAUGGUGGAAUCCCUUCUUAGUGGUAUCUGAGCAGGUUGUCAUGUGUGUGAAGCUCACCAACUAUACGUGCUUGACUUCACCCGAUUGGUGUUGUCCACAUAUUAGGCUUAAAAAUUCACCACACGUGAGGGGACGUGUUGAGAGUAUCUAUCAUAUAUCAGGAAAAAAAAGACCUUACAUGUGCUUAUAAGAGAUUUGGCAAAUCUCAUAUUACCAAUUAAUUUUAGGGAGCUUUAAUGAAAAUGGCUUGGACUAACUUUAAUUUAACCAAAAACCAUCCUAAACUAUUAUUUAACCAAAAGGACUGAAAAUUUAAUCAUAAGGACAAACUAUUCAUAUAACAGGCCCUGCAAACAUAAAAGCUCACGAGCUGAACUAAAAGCCCAACACAAUAAAACAAAAAAUUUUAAACUUGCCCCAAACGGAAAACCCAUUACUUUUUUUAUGAUGGAGAAAGCAUGUUACCUUAUUAAAUAUGAAAAUGCUGAACUGUCGUCCACCAUCCCCAAUUCCAUUUUCCUCUGUUGUCCACCAUCCCCCUUUCAUUAUUCCAACUACCACACGUGCCAAACUAAUAAACAAAACCAACUCACUAUGGGGAUGUAGAAAAUUUGAUUUUUUAAGUGAGAUUUAGAAGAUUUUUGUUUUUUUUUAAUUCAUAAAAUAUUGCUAUUUUUUUAUGUUUUUCUAACUCAUAGAAUAUUGCUAUUUUUGUAUGUAAAAAGACUUAAUAUCGCAAGAAUUCCUUCAAUUAGUAUGGAAUUUAAACCAUGCAUCCAUUUCUAAAGUAGAUCAAGCAUGUAUGAUAUUGAUGAUAGAUUGAAUUGCAAUCAUUUUUUUUAUGGAGACGAUGUGUAACAUUUUUCGAAAAUAAAAAAUGAGGGGAAAGGUGAUAAUCGAGUUCUUUGCAAAUUUGUGUAACAAAUUCCAAUAAAAGAAAAGGAGAAGUGGCAUUAUUCUGCAGAUUCGGAGGAAGAGAGGGUGAUGAGAGAAUGGGAACCCAGACUCACCUAGAGAGAGAAGGUUAGGUGCUUUGACAGCGAAUGGUAGCGAAGCUUGUUGUUUGUUGGUGUGGCACGCUCGCUCUAUGUUUUUUUAUGAACUAGUGAGACAUGACAAAUGCACACUUGUAAUAGAAAAUCACACAUUUGUCACAUUUAUAUGGAGAAUAUACCACAUAGUUUUAGAAAUGGUGUUUAUUUUGUUCUAUUUUAUGUAUAAUGUGGGUUAUUUUGGUUUAGUUUCAGAAAUAGUGUGAGUUAUUUUGCUACAAUUCCAGAAAUAGUGUGGCUUAUUUUGGUUUUAUAUAAGAAAUUGUGUGGUUAUUUUUGCUUUAGUUCCAUAAAUAAUGUUUAUUUUGUUCACUUCUAGAAAUAGUGUGGGUUACUUUGGUUUAGUUUCAAAAAUAGUGUGGGUUAUUUUGCUAUAGUUUAAUAAAUAGUGUGGGUUAUUUUGGUUUAGUUUCAAAAAUAGUGUGAGUUAUUUUACUAUAAUUUCAUAAAUAGUGUGAGUUAUUUUGGUCUAGUUUCAUAAAUAGUGUGGGUUAUUUUGCUAUAGUUUUAUAAAUAGUGUGGGUUAUUUUGGUCUAGUUUCAUAAAUAGUGUGAGUUAUUUUACUAUAGUAUAUGGAUUAUUUUGGUAUAGUUUCAUAAAUAGUGUGGGUUAUUUUACAGUAGUUCCAGAAAUAGUGUGAGUUAUUUUGGUUCAAUUUCAUAAAUAGUAUGGUUAUUUUGUUGUAGUUCCAAAAAUAGUGUUUAUUUUGUUCCUUCCAAAAAUAGUGUAAGUUAUUUUGGUUUGGAUUCACAAUUUUGGGUUAGUUUUCAUAUCAAUUUGUCAUAGCCAUAGUAGCAGAGGUAGUUCGUCAACGGUUUCUGUUUCAAACAUUUGAACAAGAAACUACCCAGUAAGCCCCCAAAAGAAAUCCCAUCACUCAUUCACAUAAACAAACAAGGAAAGUAUAUAAACCAUGAAGCUUUCCAGAAAAAGCAAAAACAAGUGAAAUUUGUAUCAUUGUAUGCUGUACAACAACAUAUUACCAAAGCUUCGGCAUCAUCCAGUUCAAUUUUAAUCUCAGAAAAUUUCUGCUUCUUUUGCUCUGCAAUUCACAUUGAUCCAAAAAUAACCCAUUUAAUAAAAUUAUCAGAACUACCCAAAAUCAUGCAGAUCAAACACAUGAUGGCAUUAAAGGACCUGAAUUGCACAAAGCAAUCCAACAGACACUUGAACUAAAAGCUACCCAAAAGCACCCAAAAGAAGUCCCUUAAUUAAUGUUACUAAAUUACUAAUUCACUGAAGAAGAAAAAACACAUAAUUAAGAGGAUUAGGAGAUAAUCUAUAAAACCCAUGUCAUAAAUCGGCAGAAAAAUAAAAGAAUAAUACCAUAGUCGGGAAGAAGGGCACUUGAGUUGAAUUUUUAUGAAAAUCCAGAUUCGACUUGGAGAGCCUCCGUGAAAAAUGAACAGUCGUCUACUUCCCCUGCACCGUAAUCAUACGAGAUCGCUAUAGAAUUUGUAUCUGUAUUAAUUGGGAUUUCCAGGUUGUUUGUUUGAGAUGCUGCAAAGAAAGUUGGAUUUAAACUUCCCAAGCUCAGAAGUAAAAUAUGCUAUGAAAUAAGAAUCUCGACCUCGGGUGCAGAGCUCAGUAAUGACAAUGGUAUUCAAGUCGUCAAAUCUAACCUUAAAGGCCACGACUGGCGUUAGGGGUAAAAUCGGACGGAUGAUAAAUUAUUUUGUUUGGGCCAGUCUUAUUUGGGUAGUUUGGUAUUGAGUUUUGUUCUAUCCAUUAAAUAAAAUUAUUACAUAAUUUUUUAUUAAAAUUUAAAUUAUUUAAGCUAUUUUUAUUAGUUUUUUUUUUAAUUUUAUGAUGAAAGCUAUUUUUUUUUCACUUCUAAUAUCAUCCUUUAAAUUAUUGCCAUCACUGAUUUUUCUUAUGUAUUUAUGAUCUAAUUAUAUUGUCAUAAUUUUGACGAGUGGACAAGACAUUCAAAAAUAUGAAAACGUCUUAUCCAUUGGAAAAUGAAGCCAAAAUUUUCUGAAUCUGUAUAAUUGCCAAAUCUUCUGUUCUUAGUUCUGUCAUCUUGUUAUUACUCAAUCAACUUUCCUUGUCUGCUUAUCUCAGGGAUUAUUUCCACUUGCUAAAGAUUUGAUCCCUUUUCAAUGAUUUUCUAUUAAAUUGAUAAUAAUUCAAAGUAAAACAGAAACACAUAUACUUCAAUGGCAUCUUUGAGGUUAAGAAUUUCUAUCCUAGCUUUCUGUACUUGCCUAGUUAUUCAGUGCAGCUGCUAUGGCCAUUCUGUGCUUCAGAAAAAGCAUGCAGCCCUAUUCAUCUUUGGUGAUUCACUUUAUGAUCCUGGAAAUAAUAACUACAUAAACACCACCACUGAUUUCCAGGCCAAUUGGUUCCCAUAUGGUGAGACCUUCUUCAAGUAUCCAACUGGCAGAUUUUGCGAUGGACGUUUAAUCCCAGAUUUUCUUGGUAAGAAUCUUAAUCGUUCUGUCAAUAAUUUUUGUUGUUUAAUUUUUUCAAUACCCCUUCAAAGACCCUUCCUGCUAACAAUUAUACCAGCAUAUUUAGUACAUUUGCAUUGAUUUUGCAGCUCAGUAUGCCAAGUUACCAUUUAUACCAGCAUAUUUACAACCUGGGUUGAACAACUAUUCUAAUGGGGUGAACUUUGCUUCUGGUGGAGCUGGUGCUCUAGUUGAAAGUCAUCAGGGAUUUGUAUGUCCUCUAGCUAAUAAAAUGUUUUUCCAUUAUUAUUAGGAGUUUUCGUUUUUCCAACGAAAUAGAGGAUUAGGCAAUAAUAGGUAAAAGGAGUAGGAUGAUGGGACACAAAGCGUCCACCCUCAGUCCUGAAGCCGAAGGGUCUUGCACUCUCUGAGAGCACAGCGCCGAUCAUCUGAGAGUUUUUUGCUACAGUUGCAGCUUUCGAUUAUUGAUUUUCCGUGUGAGAAAGAAAUUCGGGCGGACAUUUAUCCAUUUGGCAUGACUUAAUUUUGUUUUCCUUAUUCUUUCCAGGUGACAGACCUUAAAACUCAAGUAAGUCAAUUCAGGAAGGUGGAGAAGCUGUUGAGGCACAAACUAGGUGAUGCAGAAGCCUACACAGUGCUCUCCAAAGCUGUUUACAUAAUUAGCAUUGGAAGCAAUGACUAUAUUUCUCCCUUAGCAUCCAAUUUUAGCAAUGAAGAAUAUGUUGGCUUGGUUAUUGGCAACCUGACAAUUUGGAUCAAAGUAACAUUUUGCCUUGUUUAACACACAUACGUAACACAUGAUUUUUUUCUAUGCUUAGUUUCUUCUUUUUCCGAUAAUUUGUGACAGCUCAUGCCCUUUUUUAUUGACUAUGAAUUCACAAAAAUAUUUGGAUGAAUGACUUCGUAUACAUUUUGUCAGGAAAUAUACAAGAAAGGAGGAAGGAAAUUUGGAUUUUCAACCUUGCCGCCUCUCAAUGAAAUACCGAGCCUGAGAGUACAUAAACCAGGGGACACAAGCCCCUCAGCGGAAGAAGUUAUACCACUAGUGAAACUACACAAUAAAGCACUUGGAAAACUCCUCCUAAAGCUGAAGAGAGAGCUCGAAGGAUUCAAAUACUCAACCAUUGAUCUCCAUACAUACCUAAAACAAAUUAUAAAUCGUCCAUCAAAAUAUGGUAUAUAUAGCUACCUACUGUACCUUCUUUUAGCUUUAGUUUCUCUUAUUUGUUUUUUUUUUCAUAAGCUAAUAAGUUAUGUCCUUUCCAAUUUUGUUAUUAUUUUGUUGUAAAGGCUUCAGUGAAGGAAAGACGGCAUGUUGUGGCUCUGGUCCAUACGGAGCAAUUAAUUCUUGUGGAGGGAAGAGAGGAGUGACUAAGUAUCAGUUGUGUGACAAUGUUGCUGAAUAUGUAUUUUUCGACUCUUUCCAUCCAACCGAAAAGGUUUACCGGAAACUCCAAGUUAUGGUGGAGGCAUAACUUGAAGGAGCUAUUUGAAGUUUAGACAUAAUAUAUGGCUUGAUACCAAAAGAAGGGGAGAAUAAUUCUAAUCAAUAGCUGACUUGGUUCAGCCAAUAAGAGUUGUAACUCUUCAUUCAAAUAAAUCAUAGUGUGUUUUGCUUUUAUCAAAUAUUCUUGUUUCUUUCAUUCAUUUCUUUAAGUGAAAUUUAGAGAGGUGCAAUACAGUUUGUAAACUUAUCAGCAACAUUAUUUGGUAUUAGUUUGUAAACUGAAUACUAACAUUGAGGGAAGGGAGUGACAAUGCUCCAUAUCGAGGAAUUUUGAGCUGUGAAGGGGAGGAAGGGUCAUAGAUUGUGGUUUAUGUCACAAUGUUAUUGAAUAUGUCUUCUUUGACUUUGGCCAUACAAUAUCUUCUUUGUUUAUUCCUUAAAAUCUCAAAGCCCUAUCUGAAACUGUUGAAAAUACUAGUGGGUAUUGAAUGCCCACGUAGAAACUGAAAACAUUGGUAGCAGUUUUCCAACAUUGGUAGAAGUUUUCAAUGACCAUGCAAAUUGGAAAGUGACUUUGGAUGCAGGAGAUCAUGUUUGUCAAAGGUUACAUGCUGUAAAUUUCCAUAUGUAAUUAAUACGGUUGUUUGAGUUGCUCUAUAAAUAGAGCACUCGAAUGCAAUUAAAGGAUACGGAAAAACAGAUCAAUAAUAUCAUCCAUCCCCCCCUCUUUAAUUUGCCAUCUCCUUGUGUUUUAAUUACAGUGUGAUAUUUUACCUAUGCUUCGGUCCACUCACUAUCAAGGUUAUCUCUCUAACUUUUACAUUUAUAUAACACGUUAUCAGCACGAGUCUCUAAAUAUAACCAUGUCUCAUUUACAUUCACUAAACAAAAAGGAAAUCAUUCUCUCAUUUCUCUCCACCGAACGAAAAAAAAAUGUUUCCUCUAAGGUUUUUCCUGUUCAUCUUCUUCCUCUGCCUCAACUGCGCGGUAUACCCUCGCGACGAACUAUUUGCUCCAUGCCUACUUAUAGUCCUCCAACUAACGGUUACAUACAUCUUUGAUUACUUGUUUGGUUUAGAUAUUGAUUACUAACCCAGUAUUUAUUUAUGUUGAUUUUACUGCAAUCCAAGAUGGUGCGGUACAAUCGCCCAUCUUGAACUGCAAAUUUCAUCUUACUGCGAUCCAAGAUGGUGCGGUAUCAUCGCCUAUCUUGGACUGCAGAUCUACUUUUACUGCAAAUUUCAGGUGGAGCGGUAUAAUCGCCCACCUUGUUCUGCAAAUUUACAUUUACCUGUUGUUUAAUUUCAUUGCAACUUUAGGUGGUGCGGUAUAAUCGCCCACCCUGCUCUGCGUAUUUCAAUUUUCUUGCUACUUGAGUGGUGCGGACUAAUCGCCCAUUCCAUGUUACAUUCUUUCAAUGAGAAUGGUGCGGUACAAUCGCCCUUCUCAUUCACCCUGAAAAUCUCGAGCCAGAAGUUUCGAGUGCUUAUCAUUUUGGCCUGAAGAUCAAAAUGAAAAAUUUGUAAGAACUAGAAGUUCUAACAUUACAUUCCUCCAAGAAUACAUAUUAUUGCAAGUUCUUACACAUCUCAUUUUCUUUCAGAAAAGAAAAUGGCAAACUUGGCAAAGCUUGAAUAUGCUGCCAUGGACAUUACCGGGAAGAAUUACCUUACCUGGGUACUUGAUACCAAGAUCCAUCUGGAAGCAGGGAAUCUUGGAGAUACCAUCAGGGAAGAAAGCAGCUCAUCCUCUCAAGAUCGGGCGAAGGCCAUGAUCUUUAUUCGCCGCCAUCUUGAUGAGGCACUAAAGAGUGAGUACUUAACGGUUGAAGAUCCAUUAGCUCUCUGGGAGGCCUUGAGAAGCAGAUACAAUCACCAGACAAAGGUGAUUAUUCCAAAAGCUCGCUAUGAGUGGUCUCACCUGAGAAUUCAGGAUUUCAAAUCAAUGGCGGAGUACAAUUCUGCGUUGUUCAAGAUUACCUCUCAGAUGAAGCUCUGUGGGGAUACCAUUACUGAGGAAAUGUUGCUGGAAAAGACUUACAGCACAUUUCAUGCUAUAACGUGCUCAUGUAGCAACAGUAUAGAGUGCGAGGCUACACUGAAUACAACCAGCUAAUAUCUGUGCUCCUGGUAGCUGAACAGAACAAUGAGCUCCUGAUGAAAAACCAUAAUUCCCGACCUACUGGAUCUGCACCAUUCCCAAAAGUGAAUGCUGCUUCCCUCGAAGUGAAUGCCACAUCCUCUGGUGGUGAUUAUCAUAAAUGAGGACGUGGCCACAAACGAGGUCGAUGGAAUAGGAAAGGCAAGAACCAUGGUGGUCAGUUUCACAACCAGGUUCCGAGGCAUAAUUCUGGCCCGAGCUUCAAAAAUGUGAAUCAUCACAAAGGCAAAGCUCACAUGACCAAUGCUCCUAGGAACUCUGAAGGAGCCUGCCAUAGGUGUGGUGGCAAUGGGCAUUGGGUGCGAACUUGUCGUACCCCAAAACAUCUGGUGGAGUUGUAUUAAGCUUCCCUCAAGGAGAAGGGUGUCGAGAUCAAUUUUCUCGACCAGGCUAAACCAAUGGAUAUACCUGAUCCAGUGUUUGAUUUAUCAGGGCAAUUUGACGCAACUCACCUCGAUGUUUCAGACUUCAUUAUGGAAAAGGGGAAUGAAGUAUAUCGGUCCGACUAAAUCGUUUAUGUUUGAUGUACUUAUAUUAUGCUGAACUUGUUGUCUAAAACUAGUGGCAUGUAAAUUUCCUGUUAUAAAUUGUUUGUUAACUGUGAUUCCAUUUACUCAGAAAGCAUGGAUAAAAACUAUGGUUAUUCUCAGAACAUGAGAAAUGGCGGAGAUAUUUGUCUUGCAGACAGUGCAACCACACACAUAAUACUUCGUGAUCGAAAGUAUUUCUCAAGCUUAAUGCUUACAAGAGUAGGGGUAACAACUAUAUCAAGACCUUCAAAUGUGAUUGAAGGAUCAGGGAAAGCCCAGAUUAUGUUACCAAAUGGAACAAUAUUGUCCAUACAAAAUGCAUUGUAUGCUACUCGAUCUACUCGAAAUUUGUUGAGUUUCAAAGACAUACGUAAAUGGAUACCACAUUGAAACGAAAAGUGCAGAAAAUGUGGAGUAUCUAUGCAUUACCUCCAAUGAUACCCAGAAACGUAUAUUGGAGAAGUUGCGUGGUUUUUCGAGUGGAUUAUAUUAUACAUACAUAAGGACAAUUGAAUCACAUACUGUCAUGAACCAGAAGUUCAUUGAUUCAAAAGUUUACAUGCUUUGGCAUGACCGUCUGGGUCAUCCAAGAUCUACCAUGAUGUGUAGGAUCAUUACCAACUCUAAUGGACAUCCAUUAUUGAGCAAAGACAUUGCUAUCUCAAAUGAUAACCCUUGCAAGGCUUGUUCUCAAGGGAAGUUGGUAAUAAGAUCAUCACAACUAAAGGUUGAUGCUGAAUCCCCAUCAUUUCUGCAAAGAAUUCAAGGGGAUAUUUGUGGACCUAUUCAACCAUCUUGUGGACCAUUUCGAUAUUUUAUGGUUUUGGUUGAUGUAUCCACUAGAUGGUCACAUGUUUGUCUCUUGUCUACUCGGAAUAUAGCUUUUGCGAGACUUCUUGCUCAGAUAACUAAGUUACGAGCACAGUUCCCAGAUUAUCCCAUUAAGUCAAUCCGACUUGAUAACGCUGGUGAAUUUACGUCUCAAACCUUUGAUGAUUAUUGCAUGACAUUGGGCAUUGAUGUUGAACACCCUGUUCCUUAUGUCCAUACUCAAAAUGGUUUAGCAAAAGCAUUGAUCAAGCGGCUUCAGUUAAUAGCCCGCACUCUGCUUAUGAAAACCAAAUUGCUAGUUUCUGCAUGGGGACAUGCCAUCCUACAUGCUGAAUCAUUGGUUCGAUUGAGACCUAUAGCCAACCAUCAAUACUCCUCAAUACAACUCGUGUUUGGACAUCAGCCAAACAUUUCACAUUUACGAGUUUUUGGUUGUGCUGUUUAUGUGCCUAUUGCACCCCCGCAACGCACUAAAAUGGGACCUCAGCGUAGACUGGGAAUUUAUGUGGGUUUUGAUUCACCAUCUAUCAUUAGAUAUUUGGAACCCUUGACAGGUGAUAUGUUUACAGCUCGUUUUGCUGAUUGUCAUUUUGAUGAGACAGUCUUCCCAUCGUUAGGGGGAGAAAAGACCAUUCCAGAAGAACGGAAAGAACUGACAUGGGUUGUUCCCACCUUGUCUCAUUUUGAUCCUCGAAGCAUUCAAUGUGAAAAUGAAGUAAAGAGGAUCGUUCAUCUUCAAAGCAUUGCCAAUCAAAUGCCAGAUGCAUUUAAUGAUGCUAUGAAAGUGACAAAAUCGCAUAUACCAGCUGCAAAUGCACCUGCUAGAAUUGAUGUCCCUAUUAGACAAAGUAAAGUGGCAGCGAAUGAUUCAUCUGGUGCACGCCUGAAGCGUGGUAGACCACCAGGUUCAAAAGAUUCAGCCCCUCGAAAGAGAAAGACAAGGGCACAACUAAAUCCAAAUGAAAUCAUUCAGGAAGAAAGAAUGAAUGACAAAUCCACAAUUCAUGAUUCUAGACUUCCAGAAAAAGAAAAUGUCCUCGAUGAGACAUAUGUCCCUGAAGAGACAGAAGUACAUGAAAGCAAAGAAAUCUCUAUAAAUUAUGCAUGUACUAAUGAAUUGUGGGAUUGGAAUGAAAUAAUCAUUGAUGAUAUGUUCGCAUUCGCAGUAGCCACUGAAAUCAUAUUAAGUGAUGAUAUUGAGCCCCACCCUGUUGAUGAGUGCAAACAGAGACAAGAUUGGCCUAAGUGGAAAGAUGCAAUCUAGGCAAAAUUAAAUUCCUUGGAAAGGCGAAGUGUUUUUGGACCAGUAGUCCAAACCCCGCCUGAUGUAAACCCCAUGGGUUACAAAUGGGUAUUCACAAGGAAACGCAAUGAGAAAAAAUGAGAUUGCUAGAUACAAAGCACGACUCGUUGCACAUGGUUUUUCACAAAGACCUGGAAUUGAUUAUGAGGAGACAUACUCUCCUGUAAUGGACGCAAUUCCGUUCCGUUACUUAAUAAGUUUAGUGGUUUCAGAAAAGCUUGACAUGCGACUUAUGGAUGUCAUCACUGCGUAUCUAUACGGAGAAUUAGAUACUGACAUAUACAUGAAAGUCCCAUAAGGACUUAAGUUGCUUGAAACAAGUAACAAACCACGAGGUAUGCUCUCGAUCAAAUUAAGGCGAUCAUUGUAUGGGCUGAAACAAUCUGGACGAAUGUGGUAUAAUCGUCUCAGUGAGUAUUUGAUCAAAGAAGGAUAUAUCAACAAUGUCAUUUGCCCUUGUGUAUUAAUUAAGAAAUCCAACUCUGGAUUUGCUAUAGUGGCAUUAUAUGUUGAUGAUAUGAACCUAGUUGGAACUCCUAAAAAGCUCCAUAAAACUGCUGAAUAUCUGAAAAGCGAAUUUGAAAUGAAAGACCUUGGGAAAACAAAAUAUUGUCUCGGCCUGCAGAUCGAGCAUUGUGCUAGUGGAAUUUUGGUCCACCAAUCAGCUUACAUUGAAAAAAUUCUGAAGCGAUUUGGUAUGGAUAAAGCUUAUCCACUCAGCACACCAAUGGUCAUUCGAUCUCUGGACAUUAAGAAAGAUCCAUUCCAUCCAGAAGAAGAUGAUGAAAUGGUCCUUGGUCUAGAAGUACUAUAUCUGAGUGCAGUAUGUGCUUUGUUGUAUUUAUCACAAUGUACUAGACCAGAUAUAGCUUUUUUAGUCAACUUGUUAGCCAGGUAUAGCUCUGCUCUAACAAUCCGUAAUUGGAAAGGUGUCAAAGAUGUAUUGCGAUACCUUCGUGGGACAACAGAUAUGGGUCUCUUUUACUUAAAGAACUCCACAAAUGACCAGGUCCUUGUUGGAUAUGCAGAUGCUGGUUUCCUCUCUGAUCCGCAUAAAGCCCGCUCACAAACUGGAUAUGUGUUCAACAAUGGAGAUACAGCAAUCUCAUGGCGCUCAACAAAGCAAACCUUAGUUGCUACAUCUUCAAAUCAUUCAGAAAUACUUGCUUUACAUGAAGCAAGUCGUGAAUGUUCUUGGUUAAGAUCAAUGAUCCAUCAUAUUUGGAAUUCAUGUGGUCUACCUUCGAAGACAGAUAAUCCAACUGUCAUUCAUGAAGAUAAUGCAGCUUGUGUUGCCCAAAUGAAAGAAGGAUUCAUCAAGGGUGAUAAGACUAAACACAUAUCUCUAAAGUUUUUCAGUGCACAUGAGCUUCAGAAGGCUAAAGUUAUUGAAGUCAGACAAAUCCGUUCUAAUGAAAAUCUGGCAGACUUGUUCACCAAGUCCCUACCAAAAUGCAUGUUUCAGAAGUUAGUGCAAAGUAUCAGAUUACGUCUACUUACCAAACAACUAAGUUUGGAGAAUGCGGAAUCAGGGGGAGAUACAUCGCAGGGGGAGCAUCCAUGAUACAUGCUUGUUGUACUCUUUUUCCUUCGAUUAGGAUUUUUCCCACUGGGUUUUUCCUAUCAAGGUUUUAACGAGGCAACAUAAGUAUACUGAACACUAUAUCAACAAUCCAGGUAAAGUUGUACUCUUUUUCCUUCGCUAUGGUUUUUUCCCACUGGGUUUUUCCAAGCAAGGUUUUAACGAGGCAACUGAUAUUGAUAUGUGGGCAUCCAAGGGGGAGUGUUGAAAAUACUAGUGGGUAUUGAAUGCCCACGUAGAAACUGAAAACAUUGGUAGCAGUUUUCCAACAUUGGUAGCAGUUUUCAAUGACCAUGCAAAUUGGAAAGUGACUUUGGAUGCAGGAGAUCAUGUUUGUCAAAGGUUACAUGCUAUAAAUUUCCAUAUGUAAUUAAUACGGUUGUUUGAGUUGCUCUAUAAAUAGAGCACUCGAAUGCAAUCAAAGGAUACGGAAAAACAGAUCAAUAAUAUCAUCCAUCCCCCCUCUUUAAUUUGUCAUCUCCUUGUGUUUUAAUUACAGUGUGAUAUUUUACCUCUGCUUCAGUCUACUCACUAUCAAGGUUAUCUCUCCAAAUUUUACAUUUAUAUAACAGAAACUAAUUUUUCUUUCCUAACACAACAGACCAUCCAUCAGCAUCUCCAAGAGUUAUUUUAAAACUUAGCUGGUUCUUUUUUCUUUUUCUUUUCUUGAACAAAAAUUAUUAUCUACACUAAGGAGUUGGGGAAGUAGGAUAAAUCUCACAAUAGCUAGCAAUAAUGUGAUUUAAAUUCACUCACAAGUGAAAAUGAAUACUAUUAUACCGUAGUACUAAGUGGCAAAAUUUAGUUGGUUUAGCUAGUGAAUAGUGCCAAAGAAUUAUUUUAUCUAGCUAUGUAACCUUUUUGUCAAAAUAAAUAAAUUUCAUUAAUUGAAAAGGCUAGUACAAGAUAAAAAAAAUUAAAAAAAAUUAAAAAAACCUAAAAAGCAGUCCAAAGCAACCAAGUACAAGAAAAACUACAACAGUUCAAAUAAAUAAAAAAGUCACUCAGUAUUAUGGUCUGGUGGUAUUCCUCUUUACUUGGAAGUGAGAGGUCUUAGGUUUGAAUCUCGUGGAUGAUGAAUUCGAUACCAAAUUAGGCUGCCCAUUGUGUGGCUUAGCCGAACUUCCCAUUUCCUUAGUGUAAAAAUAUUAAUGUACUCAAAAAAUACAAUAAAAAGGUCCAAAAGUAGCUAGACCACUACAAGUAAAACCUAGAUCUAAAAGAUCGUUGGCUCCACCAAACAGCUGCGCCCCCAUAAAAAAGACUAGACGAACCCACAAAAUGACUAGAUGAACCGGAAUGUGGGUGAACAAAUCACCCACGCAAAAAUACGCUAUAAUUAUAAUGAUCCUACUAAAUAACAAUGCUAAUAACACUUUUACACCACCCAACGGCAAAGCGCUCCCAAGUCGAGUAGUAGAGGUUGAUAGUUGAAAACUCGCAACGAAAGCAACAUCUAAGUAAAAGAGGAGCAUGAAAGCUCAAAUGUGAGAUAAGCUCAAAAAAAAAACAAAAAAAAAAACAAAAAGAAUUGAGACAAAAGCUCAAGGAAAAAAAAACAAGGGCCAAAGUAAGAUACAAAAAAAACUAAAAGGAUAACAGAGAAGGAGAAGCAUUUGGGGUUGGUAAGGAGGGGGUGGGAGGGGAGGUUUGCCACUAACCCCCACCUAAAAGUAAGAGUCGGUAGCAAUGGGAGUUAGCUUUCUUUUGUGCUUUCAGCAAGAGAGGAAUUGUUUUAUUUCCCCAAUUUAACUUAUUAUUUUGAACACCCUCGCUAUUUUACUAGGGCUGGAAACUUUUCCCUAAAAUCCCAAACCAAACUAAAAAAAUCUCGAUCCCAUACCGAAAAAUUCACAAACCCAUAAAACCAAAAUUUCGAGACUCCAUACUGAAGCGAUAUCGAAAUUUUCGGUAGGGAUUCGGUCUGAGCAAUGCAUUGGUUCGGGAUCCCGAACGAAAUCGAUUUUGAUUUUUUUAUUUACAAGUUAGGGUUAAUUUUCACCCGUUGGAUUGCUUUAGAAUAAUUUGGGCUGUCCGUUUUUUAUCGUUUUAUCUCUGCCUUCCAGCCCUACUUACUCUUUCACAUUUCAUUUUUGCUUUUCUCAUCUCUUCCUUCACUUAGAGUCUCAAACUCUCUCCUUCUCUUCUUCUUGAAUUUGAAGCUUAGCAACCACCCACCCUCUCACAAUCUCACUCCGACGAAUUAUUUCCACGCCGGCCCCCACCACACCUCACGACUUCAUCCCCCUCACGACCACAUCAUCUUCAAAUCUCCACCCUCCCUCCACCACACAUAGUCACACAACCAACACACACACACACACACACACACACACACACACACACACACACACACACACACUCUCCCUCUCUCCCGUUUCUCUCUUUCUUGCGCGAUUCUAUUUCUAAGACCGUCUACGAUUCUCUCUAAUGAUUCACUAUGUGUGUGGGUUUCGAAUUAGGGGCUCAAGUUAGGAGGAGGAUGUGGGUUUGACCAUCUCUUCACUUUCUCUCUCUCAUCCUUCAAUCUUCACUGCUUCACAGUCACUUCGUCUCUGAUUUUAAUUUGAGGUUAUAAUGCAAGUUCAAAUGAUUUCUGUUUCAAUCUAGAUAAUUUGGAUUUUGAUACAGGUCUAGUUCUGGGAAAUUCCAAAAACAUUUCGGGAAUCCUGAAAUUUAAGAAUACUAGAAUUUCGAUUCAGGAUCUGUUGUCAGAUUCCCAUCCCUAAAAUGAUUGAUUCAAAAUUUGUUAUGCUAUUUUUGGUUUGGUAUCCCAUAUCAAACUAGCCCUAAUUUUACCAAAUUAAGCUCACAAAAAAACUAAGACACCUCUUAGGAGAGAGAAUGUGAGUUUUAAUAGUUUGUUAAUAUUUUUCUUUUGUUAUUUUCUGUCUCCCCUUUUUAAAUUUAAAGAGUAACUCUUUAUUUUGUUAAGUUAGAUUGUCUUCAUAAAGAUUAAUGAAUAAUCAAUCUAAGCAUCCAAAUGAUUGCAAUUGACAAAAAAAUGCGAACACAUAAACUAAGUGUUCAUUCAUGCAACUUAAACAUAUUAUUGACAUUCAAGUUAUGGUUUAAUUCCAAUCUCAUCAACCAAAACACAUAUUCAUGGAAGAUAGAACAACGAUUUAAUACAUUCAUGCAAGUCUAUGUUUGUUGAAGCCCAAAAUCAGUGAAGACUUCUGAACAACGUAAAGUGUCAAGUUUGUGACCUUCGCUUGGUUGCUCUGGUCACCUAGUGAGGAUAAUAUGUAAAGAGAUAGAGAUAGGGAAGCAAACACAAGUUGUACAUGAUUCACCCUAAGUUUGGCUAUGUCCACGGAGUGGAGGAGUUCUCAUUAAUAAUGAAGGGUUUACCUAAAUACAUAGGUUCAAGCAUGCGUCUCAUAAGCGAGUUCUAAUGAGUAGUUUUGUACAAGUAUGACAUUCGGGAUUCAUAGUAAGAGAAUGGUCUCCUUUUAUAGUUGAGGAGAUAUUUUAGCUUUAUUCUAACGUUGACAUGUGUCGCGCUGUGAUUAGCCUCCGAUGUUGACAUGUGUCGCGAUGUGAUUGGCCUUUGACGUUGACAUGUGUCGCACUGUGAUUGGCCUCCUAGUUGGAGGGAAACUUUUGUGCUUCGACAUGGGUGCCUCAGCAAGAACCCCUCAAUGGGUCAUUCAUGGUAUGAUGUUGACCGGUACUUGGUAGUUUUGGGAUUGGCAAAGUAUGGUACAAACAGCGCUCCCCUAAGUUCCCGAGUGAAGGAAGUUUCUCAGUUAGGGACUUGCAAAAUCCAAGUCAUUGAAUAAUCACGAAACUUCUAAGUACUGAAGUGUAGUAGCAUAUAAGUGUUCGAGCAAGCUGUGACGUCGAUGUUGGCUACCACUCCAAUCAUUUUCCCUUGCCUUAUCUGUCUCCUAGGUAGAAGUGCUAUGUUCUCUAAUUUUCCCCCCAGGAUGAUGUAUCAUUUUCACUUACCUUAUCUGUAGUUUCGGGAUUGGUGAAGUAUGGUACGAACCAUAUAAUGGGAGUACAUCACUUCUCAGCGACUAUCAUUUUCACUUGCCUUAUCUGUAGUUUCUGGAUUGGUGAAGUAUGGUACAAACCAUAUAAUGGGAGUACAUCACUUCUCAGCGACUCAUCCAUGCUUGGCAGCUUCAAUGUAAAAAGCCAACAUCAUAUCAACUGUUCUGAGGUAUUUGCUGAGGAAAUUCAAGACCUAACAACAGUUGAAGAUGAGUACUCGAGAAUAAUGCAAGGUAAGCAACCAGGCAAAGGUUCCAGGCAAUCAGUUCCAGAUCGGAAGUUUGAUUUUAGGUUCAAACUGAUUGCUUUCUUUCUCCUUGUCUUGCAGGUAAGAGCAAGGGCAAAGGAAAAGACAAGGAAAAAUCUUGAUAUGAGAUACUUUUGCUUUCGACCCUGAUGAUAUAAGAUAUUUUGGCUCUUGAAGAAAACAGUAGAAGGUUUUGAUACUAAUGUAAAACUUCUCGAUCAAAACUAUUUUCUUGCUGAGGAAAUGAGUUAAGCAUUUUGAGUGACUUGGUUGAAGAAAUAUUCUUGGAGAGAAAGAAAAUAUAGCAUUUAGAGAUGCUUUGUUGAAGAUGCAUUCUCAGAAAGGAUGAAGAGUUAGGCAUUCUAGUAGGUCUGCUUUGCCAUGGAAGACGGAGGUCAACAUAAAUAGGGAUUUUCCAAUAGCAAAUAGUGAUGUUGUUCCUUUACUCUUGUCAGUAAUAGUGGUAUAGUUGGAACUGCAAAAUUCACGAGUUUCAAUUUUGUCAGAGAUCUUGGACAAAGUUGCCCGUGAUAUCCGAAAAGUUGAGAUUGCAUAUGAAAAGUGCCAACAAACUUUAUUAAGGAAAAUCUGGCUUUUGAAAUUCAGAUAGUGGUGUCUCUUCGAUUUUUGAACAAGUGGCCUUGUUGAAGAUGCAUUCUCGGGGAUGAGGAAGCAUUAGGCAUUCUCGUAGGUCUGCUUUUCCAUGGAGGAUAUAGCUCGAUAUAUAUAGGGAUUUCCCAAUAGCAAGUAGUGGUGUUGUUUCUUUACUUUGUCAGUAAUAGUGGUGUAGUUGGAACUACAAAAUUCAUGCAUUUCAACUUUGUCAGAGAUCUUUAACAAAGUUGCAUGUGAUAUCUGAAAAGCUAAGAUUGUGAAUGAAAAGUGUCAACAAACUUUAUUCAGGAAAUCUGGCUUUUGAAAUUCGAAAAGCGGUGCUUCUUCGAUUUUUGAACAAAUGGCCCUAUUGCCUCUUCUUUUAUAGAGGCAUCAAUUGUGUUCACAAAGCAUGCUCAAAAAGUUAUUGCCUAUAGAAAUUUCCCCUUUUUUGUACUUUUGAGAUUUGUCUGACCUCUUUAUCAUUCAUCAUUUCUAAAAAUGGUUUGCCCAUCUGACCGUCAUUUUGAUUUGAAUGUUGUGGAAGAGGUAGACAAGUCUCAUCAAGACAACAUAUGACACCCAUCUUUCUUAUCCCCUAAUGGUCCUCUUACAGUUAGGGACUCUGUGAUGAAGAAUAACAUAUCCGCUACAAUGAUGGCUAGGAAUCUUAUCACUCCUAAGGAUAACAAGAUACUUUCUAAACGAUCUGAUGAGUUAGUUGUUCAAGACUCUCUAGCUUUCAAUGUGCAGUGUGCGGGCUCUGUAUCCAAUAUGAGCCAACACCUACUUGCUCGAACUCGCUAAGUUGAAUCAUUGAUGGCUGAGGUGGCAAGUCUUAGACAAGAGAUCAGAGGGCUCAAGCAUGAAAAUAGAGAGUUACACGUGCUUGUAAAUAAUUACUUAACGAGUAUGAAGAGAAAGCUUGAACAGCUGCAGGAAUCCGAAAGUCAUAUUCAAAGUGACCAUUAGAGGUUUGUGGCUUUUUUCCAAAAGCACCUAUUGCCUUCGCCAUCUAGAGUUUUACCAAGUAUUGAGGCUCCAAAUAAUCAAACUCCGGUGCCUUUUCUUUCUGAGGUUCUGCCAAGUACUAAGACUUCACAUGAGCAACCUUUGUGAAUGCUCCCUUCUGUUUGUUUGUUUUAACUCAUAUGUAUGCACAUAUCUGUAAUUUCUCAGAGAUAUCAAUAAAUAAGCUUUAUUUCAUUUAGUGUACUGUGUUAAAUACACUAUGGCAUACUUCAUUAAGCUUUUACAUGUUUUGGUGUUGAUUUUUUUGUUAAAGCUUUACAGGUGAAAUUUUGUGGGUGAAGCCUUUUGUAGGUGAAGCUUUUUGGUUGAAGCUUUAUAGAUGAAGCUUGUAUGUUGAAGCUUUGUAGGUAAAGCUUUUUGGUUGAAGCUUUGUAGGUGAAGCUUUUAGGUUGAAGCUUUGUAGGUGAAUCUUUUUGGUUGAAGCUUUGUAGGUGAAGCUUUUUGUUAAAGUGUAGGUGAAGCUUGUAUGUUGAACCUUUGUAGGUGAAUUUUUUUGGUUGAAGCUUUUGUAGGUGAAGCUUUUUGGUUAAAGCUUUGUAGGUGAAGCUUUUAGGUUGAAGCUUUGUAAAUGAAGCUUGUAAGUUGAAGCUUUGUAGGUGAAGAUUAUUCAUAGAUUUUGCUUCCACACUCUUGAGCAAGAGUGUGGAAGGCUUUUUGAAUUUUUGGUUGAAGCCUUAAGUUGAAGCUUUUUGUGAAGCACAUAAAUAGAUUUGGCUUCCACACUCUUGAGCAAGAGUGUAGAAGGUUUUUUGAAAUUUUUGUUGAAGCCUUCGAUUAAAGCUUUUUGUGAAGUAUAUAAAUAGAUUUUGCUUCCACACUCUUGAGCAAAAGUGUGGAAGGCUUUCUCCCUUCCAAAGUGUGAGAAGCUUAUACCCUUGGGUGUGGGAAGUUUUAUCCAUUCAAAAGUGUUAGAAGCUCUCUCCCUUCAAGUGUGUGGGAAACUUAUACCCUUGGGUGUGGGAAGCUCUCUCCCUUCAAGGGUGUGGGAAACCUUCUCCCAUCAAAAGUGUUGGAAGCUCACCCCCCAUGCGAAGUUUAUACCCUUGGGUGUGUGAGGCUCUCUCUCUUGGGUGUGGGAAGCUCUCUCCCUUCAAGGGUGUAGGAAGUUUAUACCCUUGGUGGUGUGAAGCUCUCUCCCUUCAAGGGUGUGGGAAGCUCAUACCCUUGGUUGUGGGAAGCUUUCUCCCCUAGGGCUCUUUAUUUCGAAUUUCGUAUGUUUGUUUUUUAAUUAUUAUUAUUUUUUUUUUAAUUUCAGACUUUUUUUUUAGGGAUAAGAAAAUGUGGGAAAGGCAACAUAUAUAGAUUUUUCUUUGAGCAAGAGUGUACGAGGCAACCCACACAUUUUAGAAGUUAAAGGUUCGGAGGAACCACAUAAAUUGAUUUUGCUUCACACAGUCUUGAUCAAGAGUGUGUGAAGCUUUCUAAGAGUUGUAAUGUUUGCAUUGUUACCAAGGGGAAAUGUCUGGAGUAGAUGCAAAAGGGCUGAAAAGCUUAAUCUUUGUAUACCAUGCACUGAAGCUUGUUGGCUUGCAAUAAGACUUUGUUGGUGACUAUAACCCUUGUUGGGCACAAGUGCUCAUCUUGUUGGGUUGAGUUAAGCUUGCUUACCCCUCUUUUGAGCUGUAAGGCUUGAUGGGUUUUUAUUAUUUAUGAAUGCUGAGAGUUCACAUGUACAAGUUGUACCACUCCUCACCUAGUUGAUGGGAAAAUGGUGAGUUGUUGAGGCAAAAGUGUUUAUUAAUAGUACUAGUUGUACUCUUCAUCGCCUGGUUAGUGAUACGAAUGUGAGUUCUUUCAUCACCUAGAUGGUAAUAAGAGUGGCAAGUUGUCGAAUGGUAUUAGAGGACGGGUUGUACCUUUCAUCACCUGGUUAAUGAUACGAAUGUGAGUUCCUUUAUCACCUAGUUGGUGAGAAUAAAGGCAAAGUGCCAAGGCACAUUGUAGCAAGUAUCAAAUGACACAAAGUAUGUUGACCCUUUUCGAAGCUCAGUUGACUUAUGUAUGAAUGUGUUGAAAUGUAUGAUGUUUAUGUUGAUUGACAUAAGUGAUGCUUAGUUUUGCUAUGCAUGAAGGAAUCUAUGCUUUGGAUAUGUGAACCAUGUUGGUUGUAACACUUAGUUUCACUUACUUUGUGUCAAAGUAUGCAUGUUGAAGCUAUGAGUCAAAGUAUGCAUGUUGGUUGUAACACUUAGUUUCACUUACUUUGUGUCAAAGUAUGCAUGUUGAAGCUAUGAGUCAAAGGAUAGAGGUAGGUUAGCGUAGACCAAGUGUUCCGGUGCUAGGAAUGUAAAAGACUCAAACGAAGUUGUUUGACUUCCCUCUUCUUUAAAUAUUUACCGAAUGGCUUGUGAUUCAAAAGAUCUCAAACAGUUGAAGGUCAAAACAUUUGUAAUGUGUAUGCCUUCUUAUAAUAGUAUUUUCUUCAACAUUUAGUUCUCCCAUUUUGAAAGAGCUAGGCUUGAUCCCAUGAUCAUAAUAGUUGAAGGUACAUUCACUUUUGGUUAUCUUGAUAAGAACCUUUAUCCCUCUUGUUGUAAUGAGUUUGUUGAAAGUAAAAAUCUUUCCUCUUACCAAGAGAUGAAUACAUUUGGUGACUGAUGUGAUAUAAACUAGCACUCAAAUUAAACCCUCUUAUUGACAAUUGUAGUAAAGAUGUAAGUAGGGAUCAUUCUAGGCCGGGGAUUAGGAGGGAUUGCUAGUUUACUUAAAACUGACUCAAAAAUACAAAACUAUGCUUGAAAACACUUAACUAGACUCAAAGAACUCAAAACAAACUAAAAAGACUCAAAACAACACAAAACAAUCAAUUAGACUCAAACUAGACACUAGAGAGUGAUUUGGACAAAAAUUGAUUUCAACUUGACUCAAAACACUUAAAAACACAAGUUUGGACAGAUUCUAACUAAUUUGACUCGGACUGAUUCUAACUAAUUUGACUCAACAAAGUAAAUGGGAUUAGGUUUUUGACGAAUUUAAAGUAAAGACAAGUAAAUUAAAGACUUAAGCAAAUUUAGCACGAAUUUGGGGAAAAAGUAUUGGUGAUUGGCUAGCUAAAGGGUUCUUCUCCACACAUGACACAUUUGCAUACAAAUCGAUUUCCAGUUGUUUUUCCAAUAAACCAUGAACCUCAACGCUCAAGAUUAACCGUGAACAGCACUAAUUAACCCUUAGAUAUUUCUUAAGUCAUUGAAUUGGAUAGACAACGCAUCGGCAACCAAAUUAUUCUUCAAUAGUCCCCUACAUGAGCAGCAUAAUAGAGAUACAAUCAAAGAUCAUUAAGCUUUAUGAAAAUCAUAAGCAUUGACAAGACAUUCGUAACUAUGAACAGCAUGAUACUCUUGCCAGGAAUUCACUUAACACGAUUGUGACUAGCUACCUCCACUACUUAUAAAUAUAAGUUCAUAACUAUUAGGUGAAACUCCCUUAUAUUUUAGCAUCAAAUCCCUACAUGCAAACUAAGUGUGCACCCUUAAUCAACAAACAAGAAUAAGUUCUGAAUCAAACAGUUAAGUAAAUUGCAUUCACGAUUCAUGAAAUCAUAAUUGGAAGUAAUCAAUUCAUAUUGUAAAUAUAUUCAUGGCUUUGAAUUUCCCCCUAGCUAAAACGAGUUUAGCUCCUCAUGUUCGCAAAACAAAGAUAAAUUAAAUUAAACAUUGAAAACAAAGGAUGGAUUACACGUAAAAACGUUCCAGCAAUCCAAGCUUGAAUGGCAAGCAUGUCCAAGGGUCCUCCUUCUUCUUCUUUGUUGCGGCACAAGGUGUGGGUAUAGGUUUGAGUGAUGAAUUGUAUGAAAGGAUGGCUAAAAGUAUGAAUGGUAAUGAAUGGAUGGUGAAAGAUGGGAUGUCGUGAAUGGGGUUCUGAAUGGGUCCUAUUCUUAUGCGGCACACACAUAAAUAUAUAACAGGGCUCGGCAAAACCCUAGAAGAAAGGGAAAGGGCUAAUUAAAAUCAGAAUCCAAAUGAGAAAGGGAAAGAGAUAUGUGGCAGGAUCCUAGAAGAAAAGGGAAGGACUUUGCCUUGCACGACAAGGGAAAGGGAAAGGGGAAAAGGGAAAGGGGAAAGGGGUGCGGCAAACCUCUUUGACUGGGAUUAGGUCUUCUAGAAUCAUUUAUUUAGUGUCUAAAAAUAAUUAGAGAUCCUCCUUGCAGCUGGAAAUUAAGUGGUGAAGGAUUAGGAAAAUUUAGGACAAAAUAAGGUAACUUUGGCUAACAUUCAUUCUUUCUUGCUUGCAUCCUUUACUUUCUUUUCUUGAAUUAAUUUCUUCAUAACUUCAUCAUAAUCCUAGCCUCUUUUGGUCUUCAAAUUCGUCCAUCCACCUGGCUCUAUGCAUGUGCUAUCCAUUCCAAGCCCAAAACUGCUCCAAAAUGCACUUUCUUGCCACUUUAGCCCUUUAAACCUACAAACACACGAAAAUAGCUUAAAAUACUAAAAUAACUAGGAACUAAUAACAUAAAUGCAAGAAAACAAGCUAACUAAGUCGCAUAAAUAUGCUUCUAUCAGUGACCUAGUGAGUAGCUAAAUGAGGCAGGAAAGGAUGCAAUGGGUGUCUGAACUGCCAAAACUUCCUCGCUUGGUAGAACUUGACUUUCACUCCCCACUUGUUGAUAAGAGUUAACCAUAAGAAUGUUCCCUUGGUAUGUCAUUGCCUCGGCAACGGCAUGAUUGUAAGCUUGCAUCAUCAUCUCAGAGUAAGUCUUCCAAGUGUUAGCAUUAAUCAUGUACUUGAAGAAGCAUUCACUCAUGCCUACCAUGAAAGCCCUGAAUGUUAUUUUUUCAUCUGCCUCAGCGCAACGAGAGUACUCAUAGUUGAAACGACCGACAUAUUCACGCAAUGACUCGUUUGAUUUCUAAUGAAUGGUGUAUAGCUCAUCAGCGGAGUGUAAACGAUUAACUUGGAAGAUGUGUUGAGCCAUGAAGAGUCUCAUUAACUCAACAAAAGAAUCCACUGUAUCAGGUAGAAGAUGAUAAUACCAAUUAAGAGCCCCACUAGAGAAAGUGGAGGGGAAAAUGAGACAUUGUUCCUCAUCACUAUGUCUUCGGUAUGCUAUGGUGGAUUCAAAGAAGUGGAUAUGCUCAAUCGGAUCUUCUCUCCCAGUAUAAGAUUGCAAGCCAAGCUUAAGUUUUGUUUCUCUUUGUAGAGGGGUGUCAAGGAUCCUCCUUGUCAGAUGGUCAGGCCUUGGCUGAUCCCAGCCAGGGAUUUGGGCAUGACGCUCGGCAUUUAGCCAGUUUACUUCUUUGAGGAGAUGUAGGAUAAGAGGGUCCUGAGUGAAGUCAGACACUAUUAGAACUCUCAUUUGCAAGUUUUCCUCAUCCCUUGGAAGUAUAAGAGUUGGUCAAAGACAUGUGGCUUUUCCUUAGAUUCACCGUACUGGCUUCUGAAACGUGCCAUUUGGAAGUCCCCCGAGUCUCCUACUAAUUCCUGUCCUUCCAAGGCAUGUCGUUCCUUUCUUGGAUUAGGCAUUGGCCUACGUUGUGGUAGAGGAUCGAGCCCUUCAAUGACUCUUAGGUCUCUGAUCUUUGAGCUUAUGUGGAUAGAAUUUUUUUUACGAUGUCUCAUGAAGUCUCGACAAUCACGAUAAACGGCUAUUGAUCCCUCCAUUCCCUCUACAAGGAGGUGCCUCCCUCCACUUCUCCUACUUCGGGUCGAAACAGCUAGGUUGAGAGAAGUUUCAAGUUGAUCAACAAAUUGAUGAGUAGCUUUCUCCUUAUCAAGAAUAUCCAUGUUGAAGACCGGUGACCCCCCAUGUUGGAGGGUACCGAAGUGAUGGUUGACGUCCAUAGGGGCAAUGGGCUCAUGUGAUUAAGUAUGUCUAGCCUUAUGGAGCAUCUCGAAAAGCUUCUCAACUGCUCUUGGAGGAUCUCAUUCUUCAUUACUAUCUUGUUAUUCUAAGCCUCUAAUUCUUCGACUUUAACUUGAAGAGCAAACUUUUUUCGUUCCUUCCUUUGCCACCUCACACUACGCACGAGGGGAGUGUCGUUCUGUGAGUUAUGGCUUCAUUCGCUCCCCAUGUUGGAGAGGGAUGCUCGGUUAAAGGAAAAGUGUGCGACCGAUGGAAACCAACUUAAUAAAGCUAAAGAGAGUAGGAAUAAGUUUCGAUUCCCACAGACGGCGCCAAAUGUUCAUGCACAAAAUCAUUGAAGACUUUGGAACAACAUAAAGUGUCAAGUUUGUGACCUUCGCUCGGUUGCUUUGGUCAUCUAGUGAGGAUAAUAUGUAAAGAGAUAGAGAUAGGGAUGCAAACACAAGAUGUACGUGGUUCACCCUAAGUUUGGUUACAUCCACGGAGUAGAGGAGUUCUCAUUAAUAGUGAAAGGUUUACCCAAAUACAUAGGUUCAAGCAUGCUUCUCAUAAGUGAGUUUUAAUGAGUAGUUUUGUACAAUUAUGACAUUCGGGAUUCAUAUUAGGAUAAUGGUCUCUUUUUAUAGUUGAGAAGAGUCUUUAGUUUUAUUAUGACGUUGACAUGUGUCGUGUUGUGAUUGGCCUCUGACGUUGACAUGUGUCGCGCUGUGAUUGGCCUCCUUGUUAGAGGGAAACUCUUGUGCUUCAGCAAGGGUGCCUCAACAUGAACCCCUUAAUAGGUCCUUGACGGUAUAACGUUGACCAAUGCUUGAUAGUUUUGGGAUUGGUCAAGUAUGGUACAAACAACUUUAACGCUCAAAACUUUCUAACCAUAAACAAUAUGAUUAGGCUAACCCAAGAACAACUCCCACUAAGCUUUUAGAAUUUUUACACUUACUGCAAAUAAACCAAUGAGUGUGAAACACAAUUUUCUUUAACUAUUUCUCCCACUUGGGCAAACACUCAUUAAUGUAUUCUUUCAAAUGAUGUACCAAAAUAAAAUAGCUUCAUAUUUUAGACAUAAUAAAAUAGAUACCAAAACCAACAUAAAGUUUGUCAAACAGAAUUUCAGCAAUAAGUCACACUUACUUUAGAAUUCUUCAUAAUUAAUUCAUAAGCUUGAUUUCUACCAAAAUUAUACGAGUCAAACUAGAUAUACUAAUCUUCAUAGAAUAAAAGUAGAGAGCCAUUUUAAGUCAAAAUGAUAGUCUGAAGUGAUGUCUCAAAACUGGCAGCAAAACUGUUCAUACUAGCAUGGGUUACUAGUAAAUUCACCAUAAUUAAAAUACAUCACAAAAAAUUACGCGAAUUUGCAGAUACAUAUUAGACAUUUAUAUGUUAAACAUAUAAAAAAUUCGGGUCAUUUGGUGACCUUUCGACGUGUCAUUCAUCUAAUUUGAAUCAAUACAUGCAAUCUGCUAGAAAUACUAUGUGCAUCUAUCGCGAAUCUAUACAACCAUAAUUAACUAAUUCAACCUCAUACUAUUUCAAUUCGAUGCGCAAAAGAAACUUAAGUGUUGGAAAUAUGCCCUGAAAGUCAAUCUUUGGAAGAAACCAUUCAGGACAAUUGAAUCGAUGUAUGGAUGACUCUUAUACAUCAAAUGGCAAAGAUACUAAUUAGGACUAUCUCUAUAAACGAUAUAUGUCCUAAAUAGUGUAUCCAUGGACAAUGGAUCGAUUGAAGAAGUAAUCUAAUGAUGUUAGACUACAGAGACCUUCUUCACAUAACCAAAUGUCCAAAAAGGUUCCUGGUCAUUGGAUUGUCGGAGGGAUACUGACAAUGCGAAGACCGGUACAUACUGUAUCCGCUUCAAUUGGAAGGAUGGAAAGUCUCAUCCCAUUCGUGUUGUGACACUAAGGCAAGUAUGUUGGUGCUCAUUAAGGGAAUGAGUUCACUGAACACAAUCGAACGAGAGUACUUGCAUGGAGGUCUAUUCACAUGUCAAGCAAGUAACUCUAAUGGUUGGAAUAAUGUAAGUAGUCCUUUGACCUGAGGCAUCGUCGUUGUCUUGUGGUUAAGUACUUGAUCUUUGAUUAUGUCAAAAGUCACUCUAUCAGAAUGUCAACGGCAUAGUUGGGGUUAAGCCACUUAGUAAUGAAGGCAAGUGUAUGUGCAACAAGGAAUCUCUAAUCCUCGAUAAGAGAGGAAGAAUACUCUAAAAUAUGAUUCGGGAAUCUUCGGCCGAAGUAUUGAGCGUAAUAAAGGAAAGCAUUCCUAUACGACUCAAUUGAAUCAUAUAAGAAGGAAUAAUCACAUUAGGGGUUUGACAUAAUAUAUCCAUACCCUAGUAAUGUAAUUGAGAGUAUUGUUUUAGAGAAGGAUUAAAUUACAUUGUAAUUCCAACUGAAUAGGUUCUCCGAAUAAACUUCUACAUUAGCUUGGGUAGCUAUGACAUAUGGUUAGAUGUCACUCAUAGCUUGUGAGUUCUUCUAGAUGAUUAAAUGUAGUCGUCAAAGAAGAAAGGUGAAUUAAAAUGAAGUUUUAAUUCACUAAGUGAUUGAAUUAAAUAUAAUCAAUUGGAUUGAUGCCAAUCACCUCACUGCCUUGCUAAUUAAACCUAAAAGAUUGUUCACCAAUACACUAUUGUAGUGAGUAACUAAUGGAUGAUGGAAAUAAUUAAUUGGAUUAAUUAAGUGUUGUGAUUAAUUUAGAAAGUCUAAAGAAAUCAUAAAAGCGAUAAAGAUCGUUUUGGGCUUAAAGAAACGUUCGGGUUUAAUUGGGCCCAUUGGGCCUAAACCCAUUGGGCUUUUAUUCAAGCAUUGGAUGACUUGAAAUAAAUGAAAGCCCAAAGCCCAAACAACACAAAGAGGGCCGGCCAUUUUAGGUGUGGAAAGGGUGAGAUAUUUAGUCAAGUUGUUGGCUAGGUUUCUUAUGUCUAUAUAAGGAACUUUAUAGUGAUAUUGUUCAUAAGGGUUUUUGUGUGGUUAAAAACAACAAAGAGGCAAAAGAAUAUCUCUCUAAAAACUACACAAAGGCCGGCCACCUUGGGGUGAUUUUACUAACAUAUCUUUCACCCUUUGGUUAUUCCUUCAUCCUUCUCACUACUCUAGUGAGUGAGGAUCUUUAGAGGUUUCCUACUUUGGAAACUUGAAGAGAACCUAGGAGCACUCAUUCUAUCAAAGUGGAGGAGGCAAGGAGGGAAGCUAGGCUCAAGGAGUUCAAGGAACAAAGGGCUUGGAGGUGGUCCAUCCUUGGUCUCAAGUCUAGAUCAAGAGGUAUAAGACUAAACCUUCACUUUGUUCUUUUCUCUAAAAUUUUAUUUGAUGCAUUAUAUAUAUAACCUAUGAACCUUGAAGGGGAUUUGCAUGACUAUAGCUUUGUUAAUAUGUUAUAAAUGCUUCCGCUGCUUUCGUAUAUUAAAUUUUGAUUUGUAUAUGCAUGAUAGUCAUUUAGAAAUCCCAUCCAUGAAUCUCACAGAUUUCCCUUCAAGUGGUAUCAGAGCCAAAGGUUUAUGUAUAAUGUGUCCUUUAGGAUUUUAUGCAUAUGGGUAUUAAUGUUAUGUAUGACAUAUUAUUGUUUCAUUCAAAGUAUGUUUAUCUUUUGUUUUUCAAUAGUUGAAAAAUGUUAGUCAAAAGUUGAGAAAGAUAUGUAUGCAAAAGAUGUUUUGUAUGCAUGAAUGAAAAAUGAGUUUAGAACUAGUUUGACAUAUUAUUUCUUCAUUUAAAAGUAUGUUUAUCUUUUGUUUUUCAAUGGUUGAAAAAUUAUAAAUCAAGAGUUGAAAAAGGUAUGCAUGUAAAAAGAUGUUUUGUAUGCAUGAAUGAAGAAUAAGUCAUGAACAAAAUUUGGGGUUUUGUUCUUUGUGGUUGGCACGGUUUUGGGGUUUUUUGAGCAUGUGUUUGUGUUUUAUUGUAAGACACUCACACAUCAUUUUAAAGCUAGAAAGUAGAAACCUUGUCACUUUUGUUUUUGGGUUUGAAAGUCACCAAGAAUACACAAAUCUUGAAAAAGUGUUCAUGGUUUUGUUCUUGGUGUUCAUAGUUUGGUUUUGGGUGAAAAUGGUUUUAUUUGGUUUUCAUGCAUGGUUUUAUGGUUUUGGAUGAUGUUCUUACCAUCCAUAACUAUAUUAAAACUUAUAAAACCCUAGACUUGUCUAGGAGAUUUCCAUCACCUUUCUCAUUAAAGCCUUUUAAUGCCAAAACCAAGUGACAUGCAAAAUUUGGAUUUUUCUACUUUGCAUUGAAUUAAAGCAUGUGGGUGAGACUUUCCCACCCCCCCCCCAUUUAAUUGGCCGGCCACCCUAGUGGAUUUAUCCACUUGGGGGGCUUUUUGUAAUUUGAAAAAGAUAUUUUAUACUUUUGAGUAUUUACGGUUUGACCCCUAACUUUUUCAUAUUUGCAUUUAGGCCCCUACUAACUAGAAAGUUAAAAUAUUUGAUUUUAAUUUUGUUAGUUGUUUAAACUCAUAAUACUAUUAUGCCCAUAUGCACUAAAUCUAAAUGUUUAUGUUGCAUUCCAUUAUGAUUAUUUAAAUGUGUUUAAGUAGUUAUAAAAUGGGUGACUAUGGACUUAUGCCUUAAACGAUAAUUGAGCUAUGAGAUAAGGCGCUAAAAUCAAAUUGUUUGAACCUUGGGAAUGUGUUUUAAUUACUGUUUAAUUGGACCUUAUCACGUUUGACGUUAAUCUAUCUCUCCCCUUUUAGUAUAUGUAAUUUAUAGGAAUUUGUACAAAUCGGUUUGUAAUUCUUAUUACUUCUUAAUCUCUAUUCGUUAGUUGAUUCCCUCUAGUGCUAGACUAGAGUUUCUUUAACUAUUGGUAAGGAGACAUAACUAAAAGAGGGUUUUUGACAUGAGAUUAAAGAUUAAAAGGGUCCAAUGCCCAAAUUAGCAAUGAAUGAUUGUCUUUCAUUUCUAAUGGCUCAAUGAAAAUGUUUUUAUUGGAUUGAUAAACACGUAAUUAAAUUGACACAACCUCCCCAAGUUUAUAUUCAACAAUGUUGGCUCGUUGUUGCAAUAACCUAAUAAGUCCAUGGUCAUCCAAGAGCCUAAGAUAACUAUAAAGUCCAAUUUCAAAGGAAUGCAAAAACCCUUAGUAGUAGUAGUUACUUCCAAUAUUUGAAAAAUUCGUUUUUGAUAUUGAUUUGUUUUUCUUAAAACAAAUAGUGGGAGUAUCAUACGCUACUAAGCUAUAAUGAAUACAAUUAGUAGUUAUAUAUAUCUCCAAUAUUUUGAAAAAUGUUUUGAUAUUGAUUUGUUUUAUGAAAACGAAUAGUGGGGAUAUUAUAUGCUACUAAAAUUCAUUAAACUUUGGACUAGUAGUUGUAAUAGGACAUUAUUUAUUUGAAUGUGAUUAAAUAAAUAAAAUUGAUGAGACCUUAAAAUCCCUCUACCAAACAAUAUUAAGUUGUAAGCAUAAGAGUGCUUUGAACACUUUUUCGUGGCCUUCCACCGUGGUAAGCUCCAAGCGUUUAUGACUUGUACACCGCCUUCACCCUAUAAUGGGGAAGUGACAAAGUGCAUGCUUAUAUUCAGGAGGAGUUUAUUUAAAACAUUUGAUGAGGUGAAGGUAGGCAACGAGUGUGGCCAACAUCGUAUAAUCGUGAGGUCAUGCUUGAACCCCUAUCUAAACCGGCAUGGUGGGAAAGAACUUAACUAAGAGAAAUGGUGCCAACAUCGUAUAAUCGUGAGGCAUUGUUCUCUAGAGGCCAAAAAUAUGGGUAAUCACAAGAGGUUGUUGUGAAUGGGUAAGCGUACCCUCUCAUUAUUAUUUUUGUUAACCAACAUCGUAUAAUCGUGAGGUGGGCUUGGUAAUAGUGAGCCUCCCAUAACCCGCUAGGAGCUUUCUUUAAAAUCUCCCGGAUUCCAUCAUGAGGGAUAUGGAAUUUGCCAAAAAUGGUGGGUGGUGUCAUUCGGUUUAAAGACCCGAAUCGUUUGACUUAAUCAACAAUCAAUCUAAUUAUUUUAUUUGUUUACGUAUAUAGAUAUGGUUGGAAGCACACUCGCGAAAAUACUAGACAAACAUUGCCUAAAGGGGCACAAUUUCCCAUCGUGGUAUCGUAAUGUCAAGAUUCUCCUAACAUUGGAGAAGAUUGUUUACGUACUAGACAAGGCCCCACCUCACAUAUCUCUCGGCCCUGAGGCUACUGAGGAUGAACGUGCUAAGUUUGACAAGCACGUUGAGGAUGACACACAAGCCAAGUGCUAUCUGUUGGCUUCCAUGAAUGAGGAGCUACAGAGACAGCACGAGGGCAUGGAUAGUGCAUCUUCCAUAAUACUCCAUCUUACGGAGUUAUAUGGUGAAGGGACGCGCAACCGUCACUUUAGCACUGUUUGUGAACUUGUGAAGACCAAGAUGGUCAAGGGGGCUCCAGUACACCAACAUGUACUGAAGAUGAUAGGAUUCAUUGAACAAUUGGAGAACCUUGGUACUCCACUUGACGGGGAAUUGGCCCAGGACUUUAUAUUGGCUUCUCUUUCUGAUUCAUUCGCGCAGUUCGUAAUGAACUACAAUAUGAAUAAGAUGGAUAGUACUCUCUCUGAGUUACUAAAUAUGUUAGUAACUGCUGAGAAGACUAUGAAGAAAGAGAACGUUGUAGGGACUUCUGCAGUAGUCUACAACAAGCCAUCCUCUUCCAAGUCUAAGCCGCAAGGCAAAGGCAAAGGGAAGGAGAAGAAGUCACCCACUCCUAAGCCUAAAGGAGGAGUGAAGAAAAAGAAGGCAAUGGAGCCCAAGGGGACUUGCCACCACUGUGGAAAUGAGGGGCAUUGGAAGAGGAAUUGCAGGUUAUACCUUGCAACUCUUAAGGACAAGCCACAAGGUAUGGUUUAUGUUCUUAUCUUCAAUUCUAAAUGUUAGAUCUUCUAAAUAUUUAUAUUUGAUAUAAAGGGCUAAUCACUUGUAUAAUUUUAUAUAGGUGGAGGAGCCAAGUAGAAGAGGAACAAGCAAGGAAAAGGUGGAGAAGGGUUCGACCAUUAUGUUUUUUGCUCACUACUUAGGAAGUUUGUUAGGCAUUAAAGAUUGUCUUUAAACUUUCUUAUUUUGAUAAGAACUUAUUAUGUGGCUUCAUAUGAUGGAAGACCACUAUUAAUGCCUAAAUGUAUAAAGGUAUUUAAUUAGUCUCUAAAUGUAUAGAGCUAAUACUUUUUGUAUUAAACAUUAUGAAUGUUUGAACUAUCAUAUAAUGUAAUGUGAAGAAUGCCUUUUUAAUAUACUAUUUCCUUAAAGUAAUGUUAUGAAUUGAAAAUUGUCUUGUUGUAUCCUAGAUGAGAUACAAGAGUUAUAUCAUUUAUUGUAAUGUGAUAACCAAACUUUAGAUUUAUCAAUUGUGGAUAUAUCUCACAUGUAGGACAUAAAAGGAUACAAUGAAUCUUUAGAUUUGGUUCUAUUUGUCUACUUAUGAGUUCUAUAUGAAUUGACAAAAAGGCUAGAGAAUCCUUUCUUGAAGAAAAGGAAGAUCACAUUAUAAUGAUAUAAGUAAUAAGAAAAACGUUUCUUAUAUGGUUAUCACUUGAAACACAAUGAUCAAGAUCACUCUUGAUUCAAUUAGUAAUUUUGAACAACUAAUUGGGCAUUCUUUAAAAGGUUUUAAAAUGUCAAUUGUGUUAGUGAUUAAACCAAGAAAGAAGUGUCUAAAUCUAUAAAAUGUUUAAAGACUUUAUUCACUUAAUAACAAGACAAUAAACUUAGUGAAGAUUGAAACAAAUAAGCUUGAAAUGUUUUAAAGCUACUACACAAUGUCUUCUACCAAAAUACUCCACUUUUAUACAUUUUGAAUGUAUGAAAUGAUUUCUCAUUAAAGUCAUGAGAAAUAGUGGGAGGUGUGAAAAUGGAUAUAAACUUAAAUAUGAUUGGUUUAUAGUUGUCUAAAGAAUAAUAGUAUUUGACUAUUAUUAAGAGUUUGCAAUUUUAAUUGUUAAAAGACUCAAGCUCUUCAAAAGUUAAAAUUCUAUGUUGUGUGACAUUCUAAAGAAUAGUCUUUGAAUGUUGGUUUCGUCAAUCUAGCAUAAAAUGGUUAUAUGUUGGGAGUUGUCCAUAAUUCUCUUUUAUGAGAACAAGCUAAAUAACCAAGCAUAUGGACAAGUUGAUGAAACAAAAGGGAAUAAGUUUCAAAAUGAGUCACAACAUAUGGUUUAACAACAAGACAAACCAAAUUCAACAUCUCAUGUAACAAUAUUGCUCUAUGUAGUUUUAAUAAAGAAUUAUAUCAACCACCUAGAAGGAAUGGUUGAGUUUCUAUAUCCUUAGUAGGAGCAAUGCUUCCACUAAAGACUUGGAUAAUUCUUAUAUGACUACAUUAAAGGUAUUAGUAUGACUAAAACUUAAAGUAUGAUGUAUGACACCAUAUAAUUUAAAUGAAUAAACUUGAUAAAGCAAGUCACACAUUACAAAUGGAAUUACUUGAGAAGGAAUUCUUUUGUGUGUGAUUCAUUUAAGUUAGUGGGAGCAAUAUGCAUUCAAAUCAAGAAAAUAUAAUUGUUAAUUUUGAAUGAAUGCUAAGUUACAACAAGGCCAGUGGGAGUGAUGUCAUAAUUUGAGCAACAAGAUGUGAAUAAAGUCUAUUUGAUAGACUUGAUAAAACAUGGAUGUUACUUGAGAAAUGACAAAACAUGACACGGUCAAUUUUAAAGUAUAGACUUGAAAUUGGACUUAUUGAUAUAGCAAGGCUAUCUCAAUAAUGAUUAUGGGAAUUAAAUCUCAAAUGUUGUAGAUUUAAGAAAGCAUUUUCCUAUGUGAUAGGAAAUCACUUUCAUAACCCUUAUAAUGAAUGUGUCAUAAAAUCACAAAAGGGACACAUGUAUUGACUUGUGAAGUAGAUAUCCAAGGGUGAAGAAACCACUGAGUUUGUCACUUUAAGAUAUUACUAUAUCUCAGGAUCAGAACCAAAGCAACUGAUAGAGUAUUAUUGCCUUUAAGAAAGAAACAUCAAAGUGGGACUCUGGAAGCGUGCAUUCACUUAGGUUGUUAACCAAAGUGAAAAAUAAGCCAUUUUAACAAAUGGAACUUCAUAAUGGAUGAAGUACUAAUCAUAUGAAUGAUUGUUAGUAUUGUACUACAAUGGUCUCAAGGUUGGAGCAAAGUUUGUAUAAAGUAUACAAACGAAAUAUAUGACGAUAUAUUGUUUUAGAAACUGCUUCAAAAGGUGUUUUGAAUGGAAGGGGUUCUUUUAGAACCAAUGAUUGAAUCCAAACCAUAAGGUCGUUAGUAGGAUACUACGACGUAAUGGGGCGAUAGCUCAAGCCAUGGAAUCAAGGUCUCAUCAAAGUAUUUGAACACAAUAAAGAGACAUCAUCAAAUGUUUUGGAUAUUUGAUAAGUGAAUCCCUUUUGAAUAAUAAAAGGGAUUAAUACAUAACCAAGUUAACCUAUGAGCAUAAACUCUCUCAACAAGAUGUAUAAGAUACAUUAGUGAUUGACUUUAGUGCAAGUGGAAGAUUGUUGGAAAUAUGCCCUGAAAGUCAAUCUUUGGAAGAAACCAUUCAGGACAAUUGAAUCGAUGUAUGGAUGACUCUUAUACAUCAAAUGGCAAAGAUACUAAUUAGGACUAUCUCUAUAAACGACAUAUGUCCUAAAUAGUGUAUCCAUGGACAAUGGAUCGAUUGAAGAAGUAAUCUAAUGAUGUUAGACUACAGAGACCUUCUUCACAUAACCAAAUGUCCAAAAAGGUUCCUGGUCAUUGGAUUGUCAGAGGGAUACUGACAAUGCGAAGACCGGUACAUACUGUGUCCGCUUCAAUUGGAAGGAUGGAAAGUCUCAUCCCAUUCGUGUUGUGACACUAAGGCAAGUAUGUAAGUGCUCAUUAAGGGAAUGAGUUCACUGAACACAAUCGAACGAGAGUACUUGCAUGGAGGUCUAUUCACAUGUCAAGCAAGUAACUCUAAUGGUUGGAAUAAUGUAAGUAGUCCUUUGACCUGAGGCAUCGUCGUUGUCUUGUGGUUAAGUACUUGAUAUUUGAUUAUGUCAAAAGUCACUCUAUCAGAAUGUCAACGGCAUAGUUGGGGUUAAGCCACUUAGUCAUGAAGGCAAGUGUAUGCGCAACAAGGAAUCUCUAAUCCUCGAUAAGAGAGGAAGAAUACUCUAAGAUAUGAUUCGGGAAUCUUCGGCCGAAGUAUCGAGCGUAAUAAAGGAAAGCAUUCCUAUACGACUCAAUUGAAUCAUAUAAGAAGGAAUAAUCACAUUAGGGGUUUGACAUAAUAUAUCCAUACCCUAGUAAUGUAAUUGAGAGUAUUGUUUUAGAGAAGGAUUAAAUUACAUUGUAAUUCCAACUGAAUAGGUUCUCCGAAUAAACUUCUACAUUAGCUUGGGUAGCUAUGACAUAUGGUUAGAUGUCACUCAUAGCUUGUGAGUUCUUCUAGAUGAUUAAAUGUAGUCGUCAAAGAAGAAAGGUGAAUUAAAAUGAAGUUUUAAUUCACUAAGUGAUUGAAUUAAAUAUAAUCAAUUGGAUUGAUGCCAAUCACCUCACUGCCUUGCUAAUUAGAACCUAAAAGAUUGUUCACCAAUACACUAUUGUAGUGAGUAACUAAUGGAUGAUGGAAAUAAUUAAUUGGAUUAAUUAAGUGUUGUGAUUAAUUUAGAAAGUCUGAAGAAAUCAUAAAAGCGAUAAAGAUCGUUUUGGGCUUAAAGAAACGUUCGGGUUUAAUUGGGCCCAUUGGGCUUUUAUUCAAGCAUUGGAUGACUUGAAAUAAAUGAAAGCCCAAAGCCCAAACAACACAAAGAGGGCCGGCCAUUUUAGGUGUGGAAAGGGUGAGAUAUUUAGUCAAGUUGUUGGCUAGGUUUCUUAUGUCUAUAUAAGGAACUUUAUAGUGAUAUUGUUCAUAAGGGUUUUUGUGUGGUUAAAAACAACAAAGAGGCAAAAGAAUAUCUCUCUAAAAACUACACAAAGGCCGGCCACCUUGGGGUGAUUUUACUAACAUAUCUUUCACCCUUUGGUUAUUCCUUCAUCCUUCUCACUACUCUAGUGAGUGAGGAUCUUUAGAGGUUUCCUACUUUGGAAACUUGAAGAGAACCUAGGAGCACUCAUUCUAUCAAAGUGGAGGAGGCAAGGAGGGAAGCUAGGCUCAAGGAGUUCAAGGAACAAAGGGCUUGGAGGUGGUCCAUCCUUGGUCUCAAGUCUAGAUCAAGAGGUAUAAGACUAAACCUUCACUUUGUUCUUUUCUCUAAAAUUUUAUUUGAUGCAUUAUAUAUAUAACCUAUGAACCUUGAAGGGGAUUUGCAUGACUAUAGCUUUGUUAAUAUGUUAUAAAUGCUUCUGCUGCUUUCGUAUAUUAAAUUUUGAUUUGUAUAUGCAUGAUAGUCAUUUAGAAAUCCCAUCCAUGAAUCUCAUAGAUUUCCCUUCAUUAAGUAGUCAAAUUUAUCCUUUACAUAAAAAUCAUAGUUCAAAUUGAAAAGAUUUACAAGCAUGCUACUAAAACAAUGUGUACCUUAGCAAUCCUUGAUUAACCUUCGUGGAUCUAAUACUUUCCAUCAACAAGUCUCAUGAGGAGACAUAAAAUACAUCAUGAUGCAACCGAUUUCCAUGCCUUAAAACCAGAACCUAUAAUGGGGCUCAUACUAGAAAUAUUUGUAACAGAAGACAUGGAACUUAAUCUGCAAUAAACUCCAUGAAAUUAGAUUAAUUUAUACUUGUGGGCAAGAAAAUUACCUAGUAUCUAGUACUAGAUUAAAUGUCACAAGAGGACCUUCAUUAAAAACUUCAACACUUGUGGGCAGAUGAAGCUUUCAUAACUCCUAUGAAAUAAAACUCAUACUUUGCCAUCUUAAUUAAACUAAAAGCAACAAUCCACACCUUAAAACAAGAACAUUAUUCCUUUUAUUCUAAUUAAGAUGCAACUUUGAUAGAAAUAACUCAAAAACACAGUCUCAUCAUCAACUAAGCCAUUGCGGCUUGCUUAGUUGAAAGGACAUUGAUCAACUCCGCCUUGAAACAAAAGGUAACAAGGAUUAAUUAGCCGUAAGUGACAAAAUUAUGAUAACCUGAUUCAAGCUUCGAAUCUUGCCAACAAAUGGCAUUAAUUCCUUCAUGACUCCCAUUGACAUUCAAUUAAUCUCAAGAAGCCUAACAACAUAUUUGAAAGAGAUUAAUCACAUAUAGAACAAGUUGUUUAAGAAUCGUAAUUAUCACACUUACACUACAAUAAUGUCAAUAAUUACAAGAGAACAUGAUGGAGCUAAUUGCUUCGGAAUAGAAACACUUUACGUAAUGUGAAAGAAUAAUACAUUUGCUUUAAUUCAAAAAUCAAUUUGUGAUAUCACCUAAAUGCUUUCUUAAGUCAAACGAGUUCCUUUUCUUUUGUACGUUUCUUUCCGUAGUACAAAACUACUAACAGUAUUAAUUAGCAUUAAAAGCAUGCAUUAGUUUGGUAAAUACCAAAUUAAAUAAAGGAACAACCAAAAUUCUUUUCUUCCAAAGAAAACAUCUCCAAUACAUGUCAUACAUUAGUCUUGAAUAAUUUCUUUUCCUCUUCAAUUAUGGCACAUAAAAUUUUGACUGAUCAAGCAUUGUUUAAAUCCUUUAGGCAUUAGGAAAAACUAACAAACUAUAAUACAAGUUUGGAAGCUCAUGCUUAUUAAUCUGUUAGGUUGUUAGUUUUUCCUAAUGCCUAAAGGAUUUAAACAAUGCCUUUUGCAUUCAUAUUUUCAACACUAGCUUUGGAUUAGUAUUCACUAAAGAAGACCUUUUUAUGUCUAAAUAAAAGAGUUAUUGCACUAGCUUUGAAGAAGAGCAAAACAGUAAGUUGUAUGCUACUCAAGGAGUUAAAGUGAGAGAAUAUAAUAAGGACAAAGUCUAUGUGAGAAAAAAUAAAAGAGAUAAUAGUUUAAUUUUUGUUCUUUCAGGUCUUCAUCAAGUACUAAUCCUAGAGGCUUGGCAAGAUAAUUUAUUGUACUCAUUAUUGAAAUAGUGAAAGUUUGUUGUUGCUGCCCCGUAGACAUAGGCACGUAGCUAAACCAUGUAAAUUCUUGGUGUUAUCUGUCUUGGUUAUUUGUUUUCGGUUUUUGAGUUUGUUUAGUUUUUUCCAUUCUUGAAGGCAAUAUUCACAACAAGUGGUAUCAAAGCCUCGUUUGGCUGAUAUCUAGUUUAGAAUGGAGGGUGCGAUUAGCCCUGUGAUAAAACCCACCCGCUCUAACUAGUUGAUGUGGAAAUCAAUAAUGGAUGACAUGCUUUAUUGUAAAGAACUCCAUGAGCCAAUUGAAGGUGUUAAGAACAAGCCAGCAAGUAUGUCUAAUACCGACUGGAGCAAGAUGAAUUGUAAAGCUAAUGGUAGGAUUUGAUAAUGGUGGAUGAGAGCAUCUAUCCCCAUGUACCUAAAGAUUGAUGUGCAAUCUCUUUGGAAAAAGUUAGAAUCUCUCUUUGAGAAGAAGACCACCGCCAAGAAAGUAUUCCUUAUCAAGAGCUUGUCAACGUGAAGUAUGUAGAAGAUGUUAGUAUGAUCGAGCCCUUGAACAACUUUCAGAGCAUGACCUAUUAGUUGGCCAUUAUGGGUUUGAAUAUUGAGAUAUAAUAUUUAGCACUAUUGUUGCUAGGAUCCUUGCCAGAUGGUUAGGAAACCUUCAUUGUAAAUGUAAACAAUCUAGCUUAUAAUGGUGUACUAUAUAUGGACAAUGUUAAGGAUAACAUGUUCAAUGAAGAAACAAGGAGAAAAGCUUCAAGUGCAAACAUUGGACAAAUCUUUAUCACGGAGAAAAAGAAAAACAUUUUGGUGAGACAAUGUUCGGUGGUGACUACUACUAUUGUGGGUAAAAGGGUCGAUGAAGAAGCAUUGUCGUAAAUGGAAAAUGAACAAAAGGAUGGGACAUAUCGUUGGUGUUGUGACUUACGAAUGAGAGCUUCUUUAAUGUCAAUGAGCGAUGGUUUCUGGCAAAGAAAUCUAUAAUUGCCUUUGCCGAAUGAAGAUGAGAGUUCUGGUCAGCAGGAGCCUGGUCAAGAGAAGUCUGAUUAAGAGGAACUUGGUCAAGAGAAGUUCAAUCAGGAGAAGUCUGGCCAUGAGUAGUUUGAUCAACGGGAGCUUGGUUAUGAAGUUCGAUCAAUGAGAGUUUGGUUAAGAGGAUUAGGGGCUGGUUAUGAGAAGUUCAAUCAAUGAGAGUUUGGUCAAUAGGUGCAAUCCUACUUUCGUAUACCUUCCUCAUGGUUAUCUUUUAUUCAUAUUUUUUUCCAUCAAGAAUGUUUUAUAAAACUCUUUGACUCCUAAAUUUGGAGUAUCCUACUUUCACGCAAUUCACAUUUACAAGGUUCAACAAGUAAUCGAUAUUUCACCAUAAAGGGUGUAGUACUAUUUGUAGUAGUUGUCCUUAUAUAUCGUAUUAACAAUCAAAAGAUGGUCGAAAGAAAAAAUCUCUAAUUGACAGUGCUUCUUCCUAUACCUAUAAAAGGAGAUUGUUGGAUUUUUCCACCCAUGAUGAGUUUUCCUAAGUCUAUUAGGAAUCAUAGUCUUCGAGAAUUAAAUUGUUUACCCAAUUGGAGUUGGUUUCUAUAUUGGAAAACUAUUGAUAACUAGAUUCUUUAAAGAAGUAAUCCUUAUUGAAGAAGACAUUUAUUAUUUUUAUAUAAGGGAGCUAUUGCACUAGUCUUGAAGGGGAGCAAAUCAAUAAGUUGUGGACCACUCAAAUAGUUAGAGUGAGAGAAUAUUGCAAGGACAAAAUGUAUGCAAGAGAAACGAAAAGAGAUAAGAGUGUAUUUCUUGUUCUUAUUCUUUCAAAUUUUUCAUCAAGUACUAUUGCUAGAGGCUUGGCAAGAUAAUUUGUUGUACUCACUAUUGAAAUUAAAUAGAAAGUUUGUUGUUGCUACCCUGUGGACGUAGGCACGUAGCCAAACUACAUCAUUCUUGGUGUUAUUUAUCUCGGUUAUUUAUUUUCAGUUUUUCCAAGUGAUUUUGUUUUUUCAAUUCUUAAACGCUAUAUUCACAACAAUAGCAGCCCGUGUUUCAGGUACAUUGCAAAAUCUCUCAAAUUAUGAUUUCAAAUUAUCCCCCGAAAAUAGUAAAAAAAUACAAAAUAAGAGAUUUCAUGUUAAUAGGUUUUAGAACGUACAGACACAAGUUCACCAUGCCCUUUUUUUAUCCAAAAACACAAACCACAUAUUGCACGCGAGUUGGCAACACGGUAUUUAGAAAACCUUUGCCAACCCAUGGCCAGUUGCUUGUAAAUAACGGUUGUCUCCAUAUUACUUAACACGGUUUUCUACACAAUGUUCUAACCAACAUUGUUUGAACCAGAGUACGAAAUCUCCAACGCUCCAGGUCCCUUGAAAUCCGGAGGUGGAAGAAGGUUCUCGGUAAGCAAAGGAGAUCUGUUAACCAACUCUAAUCAUUGUUACAAUAUAAAUCCCCUCGCUCUCCUCUCCUUAAACCCAUCCUUCACUUCUCUGCCUCUCAAACCCUAAAUAGUAAAUACCAUCUUCCUCACACACACAACUAAACCCUAAACCUUCCCUCUGACUCUCUUUCCCUAUAAUGGCUCACUCCACCGGCCUUGUUCUUGUUCUAAUGGCUGCUCUUUUGGUGGCCUCAACAGGGGCACAAUCCCCAGCAUCGUCACCGUCUAAGUCCCCUGCGGAUUCUCCUUUGAGGAGUCCACCAUCGGCUCUUCCUUCUCCAUCAUCAGCUGUUCCUUCUCCAUCAAGCAAUCCACGUAAGGCUGCACCCUCUCCAUCUCCAUUGACCACUCCACCUGCUGCCACUCCUUCUCCAUCGAGCACCCUACCAACAACCGCUCCCUCUCCAUUUAGCACUUCACCAGCGGAUGCUCCCUCUACUGCCCCUGCCGCUGACUCUCCACCUUCUCCUCCCUCAUCUUCCCCUGUGCUAUCUCCGGAGAUUUCUCCCUCUUCAAUAUCUGGAGAUGCUCCUGCACCCUCCCCUAACGGUGCCGUUUUGAAUAAGUUCACCUUCUCUGGAUUUCUGGCCGUUGGGGUUUGGGCUGCUUCUGUCUUGGUUAUGUAGAGGACAGUCAGACUAUGAUUAACAAUACAAUGGUUAUGUAGAGGAUAUGUAACAUGUACUCACAAAGAGCACUACUUGACUCCUUAACGGAUCAUUCCUUCCUCCCUGCAAAUUUAACUCCAACAUAUAUUAUAACAUUUCAAAUUUGUUUGGAAUUGCAGCCCAUUGAUUCUAGAAAACACUAUUUGUCCCUGUAUAAAGAUUCAUUUUCCUUGUAUGAUUCCAAUUUCAAUUGGUAUGUUUUUUAUUACAUUACUAAUUCAUUUUCAAUAAUCAUAUGACCAGAAACGUACGAUAAUGAGGGAGGCUUUGAACAAUAAAGUGGAAAACAAAUACAAGACAGUACUUUAAUGUGCUACCACAAUGUUCAACCAAGUGACAAACAAUCUAAUAAUGAAUAUGUAUCAUACUUAGGGCUGCAAGUUAGAAUGGUAUUUUCGAUUCCAACAUAAAAAUUUCUGAAUCUGAAUAUUUCUAAAAAUUUGAAAUGGAAAUUGGAAUACAUUCAAAGAUUUUGAGAAUUCCGAAUUUUCACUUUGAAAUUUUCUGAACUGUUUGAACUUAAUUAUUACGAUAAAAAAUCCGAAUUUUUAAUGUUAUUUACUAAAAUUAUGUAUUUUGUAAAUAUAUUUGUAUUUUAUUGUUAGUUUUAGACACAUUUUAUUCAGGAUAAGCAUACUAGUUGUUCGUCGCAGGAAUCUCCUGGCGGACGAGCACACAGCUCCCCUGGGAGAAUGGCGUCGGUUGAGGGUAUCUGUCGUACUUCUGCUUUCUUCUCGGGCUCGCUCGGGCAAGCCUUUGUCGGGCAGAUCUUGGUCGGGCAAGACACACUUCGGGCAAGGCUCGUCGGACAGUUCUGAAAGAGAAGGACAGAGUUAAUUUGAAAGGGUGCCUUGUGGGGCCUUAGAUGUAGGCCUUAAGGCUCACAAUCAAGAUUAACUUUGUCGUGCUCAGGCGUCCCACUGCCAUCUUCAGUAUGGCAGAUGUUGAAUGGGUGUUAAGCUUUGAUUGAAUAUGUAUACGCCCGAGAAACCAGGUUAGAUAUAACAGUUGCCUUUGUGAGGCCUUAGGUAUAGGCCUUGAGGCUUCCUGUCAAACUAAACCAGCGCUUGGAUGUAUCAUAUUUGGUCUUUUAUGGUUGCCAGAGUCUUAUCACUAUUAUACUUUUGAUUAUCUGAAUCCAAGAGGUAGGACGAACCCAAAUGAGUGCCUUUGUAGGGCCUUAGGUAUAGGCCUUGAGGCUUCCCAUCAGAGUUAAUCCUUAUACUCGGACCAACUAGACCACAACAUGAAAUGAAGCUAAAUAGAUGCCUUCGUGGGGCCUUAGGUGUAGGCCUUGAGGCUUUCUAUCAGAAUUCACUCCCUGCCUAAGCCUUUUCUACGAAUCAAGAUAUAAUAGCAACAAAACGGAGAAAUAGAUUAAUUACUUGCGCCCCAAGUAACUUCGGACUUCUCGCUUAUCAAGGAUUGUCGUAGAUGGGUUGAGUCCACAUAGAGUUCUUUUUUAUGCCUUGAGGUCAAGGACUUUUAAACUGAUCUUUAAAUUACACGCCCGCCGGGCUUAAGACUUAGAUCUGAUUUGAACUCUGACACGAUUCAGAUCGGAUCCAAGUGCUGAAGACUCAUUUUCAUUAUGACUUUGCUAGAAAUAACUUGUAUAUAACUGGGAAUAUAUAACAUGUUAUUGUGUUUUUAAAAGAAAGAAAAGACAAAGACAGAGCAAAGAUAGUCGGGUAAGUUUGAACCUUAUCGGCCAAGGCUGAACUUCUUACAAAAUCUAUCUUUGUGGCUCUGUCAGAGGUCUGAAAGCUUUUAGAGGGGUUGACGGGGGAGAAGAGGAUACAAAAUGAAUCGAUACCACCAUGAACAAGGUAGCAGAGCUAUUACAGGGGUUUGGGAAGGUUUAUCCCGAAUGGGAUGAAGGCUUGUGCUGACUACAGCUUCGUUGAAGGCAAAUCUGGCUUGAGCAGAGUUUUGGCUUUUGUUUGUUUGUUUGAGUGUCCUUAAUUCUGUCUUCUCUUCCUCCUUUUAUAGACGACUUCAGCUUGGGUUCCUGUAGCAAUAGCGGUUGCCCGAAUGCGGUUUGGUGAUGACUCACUAGCUUUUUUACAUGAAUGCCACCAAUAAAGUACUUUAUUGGGCUGUGCAGUGACUGAAUGACCCACCCCCUGUGGUCUUUGAGCAGGUAAGCAGGUGGCCUUUGUAACUUGUGCCCAGCCGAAAGCCUCUUUCCUGCCUCCUAAGUUUUCCUCUGGGCCUUGGGUUUGGGCCGGCUUUCUCUCUGGCCCAAAGUUCAGAUUUUAUCCCAAACACUAGUAUAUCACAAAAUUAAAUGUAUCUGUACACAAGCAUAUAUCAAAUACAUUAAGAAAAAACAAUAAAGUGCAUGUACGAAAAUUCAAGAAUAUUAAAACAUGUAAAAUAUAUGAAUUUUCGACCUAUGUUCUGAUCUGAUCCGAUUUUGAAAUUUGGAAAGAAAAGUAGAAACGUUGUUUCCUAUCCGACCAGUUCUAAAAUCACCCCUAAUCAUAUUUUUACUUGCUAACCAAUCAAAUGGGGAGAAAAUAGGAAAAAAUAAUGGCAAACUUUGUUCUUAUUUCAUUGACAAUAAGACUUGUAACUCAUUGAGACAGACAUGCAGAUUCCGAAGCUAGACAGGUUCAUAUGCCGAAGCUAGACAAACAAAUUCAGAUCAUAUACCGAAUCUAGACAAACAAAUUCAGACGCCAAAGGCAGACAUAGAGAUUCAAAAGUUGAAGACAUACAUACGGCAGACAUAGAGAUUCAAAAGUUGAAGGCAUACAUACAAAAUUAGAUUUCGAAGUCAGAUGCAGACUUCAUAUACAAAGCCAAAUGAAGAUAUCAAAUGAGGAAGCCAAUACUGUUGCACCAUCGUCACUAUGUGAACAUGAUCCCCAUGUUCAUGUACUAAUUGUUUUUGGUAUAGUAAAUACUUCAGUUGGCAGGGUAUAAUAAUGGUAUUGCCAUUUUGAUAUUGGGCUAUUUUAUUUGGUCUCAGAUAUUUUUAUGAUGAGGUUUGGUAAGUCUCAUAUUGCUGAUUAAUUUUAUAAUAAAAGUUCAAUUUUUUUCACUUCUAAUAUCAUCCUUGAAAUUAUUGUCAGCACUAAUUUUUCUUUUGUUGUAUACAUGAUAUUUGAGACUAUAAUUUUGUCUCUGAAACUAUUUAUGAUCUAAUUACAUUGUCAUAAUUUUGACGAGUGUGGACAAGACAUUUAAAAAUACGAAAACGUCUUAUCUAAAAGAUGAUGCACAUCAGCAAUUGUAGAAAAGACAGCAAAGGUCAGAGAAGGUAAUUUGGCUCAAUCACUCCAUACCUUGGAGGGUGCAUUAUCAUUGGUUUAAAUAGUGUACAAUGACUUGAUUUACAAGUAUAAUUAAUAUACAUAUAAUACAUAAAGGGAAUGUUUUAAUAAUACAGGAAAUCGAGAAAUAAUGAUGAAAUAGGAAACAAUCUCAAGAGAUCAAGAAGAUAUCAUCUUUCACGCCCUCGCAAGCUGAGAGUACGAUUGAGUACCAGAAGCUUGGAAACCAAAAAUCUAAAACGAGGAAGAGAAAGACCCUUGGUGAAGAUAUCAACGAUUUGGUUAUGAGUGGAAAGAUAGCUAACAUUAAGCUUCUUGCGAACAACCUUCUCACGAAUAUAAUGGUAAUCCACCUCAACGUGCCGAGUAUGAGCAUGAAGCACCGAGUUGGAAGCAAGGGAGAUGGCACUGAUAUUGUCACAAAACAGAGUGGGGCAAUGGAAAGGUAACUGAAGGUCACGAACCAACAUACGAAACCAGGAAAUGGUGGCAGCGGCAAAGGGCAAGUUGACGAUACUCAGCCUCAAUGUUAGAACGAGAGACCCCAUUUUGCUUCUUUGCACUCCAUGAGACAAGAUUGGAACUCAGAAACAAACAAUAGCCUCCGGUUAAACGCCGAUCAUCGAGAUCCCUAGCAUAAUCGGCAUCGAAAAAGGCCGUAAGACGAAGUGAACUGGGCUUGUAGAUAAUACAGUGAUUAGCAGUGCCAACAAGGUAACGAAGAAUUCAUUUGACGGCAGCGCAAUGAGUGGAAAUCAGCUGGUGAAGAAAUUGGCAUACUUGAUUGACCGCAAAGUUGAUGUCGGGACGAGUGAGAGUCAAGUAUUGGAGGGCACCGACAACACUAUGGUAUUCAGUAGGAUCCGGCAGAGGGUCACCAUCAUGAAUGUUGAGUCGUCGCCCACUGACAGCAGGGGUAAGGAUCGACUGGGCACCAAGCAUUUUGGUGCGAUGAAGGAGGUCAAUGAUAUAUUUGUGUUGGGAAAGAGAGACCAGAUGGAGUAUGGACCACCUCCAUGCCUAAAAAAUAAUGGAUCGGCCCAAGGUCCUUUAUAGAAAACCAUAGACCCAAAUUCUUAAUGAGUGACAAUGUGAGAGGGAUUAUUCCCCGUGACCAAAAUAUCAUCAACAUAAAUUAAUAAAUAAAAUGUGAGUAGCGCCAUGAAUAUAAGUAAAAAGCAAGUGAUCCAUUGUAGAUGAAUGAAAACUCAAAUCUUCCAAAUGAGUGGAAAAACACUGGAACCAGGCACGGGGCGCCUACUUGAGGCCAUAUAAAGAAUGACGGAGGCGGCACACAUGAUUAGGAAACUUUGGAUCGAUAAAGCCAUGAGGUUGGUGCAUAUAGACCUCCUCAGAUAAAGAACCGUGGAGAAUAGCAUUUUAAACAUCCAACUGGCAAAUAGGCCAUUUAAAUUGAACUGAAAGAGCCAAAAUUAACUGAAUAAUAGAGUGAUUUACAACAGGACUAAAAGUUUCACCAUAAUCAUGGCCGGGUUGCUGAUGAAAGCCAUUGACGACCAAACGAGCCUUAUACCACUGAACAGAGCCAUUGAAAUUUUGUUUAAUACGAAACACCCAUUUGUUUGCCAAAUAUUCAUAGAAGCAAUACGAGGAAUAAGAGUCCAAGUACCUGCAUGCUAAAGUGCAUUAAAUUCAUUGGCCAUCAUAGUAUGUCAUUCCGUGAAUUUAUUGGCCUAACUAAAACAUGUAGGCUUAAUGGGUCCAUUAGAAGAUUUAAUUGCAGUAGAAAAAACAUAUUUGUGAGGCUUAUAGGAAGCCAUUUUGGACCUGGUCAGCAUACCAUGAGAAUUAGAAGGAGCUGCAGAUAUGGCAGCAGCAAAUAGGGCCUCUGGAAGCGCAGCAGAUGGGGCUGCAAGGCUAACUGCAGGCAUGGGCGUAUGAGCUACAAGUUGGGUUGCAACUUGUGCAAAAGAGAAAACCCGUCAGUAAGGAUCACGCCAAUAGACCUGCAGGGCCUGCUGUGGUGAGCUGGGUUGAUGAGUCUCCAAAGCAGGAGACACAACCACCGGUUGGCUGCUGGAUUGUCAGGGCACUCGGGAAAGGCCCAAUGAUUUAUAAAGCAGGAAGAGGAGAUGGGGCCUGUGAGGAUUGGGCAAGAGAGCCAGAGAUCUCCUUGAAAGAAAAAAAAACCUUCAUCAAACACAACAUGGUAUGAUAAAAAGAUGUUAUUGGUAGAGAUGUCUAAGCACUGACAACCUUGAUGAUUGAGAUAGUAACCAAGAAAAAUACACUUAGUAGAAUGAAAUUUAAGUUUAUUAUUAUUAUAGGGCCUAAGGUAGGGAAAACGGGCACACCCAAAGGUCUUCAAAAAACUAUAAUUAGGUUGCUUAUGAAACAAUAAAACCAAGUACCUAAUAGGGGAGCCGAUUGAUAAGAUAAACCAUGAUGUGCAUGUCCUCAGCCUAAUAGGCAAGAGGCAUCGACACGUGGGCCAUUAAAGUAAGCCCAGUGUCAACAAUGUGAUGGUGUUUCCGUUCUGCCAAACCAUUUUGCUCGGGAUGGUGAGGGCAUGUUAAGUACAAUUAAUUACUAAGCUUAAUUAGAGAAAUGUAUAUAUAUUGAGUUGUAUUCCUUACACAUUAAGAAAGAAAUAAUACAGACUUCUUUAUUUACAUGGUAUCACCGCCUCUCUGCUUCACCGUCUCCCUAUCCUUCUUUCAUUGCGAUUCCUUCUUCAAUCUUUGCUUCUCCGAUCCUCACUUCUCGGAACUUUGAUCUUUGGCUAUGACGUCUUCAACUUCGUCUCCUGUGCAACCUGAAGUUGUUGCCCCUAAUCCUGCAAUUUCUUCUCCCAAUUUUGCAGCGAUGAACCCUAAUCCUUGAAAUUCUCUGAUCUCGUCGAUUUCUUCCAUAACUGUUCAGAAUAUCAGUUGUAUGAUUCCUACGAACCUCAAGCAUGACAAUUAUCUCAUUUGGAAAGCUAUCUUCGCUCCGAUUUUCCGACAAUACAAACUUACCAGCAUUGUUAAUGGCUCUUAAGUUUGCCUGCCACCUUAUGUUCUUGAUGAAUUUGGUCAAAUUACUAGAAUUUCAAACCCUGCUUUCGAGAUUUGGUAUGAAAAAGAUCAAAAUAUACUAAUAUGGUUAAAUUCAACUCUCUCUAAAGACUUUAUUUCCUUCACCGUUGGUGUCACAUCGUCUCGAGAUUUCUGGUUAAAUCUUGAGCAUCUAUUUAGUGGCAUUUCUUUAGCUCACGUUCAUCAGCUCCAUUCUUGUCUCCAUUAUGUGCAUAAAGGCGAUCUUUCUAUCUCAAAUUAUUUACAGAGAAUUGAAGGCAUUGCUGAUUCAUUAAUGGCUACUGAAGCUCCUAUCUCUAAUGAUUUGAUUACUGUUACUCUAAAUGGAUUACCUGAUGAGUAUAAGUCUUUCAUUAACUCUACCAUGCUCAGGAUCUCUACCACAACACUGGAUGAACUUCAUGGACUGUUGAUAAACAAGGAAGUUUUCAUGAAUCGUAAGAAGAAAUGUGUGGCCUCUUCCACUUCUGAGCUUUUUGAGGCCUUUGUUGUGCAGUCUCAACCCCCUCUCCUUCCUACUACAAUUUUCCUCAAGCUUAUGCUACUCACCAGUCACCCUACAAUGCUCCACCAAAGUUUCACAACAAUAAUCGUGGUCGAGGAUCCUUUCAACGCAAUAAUUGUGGUAAUUUUCAUAAGAACUUCAAUAAUUCUUGUGGUAAUUUUCACAAUUAUAGUGGAACUCAUGGCUUGCAAUAAUUUUGGGGGAAAUCAUAACAAUUCUGGUGGAAGAACUCCCUAGCAAAUUUGUAACUCUUUUGAUCAUGAAGCUAUUGAUUGUUAUGAGCGAAUGAAUCAUGCUUUUGCUAGAAAAAUUCCUCCUGCAAAGUUAGCUUCUGUGUGUGCUCACACCAGUUCUAAGCAAUCUUCUCCCACUUGUUUGAUGGACUCGGGUGACACAUCCCAUAUUACUAAUGACAUAUCUGCCAUUCAAUCUCCACAUUCAUACUCUGGCGAAGAAAGUGUGUAUGUUUGUGAUGGACAAGGUAUGGCUAUCCAUCACACUAGUAAUUCUACAAUUUUAACACCACAUGCUUCUUUCAUAUUAAGUAAUAUUAUUCAUGUUCCACAGAUGAAAUUCAAUUUACUCUCUGCCUAUCAAUUCUUGAAAGAUAACUAUUAUUCUUUGACCCUUGAUUCUGAUGGUUCUAAAAUCAAGGAUUGUUCUUCGGGGAUGACGUUUUUUUAAGGGCCAGUUAGAAAAGGAUUUUAUCCCUUUCAAGGUCUUUCCAAUGUCUUUUCUUCACAUUCUACUCUUAUCAGCACUAAAGCAUCGUUGAAGACAUGGCAUAAAAGGCUCGGUUAUCCUUCAUCUGCUAUGUUUAAGACAAUAUUAAAUAAGCAUAGUCUUGAUCACAGUGGUGACAAGCUUGUAUCUUUCUUUUGCACAAAUUGUGCCAUAGGUAUAAAUCAUAAGUUGAUACAUUGUGAUGUUUAGGGUCCAUCUCCAGUCACUUUUAUUAGUGGUUACAAGUUCUACUUGCUAAUUGUGGAUGAGUUUACUAAAUACACCUAGUUGUUUCCUAUGGAAGCUAAGUCUGAGGUUUUCUCUAUGUUUGUAUCAUUCAAAGCUUAUGUAGAAAACAUGAUUGGAAAUAAAAUAAAAGUCUUGAGAUCAGAUUCAAAGGGUGAGUUCACUAGUUCUGUGUUAAAUUCUUUUCUCUCAAGUAAUGGAAUCUCUCAUCAAUAUAAUUGUCAUCACACUCCAAAAAAAAAUAUAUGUGUUGAAAGGAAGCACAGACAUCUUAUAGAGAUUGCAAGGACUUUUUUGGUUUCUUCUCGGGAUCCUCACAAGUUCUGGGUUGAAGCCUUUUCAACUGCUCUUUAUCUCAUCAACAGAUUGCCAAUUUCUAAACUAGACAAAUCUCCUUGGGAACUUCUAUUUAGGAAACCUCCAGAUUAUUCCAAAUUAAAGGUGUUUGGAUGCAGCUGCUACCCUUAGCUUAAACCACAUAUUUCAUCAAAACUGGAUGGUAAAAGCAAGCAUUGUGUCUUUCUUGGUUAUAGCCUUCAACACAAAGGAUAUCGUUGUUUAGAUCUUCAAUCUCAAAGAUUGUAUAUUUCAAGGCAUGUUCUGUUCAAUGAAGUUCAUUUUCCUUUUCACUAUGAACACUAUGAACAGAAGCUUCACUUCUCAUCACUGCCAUAUUACACAGUGUCUGCAUCUACUCUAGCAUUUACUCUUCGAUUUCCAACCUCUCAUAGUACUCCAGUAGCAUCUCUAUCCCCUACAACAUCUCAGCAAUCAUCAUCUCAACAAGUACCAUCUCAGUCAUCAUUUUCACAACUCAGUCACUCAUUACCUUUACAGUUAAGACUCUCAUCUCAUAUUCAACCAUCUAUUCCUGCUAAUUCUCAUCUUAUGAUUAAAAGGUCCAAAGCAGGUAUCUUUAAACCAAAAGCUCUCUCUGCAACAAAACAUCCCAUUAAUAUUGAUACUUUCGUGCCUACCACUUAUCUGCAAGCAUCCAAGCAUGCUCAUUGGAAUCAAGCAAUGUUAGAAGAAUUUCAGGCUCUAAAAAACACAAGUACUUGGACCUUAGUACCAUCCUUUACACAUCAAAACAUUGUAGGUUGUAAAUGGGCGUUUCGGAUUAAACGAAAACCCGAUGGUACAGUUUACAGAUACAAGGAUCACCUUGUGGCAAAAAGGUUUCACCAGCAAGAUCAUUGAUUUUAAGAAAACCUUCAGUCCUAUUGCUAAACCAGUGACCAUUCACAUCUUAUUAACUCUUGCUGUCCAAAAUGAUUGGUUCUUAAAUCAAUUGGAUAUUAGCAAUGCGUUUCUUCAUAUAUCACUAAAAGAAAAGGUGUUUAUGCAACAACCUCCUGGUUUUGUUGACGUUUCUCAGCCUUUAUUUGUUUGCGAGCUUGAUCGGUCUCUUUAUAGCUUAAAGCAAGCCCAUCGAGCUUGGUAUGAUAAACUUGGUCAUAUUUUACUCUCUCUUGGUUUUGCUAAUUCGCAAUCAGAUUGCUCCUUAUUUGUGCAUACAUCUCCUUCCCUUGUGAUAGUAUUAGUGUAUGUUGAUACAUCCUAGUCACCGGUCCAAAUGCCUCUCAUUGUCAAGCUUUAUUCACAAUCUCAGUUAUUUGUUUCCUGUCAAAGAUCUAAAGCCUCUUCACUAUUUCCUUGGUUUUGAAGUACAUCGAUCCUCUAAAGGUAUCAAGCAAAUAUGCCAUGGAUCCUCUAGUUAAGACAAAAAUGGAAGGAUGUAAACCUUGUGCCACUCGUCUUGUCACUGCUAAAUUGGAUCACAUUGGAGCUUUGUUGUCUGAUCUAAAUGAGUACACGUCCAUCGUUGGUGUUCUUCAAUACUUAACAUGGACAAUGCCAGAUCUUUCCCUUACUGUGAACCAAGUUUGUCAAUUUCUUCACUGUCCUCGAGAUACAUAAUUUCAGGCAGUUAAACUUAUUCUCCGGUUUCUCAAAUGUUCAGUUGAUUAAUGACUCCGGUUUAAAAAUGGUUUUAUGCAACUUACAGCCUUUUUGGAUGCUGAUUGGGCUGGAUGUGUUAUUGAUAGAAGAUCUACCUCUGGUUAUUGUGUUUACUUGGGACCAAUCUUAUAAGUUGGAGUGCUAAAAAGCAGCCCAUUAUUCCAAGGUCUUCAACCGAAGCUAAGUAUCGAUCUCUUGCUUUCACUGUUGCAAAAAUCACAUGGAUCUGUAAGAUUUUCAAAGACAUCACUUUUCCUCUUCCUCAUACUCCUACAUUAUGGUGUGACAAUGUUUCUACCAUCAAUUUGGCUUCAAAUCAUGUGUUCCAUGCGAGUACCAAGCAUGUCGAGGUUGAUUAUCACUAUAUCUGGGAACUUGUUCUUGCAGAUUUAGUCAAAGUUUUGUAUGUUAACAUUGAAAACCAAAUUGCAGAUAUUCAUACAAAGUCGUUGUCCAAGGCAUGGUUCAAGUAUCUUCAAUCCAAGCUUUCUCUGGGUUCUCCUCCAUUUAGCUUAAGGGAGUGUAAAAGGAUAACUCAUAGCUAACAGCUUGUAUAGUUGUCUUUUACAAUUGUAACAGUUUUGUAACUAAUCUAUGUGUUUGAGAUUUAAUUAAGUACAAUUAGUUACUAAGCUUAAUUAGAGAAAUGUAUAUAUACUGAGUUGUACUCCUUACACAUUAAGAAGGAAAUAAUACAUACUUCUUUCUUUACAGUUCAAGUUAUUGGCAAUGUGCGUGGUGGCUCAUCCACGCUGGACUUAGUUGCUGAUGAUAUCAAAAUUAGGCUACAAGGCUUCAUUAUAUCUCAAAUAUGUCAUUGGUAGAUCCACCAAUAUGUGGCGCAUAGAUUGGCCAAAGUUGGCCUUAUGUUCAUAUGUUGACUCUUGUUAGUGUGAUGAGCCUUUUGAUGUAUUCCAGAAUGCACUCCUUGAAGGUUGUAUGUUUCCAUUUACAUGUCCAAACAACAUGCACAAAGAACACUAAAAUUGUUAUAAAAAUAAAAAUAAAAAUAAAAAUAAAAAAAGCAUACUAUUAAACCCAAAUAAAAAUUUCCAACUAGAACAAUUUUUAGUCUUAGGUCACUAACUAAUAACUAUAGUUGGUUUUCUUGGAGUCGUCCUAAUCCAUUAUAUCGUCUUCAAUAUCAAAAUAGUCUGCCAAAGUAGCAUAGUCAUACUUUCUCUUGUUCAGCUUCUGAGAAAGAAGUGAAUGGAUAUACAGACUUCUUAAACACUUUGGUAGUCAAACUAUCAUCCGGUUUUCCACUUCUGCCAGCUCUGCUCAGAAGCACUUCUGGUAGGUCCUGAGACUUUCAUCUUUAGACUGAGGGACCAUCUACGCAAACGUCAAAGUACACUGAGUAGGUGUUUUUGAAUAUCUCAGCCAAAGUUUCAAAAUAGUCGAUGGAUCUGGAUGGCACCUCCGAAUGCUAUCACAUCGCUGGUCCCCUUAAAGUAGAUGAUAACAUUUUGCACAUAUAAGUAUCGUUGUUGUUGCAUAGCGCCAUGGCAUUCCGGUAAUGCAUGAUGUGGUAGUCGAGGUUAGAAUCGACGCGAAAUGAUUUGAACCUUGAUUGAGAAAACUUUUCCGCUAUGGGUAUUUCUUUGAUUAUCAUUGAAAGUGGUGUUCUAACCCGGACUGUUGCCUUGCCUGGGGUUUGAGGUUGGCUAUCCAUGACUAGGCUCGCAUAAUUUUCUCUAUCCAGGAUGUGUCAUCGUUCUUAAUCUCCAGAAAAUUCAGGCUCGUCAAACCUCAGACGAAGAGGUUUUGCCCUUCGUGCUAUUGUUGUACCUUGAAGAGGAUUAUGUAGAUUUUUUUGUUAUUCUCCAGUAACCAUGUUUGUGACCUACUCAUUUCUUAUUGGGCCUCUUCUUGGAUUGAUGGCAAUCGCUGGCGCUGAAACAGCAUGAAACAUUAUGGGGUCCUCUUCAAGGGUAUGGUACUUAUGUUUCCAUAUUCGUAAACAGGGAUCUGGGUUGAAUGGGUCAUCCCACUUAAAUUCUUUAGGUUUUUCCUUCGCUUCUCCAUGUCUACGAAGUUGGAAUGGCUUUCUGCUUGAACAGCACAUACAAUCUGGCUCUUUUGCAACUUCUCGACAUAAACGUUGAUCUUCGUCAAGGUUUCUCAAAUUUGAUCCAUGGAAGGAGAUGGUCUGUUGACUGGGUCUUCAUCAUUUUCGAGCGUGGCCGUCACUCUUUAUGGGCUGUUACUUGCCUCUGGAGUUGGUUCUUAGGCAACGGGCGAUUCACUCCUGAAAUAACGGACCCAUCAAAAGGUAGGUUAUCUCCACCGAUGGGGUUAACGUUGGCAUUGACCAAGCUUUCCUCAGCAUACAUGUCAAUCAGCAGAGUGAUCUGGUUGGAGGAAUAAAAGUUCGCUCUCAAUGAAAGUACCAAUUGUUAUAACCAAACUUGCGUACCUCCAUGAACGAUGUUUGAGCACAAAUUCGAGCAACUUGCAAAACAGUAAACAAACUUUAGCAAGCCUAGGACUAGAGAGGUGUGUCGACCAAAGGCUUUCCGACUGCCAAGUUAGGGAGUGAUUAGACUCUAGUAGUGGUCAAGAGAAUUGAAGUGUUUUGAUUGCGUUACCCGAGAUGAACCCUAGAUGAGUGUAUUUAUAACGUGGAGAGAUAGACCUUUUUAGGAUGGAAUCCUAGCUCUAAGCCCAUAGAAUCCUAAAGGAUAUUGAAAGGUAGAUAUUGCUUCUUCUUAGGAGUUAUGAUUACUUGCAGCACACACCAUUUCCUAGAUUUUAGAAAUUCCAAGACUUAUAGGACCUAAUUGUGUCCGUAUCUGAAUCAAAUCGCGUCUUACGAAACAAGUAUGGUCAUCUGGCGAAGUAGCUAGGACUCUGCCUUAUGCCCUAGAGUGGAAUGAUGGUGGCACCGCUACACCAUCUGAUACAGCUCCGCCCAAAACUAGUGAGUCUAUGACCGAACUUUUGAGGUAACUGUAUUCAGAUCAGUCUUACUCCACUCCUGGAAAAUCAUGGUCCCACAAUAACUUCUCAUGUUUCUCCUUAGUCAAUGAGUUUUUAUCCCACAUUGGGUUUUACCAUAGCAAGAUUUUGUGAGUUUUACCUUUUUAUGCAUUCUUCUGUUGAUUUGAGACUCACAUUUGCUUAUUGUGCCGACGACUUCAUCAACCGAACUUACUUCAUCACCAAAGACCUAAUGCACCAUUUACUUGAGUAUUUACACUCUAAGGGAGGAGUGUUGCGGUCCUAAUUAGGUUAGGAAUGUGAUUGUGUAAAUCAAAGGGGAUUCUAUAGUAUCUUUUAGUUAGUAUUUAAGUUGUAAUACCUAAAGGGUAAGGGAUUUAUCUUCCCUACUACUAUAAAUAAAGGCACAAUGAGGUGAGAAAUCACACCUCAUAAUUCACACAAUUCUCUCCAUGCUUUGCCGCACCCUCUCUCUUAGUCUCUCUAUACUUCUUUAAUCAAAUAGGCCUACAACGUAUUCUUCAUUGUGCGUGAAUUUCUCUCUCUCUCUCUCUCUCUAUAUAUAUAUAUAUAUAUAUAUGCAUAUGCAUAUUACAUACCUAUGUAUGUACUAUAGGUAUGAGCUGAGACAUUUUGUACCAAAACCUAUGUACUGAUACAUUCACACUGAAAUUUAUGUACCUAUACAUCGUACCGAAACUUAUGUACUGAUGCAAUCGUAUCAAAACUUAUGUACCAAUACUUCCAUACCUACAAGUUUUUAUUUUUAAAUACAUUGUUUUUGUAUUGCUGUUGAAUUUUUUUUAUUAAGAAAUUGAAUUUGAAUAAUGCUUUAUCUAUUAAUAUGAUUGAAGCCCAAAAAAUACACAUUAAUGAUGGAUGGGUAAAGAAUUUUGGAUGGUAAGUUUAUAAAUAAUAAAUAUGCCACAAAUAAUUAAAUAUGGUAAGUUUUUUUUUUUUUUUUUUUUGUCAAAAAAUAGAUUUUGUUAGAUUAGAUGUUAGAUUAGUCACCGACGAGAUUUGAACUCAUGUCAUCAUGCAAGGGCUCAACUUCUUUCCAUCACUGUGGUAAAUGGCCACUUGCAAAUAUGAUAAGUUUUAAUAAUAUGGAAUUAAAUUAGAUUUAUAAAACCUUCUAGGUUAAAAUCUAAAAAGAAUCUUAUUUAAGUCCUAAAGCCUAAAAACCCUUAAAAUAUAUGAUUCUUUCUACUAGUCUUCCAAUCCUUUGAAGGGGUAGCUUAGUUGUAAUGUACAAGCCUUUCUGUACGCGCUCAUGCGCGUGCGAAAGGUUUUUUUUACAUCACGGCGAGCUACGCGUGGCAUGUGGAGUUAUUUUUUCAUUUUACAUUUGUUCACACAUAAAGACAUUCUUAUAGUUACCAUGCACUAAGCGCAAUGUGCAAUGUUUAAUUUUAAUAUUUGUACUUGUCAAGAGACAUUCUUUCAUUUUAAUUUUUUUAGCUAAAAGUUUGUAUGGACUUUUGCACCGUUAGAUUUAAAUUAAGAACCUGCAAGCCUCUCACCUUGAAACGAGAAAAGCACAUAAAUGAAAUGAAGCUAAACAUGAUGAUCCUGAUCAAUCUCUCAUAUUACAAAUGCCACAAAAAAUGAAACUUUAUGUGAUUGCAAAAAAAUUUCAAACAUUCAAUUACCCGAAAAACAGAUUAUACAAAUUAAAAAAUUUCAAACAUUCAAUUACCCAGAAAACAACAAUGAAAAUCUUAUUAAAUUAAUUAAAAUAAACUCAUUAGCCAAGUUAAAAAAUUUCAAACAUUCAAUUACCCAGAAAACAACAAUGAAAAUUUUAUUAAAUUAAUUAAAAUAAACUCUUUAGCAAAAGGAACAUAAAAAUGCAAAAUUCUACUAAAUUAAUUAAAAUAAACUAAUUAAUGUGCAGGAGGAACAUAAACAACCUUUUGAAUUAAUCUAAAGAGAUACAAACUAAAAAUAUUAAGAUUGACAGGAGGAAAUGAUUGAAAUUGAUAAUUGAGAAUAAAAGAUUAAGAUUGAGAGUUGAGAAGUUGUACCGAGGAAGACUCUUUGUUGAUUUGGCUCUCUGUUUCAUCCUCUGCCUCGCCCUCAUUCUCUUCUCCUUGAUUUCUGCAAUGAACGGAGAAACAAUUUGCUAUAAAAUAUAUUUGUGUAAUCAAAUAAUAUGUAGCCAACCUGGUUGAGAAGACAUUUGGAAUUUCGUAAGAUGGAGACUCUGUGCAUGUUCUUCCUUUCUGAUUCUUGAAUUUAAAUGAGAUUUGUAUAAGUAUAUAUUGGCAAUUCAUCUUGAUAGAAACUACAUUUUGAUGAAUGUGGGUGCAAUUUUUCAAUUUUCACAUUCUAUUUUUUAUUUGAGGGUUUUAGCAUGUCUCUUUUUUAUUUGUUUUUCUUUUCAUUUUUUUUUCCAAUAAAACGAUUUUUUACAAAAUCAUCAUGUGUUUUGUUUUGAGCCAGAAUGGUUAUUCAAUAUUUUGGCGGCUGAUGUAAACGUUUCCGUUCGUAUUUAAUGAAAUUUCUAUUGUUGAAAAAAAAUAUAUAUGUUCAGUAUUUAAUGACUAUGGUUUAAAAAUGGUUCUAUGCAACUUACAGCCUUCUUGGAUGCUGAUUGGGCUAGAUGUGUUAUUGAUAGAAGAUCUACCUCUGGUUAUUGUGUUUACUUGCAACCCAAUCUUAUAAGUUGGAAUGCUAAAAAAUAGCCCACUGUUGCAAGGUCUUCAACCGAAGCUGAGUAUCGAUCUCUUGCUCUCACUACUGCAGAAAUCACAUGGAUCUGUAAGAUUUUCAAAGACAUCAUUUUUCCUCUUCCUCAUACUCCUACAUUAUGUUGUGACAAUGUUUCUGCCAUAUAUUUGGCUUUAAAUCCUGUGUUCCAUGAGCGUACCAAGCAUGUCGAGGUUGAUUAUCACUAUAUAUGGGAGCUUAUUCUUGCAGAUUUAGUCAAAGUUUUGUAUGUUAACAUUGAAAACCAGAUUGCAGAUAUUCAUACAAAGUCGAUGUCCAAGGCAUGGUUCAAGUAUCUUCAAUCCAAGCUUUCUCUAGGUUCUCCUCUGAUUAGCUUGAGGAAGUGUAAAGGGAUAACUCAUAGCUAACAGCUUGUACAGCUGUCUUUUACAGUUGUAACAGUUUUGUAACUAAUUACUGUGUUAGAGAUUUAAUUAAGUACAAUUAGUUACUAAGCUUAAUUAGAGAAAUGUAUAUAUACUAAGUUGUAUUCCUUACACAUUAACAAAGAAAUAAUACAAACUUCUUUCUUUACAGUUCAAGCUAUUGGCAACGUGCGUGGUGGCUCAUCCACGCUAGACUUAGUUGCUGAUUAUAUCUCAAAUAUGUCAUUGGUAGAUCCACCAAUAUGUGGCGCAUAGAUUGGCCAAAUUUGGCCUUAUGUUCAUAUUUUGACUCUUGUUAGUGUGAGAAGCCUCCAGAUAUAUUCUAGGAUACACUCCUUGAAGGUUGUAUGUUUCCAUUUACAUGUCCAAACAACAAGCACAAAGAAUACUAAAAUUUUAAAAAUAAAAAAAUAUAAAAUAUAAAAAUAAAAAAGGCAUACUAUUAAACCUAAAUAAAAAUUGCCAACUAGAACAAUUUUUAGUCUUAGGUCACUAACUAAUAACUAUAGUCGAUUUUCUUGGAGUAAUCUGGUUUGGUUGUUGUUCUCCUGCUCUUGUCGUCCCAAUCCAUUAGAUCGUCUUCAAUAUCAAAAUAGUCCGCCAAAGUAGCAUAGUCAUACUUUCUCUUGUUCAGCUUCUGAGAAAAAGGUGAAUGGACAUACAGACCUCUUAAACACCUUGGUAGCCAAACUAUCAUCCGAUUUUUCCACUUCUGCUAGCUCUACUCGGAAACACUUCAGGUAAGUUCUAAGACUUUUAGAUUUAGACUGAAUGACCAUUUACGCAAAUGUCACGAUACACUAAGUAGGUGUUUGUGAAUAUCUCAGCCAAAGUUUCAAAACAGUCGAUGGAUAUGGCUGGCACCUUCGAAUACUAUCUCAUCGCUGGUCCCCCUAGAGUAGGUGAGAACAUUUUGCACAUAUAAGCAUUGUUGUUGCUGUAUAACGUCAUGGCAUUCCGAUAAUGCAUGAUGUGGUAGUCAAGGUUAGAAUAGAUGCAAAAUGAUUUGAACCUCAAUUGAGAAAACUUCUCCGGUAUGGGUAUUUCUUCGAUUACCAUUGAAAGUGAUGUUCUAACCUGGAUCAUCGCCCUACCUAGGGGUGCAAGGUUGGCUGCCUAUGACUAAGCUCACAUGAUUUUCUCUAUCUAUGAGGUGUCAUCGUUCUUAAUCUCCAGAAAAUUCAGGCUUGUUAAACCUCAAACGAUAAGGUUUCGCCUUCAGUGCUGUUGUUGUACCUUGAGGAGGAUUACGUAGAUUUUUUGGUUAUUCUCCAAUAACCACAUUUGUGACCUACUCACUUCUUAUUGGGCCCUUUCUUGGAUUGAUGGCAAUCGCUAGUGCCAGAACAACAUGAAACAGUAUGGGGUCCCCUUCAAGGGUAUGGUACUUAUGUUUUCAUAUCCAUAAAUAGAGAUCUGGGUUGAAGGGGUCAUCCCAUUCAAAUUCUUUAGGUUAUUCCUUCGCUUUUCUAUGUUUACGAAGUUGGAGCAGCUUUCUACUUGAGCGGUACAUACAAUCUGGCUCUUUUGCAACUUCUUGACAUAAAUGUUUAUCUUCGUCAGGGUUUCUCAAAUUUGAUCCAUGGAGGGAGGUGGUCUAUUGACUGGGUCUCCAUCAUUUUCGAGGGUGGCCAUCACUCCUUAUGGGCUGUUACUUACCUCUGGAGUUAGUUCUGAGGCAGCGAGCUAUUCGCUCCUGAAAUAACGAACACAUCAAAAAGCAGGUUAUCUACACCUGUGGGGUUAACGUUGGCGUUAACCGAGCUUUCCUUGGCAUACAUGUCAAUCGGCAAAGUGAUCUAGUUCAGAGGAAUAAGAGUUUGUUCUCAAUGAAAGUACCAAUUGUUAGAACCAAAUUUGCGCACCUUCAUGAACGGUAGUUGAGCACAAAUUCGAGCAACUUGCAAAAUGGUAAACAAAUGUUAGCAAGCCUAGGACCGGAUGGUGUGUCGACCAAAGGCUCUCCGCCUGUCAAGUUAGUGAGUGAUUAGACUCUAGCAGUGGUCAAAAGAAUUGAAGUAUUUAGAUUGUGUUACCAUAGAUGAACCCUAAAUGAAUGUAUUUAUAACAUGGGGAGACAUACCUUUUUAGGAUGGAAUCUUAGCUCUAAGCCUAGAGAAUCCUAGAGGAUAUCAAGAGGUAGAUAUUGCAUCUUCUUAGGAGUUAUGAUUACUUGCAGUACACGCCAUUUCCUAGAUUGUAGGAAUUCCAAGACUUAAAAGACUUGAUUGUGUCUAUAUCCGAAUCAAAUCGCAUGUCUUACGAAACAAGCAUGGUCAUCUAGCGGAGUAGCUAGGACUCUGCCUUAUGCCCUAGAAUGGAGUGAUGGUGGCACUGCUACUCCAUCUGAUACAGCUCUGCUCAAAGCUAGUGAGUCUAUGACUGAACUUUUGAGGUAACUGUAUUCAGAUUAGUCUUGCUCUGCUCCCAGAAAAUCAUGGUCCCACAACAACUUCUCAUGUUUCUCCUUAGUCAAUGGGUUUUUAUCCCACAUUGGGUUUCACCAUAGCAAGAUUUUGUGAGUUUUACCUUUUUAUGCAUUUUUCUUUUUAUUUGAGACUGACAUUUUGCUUAUUGUGCCGACAACUUCAUCAACCGAACUUAUUUCAUCACCAAAAACCUAAUGCGCCAUUUACAAUGAAGUGACAAAUCACACCUUAGAAUUCACACAAUUCUCUCUAUGCUUUGCCACACCCUCUCUCUUAGUCUCUCUAUACUUCUUUAAUCAAAUAGGCCUACAACAUAUUCUUCAUUGUGCGUGAAUUUCUCUAUAUAUAUGCAUAUGCAUAUUACAUACCUAUGUAUGUACUAUAGGUAUGAGCCGAGACAUUUUAUACCAAAACUUAUGUACUAAUACAUUCGCACCGAAAUUUAUGUACCUAUACAUCAUACCGAAACUUAUGUACUGAUGUAAUCGUAUCAAAACUUACGUACCAAUACUUUCGUACCUAUGAGUUUUUUAUUUUUAUUUUUAAAUACAUUGUUUUUGUAUUGUUGUUGAAUUUUUUUAUUAAGAAAUUGAAUUUGAAUAAUGAUUUAUCUAUUAAUAUGAUUGAAGCACAAAAAAUACACAUUAAUGAUGGAUGGGUAAACAAUUUCGGAUGGCAAGUUUAUAAAUAAUAAAUAUGUAACAUCCCACGUCGUCCAGGGGAGUGGAUCCUAUAAGCCUUAUAUGUAUAUUCCUAUCUCUACCUAGCACGAGGCUUUUUGGGAACUCACUGGCUUCGGGUUCCAUUGGAACUCCGAAGUUAACCGAGUUUGCGCGAGAGCAAUCCUAGGAUGGGUGACCUACUGGGAAGUUCUCAUGUGAGUUCCCAUAAACAAAACCAUGAGGGCGUGGUCGGGGCCCAAAGCCGACAAUAUCGUGCUACAACGGAGUUGAGCCCGAGAUGUGACAAAAUAUGCUACAAAUACUUAAAUAUGGUAAGUUUUUCUUUUUGUCAAAAACAUAGAUUUUGUUAGAUUAGCCACCGACGAGGUUGAACUCACGUCAUCAUGCAAGGGCUCAACUUUUUUCCAUCACUGUGGUAAAAGACCACUUGCAAAUAUGGUAAGUUUUAAUAAUAUGGAAUUAAAUUAGAUUUAUAAACCUUCCAGGUUAAAAUCUAAAAAGAAUCUUAUUUAAGUCCUAAAGCCUAAAAACCCUUAAAAUAUAUGAUUCUUUCUACUAGUCUUCCAGUCCUUUGAUAAGGUAGCUUAGUUGUAAUGUACAAGCCUUUCUGUACGCACUCACACACGUGCGAAAGACUUUUUCUACAUCAUGGCGAGCUACGCGCGGCGUGUGGAGUUAUUUUUUUCAUUUUACAUUUGUUCACGCAUAAAGACAUUCUUAUAGUUACCAUGCACUAAGCAUGAUGUGCAAUGUUCAAUUUUAAUAUUUGUACUUGUCAAGAGACAUUUUUCAUUUUAAUUUUUUUAGCUAAAAGUUUGUAUGGACUUAUGCACCGUUAGAUUUAAAUUAAGAUAUCGCAAGCCUCUCACCUUGAAAAGAGAAAAGCACAUAAACGAAAUGAAGGUAAACAUGAUGAUCAUGAUCAAUCUCUCAUAUUACAAAUGCCACAAAAUAUGAAACUUUAUGUCCAAAUGAUAGCAAAAAAAUUUCAAACAUUCAAUUACCUAAAAAACUAAUUAUACAAAUUAAAAAAUUUCAAACAUUCAAUUACCCAGAAAACAACAAUGAAAAUUUUAUUAAAUUAAUUAAAAUAAAUUCAUUAGCAAAAUCAAAAAUUUUCAAACAUUCAAUUACCUAGAAAACAACAAUGAAAAUUUUAUUAAAUUAAUUAAAAUAAACUCAUUAGUAAAAGGAACAUAAAAAUGAAAAUUUCUUCUAAAUUAAUUAAAAUAAACUAAUUAAUGUGCAGGAGGAACAUAAACAACCUUUUGAAUUAAUCUAAAGAGAUACAAACUAAAAAUAUUAAGAUUGACAGGAGGAAAUGAUUGAAAUUGAUAAUUGAGAAUAAAAGAUUAAGAUUGAGAGUUGAGAAGUUGUACCAAGGAAGACUCUUUGUUGAUUUGGCUCUCUUUUUCAUCCUCCGCCUCGCCCUUGUUCUCUUCUCUUUGAUUUCUGAAUUGAACGGAGAAACAAUUUGCUAUAAAAUAUAUUUGUAUAAUCAAAUAAUAUGUAACCAACCUGGUUGAGAAGACAUUUGGAAUUUCAUAAGAUGGAGACUCUGUGCACGUUUCUCCUUUCUGAUUCUUGAAUUUAAAUGAGAUUUGUAUAAGAUAUUGGCAGUUCAAUUUGAUAGAAACUACAUUUUGUUGAACGUGGGUGUAGUUUUUCAAUUUUCACGUUCUAUUUUUUAAUUGAGUGUUUUAGCACGUCUCUUUUUAUUUGUUUUCCAAGAAAACGAGUUUUUACAAAAUCAUCCUGUGUUUUGUUAUUGUAUUUUUUUUAUGUAUUAAAUAUGGUCAGUUUUAGAUUUUUUUUUUUUUUUUUUUUUUGUAUUAAGGAUAUUUUAAUUCAAUUAUUUUGUGUGUGAAGUCUUGAGACACCAAAAUUGACUUUUGACUUUCUGAUAUUAGAGAAUAAAACGAAUUUUAAAUUGGUUUUUUUUUUUUUUACAAAAUUACCCUUGUGCUUUUUUAUGUAUUUAGUCCCAUUAAUCUUGACUCUACCAUGAUCCAGGGGUGUGAUCUUUUGGAGUGUUGGAAUUGGUUAAUUAGUCUAAGGAGAUUAUUCGGUGGGUGGUGUUUGGUUUGUGGAGAUUAUGGAAAUGUAGGAAUUGUAUGGUUUUUAAGAAACGGUUGAUACAUCCAAUGGAAGCACUAAAUUUGCUUCACCAACAAGAAUUGGAGUUAAGGGAGAUGGAGCAGUGGGCUGCGGCAAAGGUGGAUGAGCAGCGGAAGCUUUCAAAGUCACCUGCCGUGAAAAGGACAUGGGAACGCCCUCCUUUUCGUGUGGUGAAGUUUAACUGCUAUGGCGCUUGGAGUAAGGGGAUGGGAGGUUUUGGAUGGGUUGCAAGGGACUUCACUGGGAUUCUUAAGGCAGCAGGUGGUGUCGGCAAGUACCCAUGUGUGUCCAGCUUAGUGGAGGAGGCGGAGGCGGAGGCAGAGGCAGUUAGAGCCGCAGUAGGGGUGUGCGUGGAGCAUGGCUUCCGGGACGUGCAUAGAGUCGGAUUCUAAAAAUCUUAUUGCGAUGAUAAAUAGUAAUUUGCAGAGUGCGGUAAUGAUAGCAGGCAUCCUUUUCGAUAUUCGAAUUCUGCGGCGGCAAUUGAGGUCUAUUGAGUUUCGUUAUAUUUGGCGUGAUUGUAAUAAGGUUGCCCAUUUAGUGGCGUCGUUUGUGUCUAAGGAGGGUGACUCUCAUAUUCGGUUUGAGUUUGAGCCAUAGUGGUUAUUCAAUACUUUGACGGUUGAUGUAGGGAUGUGAUAUCCACACACUAUUUUUUACUUCUCCCACACCUUUUGGGUUUUCGACCGUUGGAUUGGAUGAAUUGAAGAAGAUCAACGGACAGAAAGUAACAAAGGGUGUGUGAGAAGUAAAAAAGGGUGUGUGGAUAACACACCCCUUGAUGUAAACGUUUCUGUUCUUAUUUAAUGAAUUUACUAUUGUUGAAAAAAAUAUAUAUGUUCAGUUUUAGAUAUUUUUUUUUUUUAAGGAAUAUUUUAGUCCAAUUAAUUUUUAGGAAAACUAAUGAAAAGGGUUUGAAAACUUUGAGUUUUAAUGAUAAGGACAAAAUAAAGGGUAAGUGAAUAGUACCAUAUUUGACUUUUUAGUGUAAAAAUGUAGUUUCGUUAAAGUGAACAGUACCGUGGGUUUUUCGUUAAAACUCCCUUAAUUUUUUGUGAAGCCUUUAGACACCAAAAUUGACUUAUAGCUUUCUCAUAUUAGAGAUAAUCAAGUUGUGUGACUGGAAUCCAGAUCCUCGCCGUUCCGUGAAUCGUGUCUCUUAAUUGUACAUCGUACGGUCAUAAAUUAUUUUAAAUAUUUUUAUAAAAUAUUUAAAAUUAAAGAAAAACAGUAUAUGACAAAAACUAACUGCACGAUGUACAUAGACACAAUUCACGAAUCCCCAUAUCCUCAUCAAAGGAUCCGGAGAAUAUCCUGUUGGGUGUGACUGAGUCUCAGAGUUCAGACCUCUCAUGCUCAGCAUAUAUUUGGAGGGAACCAAUUUUCCAUAAGCUCGAUUCAUCAUGGCAAGUCUUAGAUGCAUCGUAUACGUGUUAGUCAUGAGCCUUUUCAACCCAAUUAGCUGCCUUCUUAAUUAUGAUCAUUCAAACUCCAAGCCUGCAUAUGAGCCACAACAAAAGGCCUUGUUUGUGUUUGGGGCCUCACUAUUUGAUCCCGGCAACGAUCAAUACCUUAAUUUGAGCGUCGCUGCAAUGAACUGGCCAUAUGGGGAAACCUUCUUCCGCCAUCCCACUGGAAGAUUUUCCGACGGACGCUUAGUCCCUGAUUUCAUUGGUAAGAGGAAUUUUUAUUUUAUUUUUUUAUUUUUUUAUUUUGUUGCAUUGGCAGGAUCGAAUUUUGACUCAUCCUGAUUCAGUUCUUCAGUCUCCUUGUCACUAAGAUGUUAGCUGUGUUAGUAGAUUAGUAACAAUAUUGGCAUAUUCAAGCAUAUAUUGAUACAAAUUCUAGCGGAAGUUACAAAUUUAGUGUCACCUAAUGUUGCUUUGCAGCUAAUUUUGCAAAAUUGCCUAUGCUUCCACCAUACCUGCAAUCGGGUCCGCAUGUAUUGACUGAUGGCGCCAACUUUGCUUCAGCUGGAUCUGGAGUUCUAGUUGAAACUCGUCCAGGAACUGUGAGUACUCGUCUUUCUCUGCAAAUUAAUCAAGCAUUUUAUAAAUGAAAUGGGGAAUGAUGGAGAAUAUUGAAUCCCACGCCAGAAACUUCGACGUAUUAACGGGUCAUUUUCUGUUUCUUUGAUUUUUCUCUUUAUUUAUGAUGUACUAUUUGUUUCUCAGCUAAGUUUUCCAAAGCAGUUGAGCUAUUUUAAGAAGGCGACGAAGUUGCUGGAACAGCAACUGGGUCAUGUAGAAACUAAGAGUUUGUUGAAAAGAUCUGUUUACUUGAUCAACAUGGGAACGAAUGAUUAUUCUACCUUCUACAAUACUAAUCCAAAUGCCACUGAGUCCCACCGGCAGGAAUUCGUAGCAACUGUGAUCGGAAACUUGACAAGUGUGCUCCAAGUACGAAAUAGUACUUUUAGACCAAUAUUUGACAUGAUAUGUUGUUAGACUGUUGUGUUUAAUCACGUAAUUUCUCUAUUUUGUAGGAACUGUAUAAUUUAGGAGGAAGGAAAAUUGCAUUUCAGAAUGUAGGACCUCUAGGCUGCAGACCUGCAGAUAAGCAAGGCUACCCUCAAGCUGAUGGUGGGUGUGUUGAAGGACUCUCAGCUCUGGCCAGGUUACAUAAUAAAGCUCUAGCUAAUAUCCUCAAAAAUUUGGAGAGCCAGAAACCAGGAUUCAAAUAUUCAAUAUUUGAAUUAUGAUGCAAUUGAUGACAGGGUGAAUAAUCCUUCAAAAUAUGGUACGUCGCCUUAUCAACUGGCUCUGACCGUUACAAUAUACAUACAGGAAUGAUUUUACAUGGGCCAAAACAUAUAUUGGUUGAAUUGCUCUUUGUUUCAUUAUUGUGAAAGGCUUCUACAAUAGUACGGAUGCCUGUUGUGGUACUGGAGCAUAUCGGGGAUCAAAUUGCGGCGGAAAAAAUGGAACGGAAACAUAUGAACUGUGCAGCAACCCUGGAGAUUAUGUGUGGUUUGAUGGUGUGCAUACGACUGAAAGGUUAAACCUCCAAUUAGCAGACCUAAUAUGGAGUGGAACACCAAAUGUCACGGGGCCUUAUAAUGUCCAACAGCUAUUUGAAUUGGAUUAGUUACCGUUCUUGAAUCGUGUGCAUAUUUGAACAAUUUGAGAUUCCUUUGACAUUAAUUCAUGAGUCCUUUUUUUUGGUAAUAAAAGCUUUUGUUGUAAUGGUUUUCGACGUUUAGAGAGCUAGCUAAGCUCCCUUCUUUACUAAGCGAUUGUUGAGUAAAGAGGCAAAUACGAAAACAAAGCAGAGAAAAGAAGAGCAACCUUCUCCUCCGCAGUGGUUGAAAAUUAAUGUCGACGGAGCUUUCUGUGCUGCCACUGACAUUGGGGGUACUGGUGUAGUAUUUCGCAACAAAGCCAGUAGCUAUUGUUUGGGCAAAGAUUUUUCUAGAGAAGGCUCCUUGGACCUCAGCACAGCUUCCGGCACUUUGGAUGUGUAUAUUUGGUAGUCGGGCUCUUGCUUGCCUUGUGUGCUGCAGUAAGAGCUUAAAGUUAGUUCUGAAAGUUGCUAUAGGCCUUGAGGCUCGCAAUCAAAACUAACUAAAUGUUUAAAUGUGCCACUACUAUCUCAGUAUAGUAGAUGUAGAACAAGUGUGUUUUAAGUUGAUUGCUGGUGUCCCAAGUUACUCAAACUUCUUAUUAUCAAAGUAUUGUCGUGGAUGGGUUAAGUACACAUUAAUUUCUUUUUCUUGCCUUGUAAACAAGGACUUCUAGUUCAUGAUCUUGUAUGUUCGAAUGGAGGGAAUCCAGAACCCCUUAAAUCAUUUGUUUAGUUCCAAAUUGCUCUUAAUGAAAACAUAUCUAUCAAGUUAACUAGAUCCAUAUGCAAAUGGGACUCUCAAAAUAGAAAAACUGGUGGAAAUGACUUGAAUACAUACUGAAAAGUACAUUAAGCAAUAGAUCUACUAAUUUAGAGAACAAACAAAGAGACUCGGGUAAGAUUUCACCUUGUAUGGCUAGGUUAAACCUCUUGCAACCACUUCUCUUUGAGUUUACAGAGGUUGUAUGCUAAAAAGGGAUGGAUGGUAAAUAAGUUUACACGAGGGAAUCGAUACUACACCACUAAGGGAGGUAGUAGAGCUUUUAUACUAGACAAGAAUGUCUUUUGUAAGGAACUAUCACUAAAAGGACUGAAUCUAGGCUAAUUUCAGCUUUUAGAUGCAAAUCUGGCUUGAGAGCAGAGUUUAUAAGUUUGUUUGUUUGAUUGGUUGAGAGUCUCUUGUCUCUAUUGUUUCUUCUUCCUUUUAUAGGCGAUUUGGCUUAGCUGUUGUAGCUUUUGCUCUUGCCCUAAAGCACUGGGAGGGUAGUGAGUCAUCAACUUUUUACUUGUAAUGCCAUUGGAAUGUAUUCUUUGGUUGAUAGUAGGUUAAUCUUCAUCACUUGUCACUUCAGUUACUGACACGUAGCUUAUGUCUUGGCUGAGAAGGCUUUAGUUUGCCUUUGGGCUCAAUGCUACGCUUCGGGGGCAAGUCUCCCUCUUAGUUGGCAUCCUUUGAGCUUUCCCUUAUUUAAGCUCAAUAUUCAAAUAUUAUAUUAACCCAAAUAGCUAUGCUGCAGGUUUUGUUCACAAAGUAUCUCAUGUGACAGGUCCCGAUGCGGUAGAGGUCUUAGCUGAUAGGGAGAGGGUCCAGUUGGUGAUCUAGAACGACAGCGGACUCAGGUCGCGCUCGAGAGUGAUGCCCUCCAGUUUGUUCAAGCUACUGGCAGCCUGCGUGGUGGGUCAUCCUAGCUGGACUUGGCUGCUGAUGAUAUCAAAACUGGGCUACAAUGCUUCGUUACAUCUCAAGUAUGUCAUGUUGGUAGAUCUACCAAUUAUAAGGAGGCGCAAAGAUUGGCCAAAAUCCUCCUUAUCUUCAUGUUUUGAGUCUUGUUAGUUUGAGGAGCCUCCAUAUAUAUUCUAGGAUGCACUCCUUGAAGAUUGACAAAUUUUUAGUUUAAGGUCAUGAACUAAUAAUCACGGUUACUUUAAGCAAUUAUUCUUUCAAAUUGGACUACCAUCAGCACCCAUAUCCCAGUAAGGACACAAUAAGGUGCCAUUUUCUCCGAAAGAUUUCUCUUACUUGUGUCCAAAUACAUGAUCAAACUGUAAGGGAAAAUCAUCUAAUAGAAAAUCAUUCUCCUCCGUUGUACUGGGUUCAAACUUUACACAUAUUUGGCCUUCCUAAACUGAAAAAUAAAAAUUAAAAAUUUUAAAAAACAAAAUUUUAAAAAUCACCGAGUCUUCAACGUCUAUUGAUAAGUUCUACAUUUCGGAAUUAUGAGCAAUCAUGUCCCACUAACAUGGAUGCAUGCCAUGAUCUCAAAAUCUUUGACUUUGCAGUCCGCAUUCAAUUAACAUGAAAGAUUACACUAAGGCAACAACCUUACAAACUGAAGUAUCAACAUACAUGAUACAGGCACCACGAGGAAAGGCAUCUCAUAUUUAUUUUCUUUGUAUUGGUAAUAAGAGGAAUUGAAUUGCAUUUGUAAUGAAAGGAAAUGAAAAGACAAUGUUUUAAAUCAAUAAUAAAAAGGAUUUAAUAGUUAAUUAAAAAUUAUUUGAAGAUGCUGUCAAAUUUGAUAGCAACCAUCUUUGCUGUCAUUCCACGUCAUGUCACAUAUGAAUUAACAUUUCAGUUAGAAAACACUAGUGUUGUAUUGAUUUACUAUUAUUGUCGAUGUGAACUUUAUGAAAUCUCAUUUGGAGAUGCUCUUUGUGUUGGGAGUGGUUAUGUAAGAGGUUUUUGCCUCUAAUUUUUUUUCCAUAAAAAUUGGGUAUGGUUAUUGGCAUUUCACAAAUGUCAUCAUACACUCCUCUCAAACAAUUUUUUUUCUUUUAUUUUUAUAAACUUGGGGUGUAUGAUAACUUUUUUGAAAUGUCAGUAACAACUUAAAGAAAAUUACGAGGGAGGAUUUUUUUAUGAAGUUUCAAUAACAACUUAAAAAUACCUUGGGGUGUUAUUUUAAAAACGAUUUUAGUUCUAUUUCUUUAAAAAUACCUCGACAAUGUAAUAUAACAUCCACAACAAAAACACCAACUUAUUGCAGUAACAAUAAUGCUUAAUUUUAAUUAUUAGCUAUAACUUUUAAUUAUUAUUAAUAUAUAACUCUGGACUGUAAACUUUAGUGAUAAUUACAUUUCUCGUAAUUGGAAUAUUGAAUAUUAACAUCACACGUAGCACCAUUAAACAUGAAAGUAUGGCACCCAAAAGUAACAACGAUAAUGGUCAAUUCUAAUACCUUUGUUUCAAAGGAUACAGUAGAAUUUUCCUAAUUAAAAAGUAAAAAUUAAAUAGUCAUGUGGUACAAUGGUUUUGAAUUUUUUUUUUUUAAAUAAGAGAUUUUAGAUUCGAUUCUUGUAGAUGGUAAAUUAAAUAUCAAAUUAUUAUAACUAGUCUAUUGUGUGACUCUGACUAAUUUUACUUAUUUGUAUAAAUAUAUGGUUGUAUUAUAAAAGCAGCUAAUCAUUAAGCUAUAAUGUUGAUUAAGUGCUUCACAACCUCUGAAGGCUUGAACCUUACACAUCCUACAUGAAAGAGUUAUUUUGUCUGUAUGCAUAUAAAAAAAAGACUGGAGAAGAUGUAGAUGGGAAAAUGAACUGGCAAAAGUGUUAUGCCGCAAAUGAAAAGAUAAAAAGAUUGAUCAUAUGUAGAGAGAGAGAGAGAGAGAGUUUUAGAAGGUAAACACACACAUAUAUAUAUACACACACACUUCACUUUUUGGAAAAUACAGUCAGAAAACCAUCUCCAUGUUGUUUGUGUUUGUGCAUAAAAAGUUGGGUGCUAAAAUGCACAGGUGGAGAUUAAUCCAAACAACUCAAAUCCACAUCACAAAUUCCAGAUUGAUCAGAACCAUUAGAAAGAAAGGCUUUUCUCACAAUUUAAGCAAACCACCUCUCUCUCUCUCAAUUAUUGUUAUCUCUCUCUCUCUCUCUCUCUCUAAUCUCUAUCUCUCUGAGGUCUUUUUCCAAGGGACAGGCACAGACCCACCACGUGCAUAUGCUAGUCUCAUUUAAGAAAACAACUCCCUGCCUAAUUAGAGAACAGAUGUGGUUUGCAGACAGAACCGGACGGAACGGAAUAGAACCGGACGGAACGGAGAGGGUGCAAAUAUGUUAUCGGAUGGAAACAAGGAGGAAGAAGAAAGAGACGGAGAGGUUAUAAUUUUGUGUUCCACGAAUGUGGAACGAGUUGUUCCAAGGGAUGAGACGGAACGAAAAUUCACCAAAAACUCGUUCCAUGGAACAUCGCGUUCCACUCGUUUUAGGCACACUAAAUGUGGGACGGAACGCUUUGUCUCAUUCCGUUUCGUCCUGUCCCACGUACCAAACUGUACCUUAGAUCACUUCUAAAUCUCAAUUCCCCAUCAAAUCUUUUUAUGGUAAGUAGAACAAAACUUGUCAUAUCUUUCUUCAAAAGUAAAUGUCAAAUUUUGUGGAUUGUCCAAGUAAUUCGGGUUUUUUUUUUUUAAUUUACUGCUUUUCAAGUUCAAACAAUUUCUUCUCUUAUUAGCUUAGGAGAAUAAUAUUGUUGUAAGAAGAAUAAAUGUAAACCCCCCAAACAUAUUCAUCCAAUUUUAUUUUUACCUACACCAAAACAACCUAAGAAUUUGUAUACUAAUUCAUGCGGUAAUUUUAAUUUGUUUAAUACUUGGUCCCAUGCAUCUUAAACUGGGUAAGUAAGAAAUCAUCGUGUAAACAUGUUUAGGAGUUCCUAACAACAAAAAAUCAUGUUUAAAAUGUUAAAAUAUUAUUUACAUUAGUUUGUGGAAGGAGGCAAAAGCGAGAACGAAAAAUGGGAUGAAGUGUCUGCGAGUAUUGACAAAACACCCUAUCGGAUCCGCCAAUCUGCGAAUGAUUGGUUUAACACGCUAGACACGUCGUGUCGCUGCCGAAAUAAAAUAAAAUUCACGUGGAGGAUAUGAAAGCUCCACGUUAUGCCACGGCAUCUAGACGAUAUGGAUGGGGCGACGUUGAAAAGUAUUUCCCACUUGAUCUUACCAUAUUUCCUCACAACCGUACUCAUAUUUAAUUAAAAUAAUCCUUUGUUUAUUUUUUUUCUUUAACAAACGAUAUUAUGUACACUAAAAGAAAAUAUAUGAAUUUAACCUCACAAUUGGUCACUAAUAACAUGGUUCAAAUUCGUAUUUGACAAUAAUCGAACCUAAAAUCUCGUUUACAAAUAAAAAAAAAUAUCACUAAAUUGCAAUACUAAGUAACAAAUAAAUUCAGAUAAGAGAUAAUGAAAGAUGAGACGGUGAAUCAGUGAGGAAAUAUAAAUUGACGUGUGGAUGGAGGAUACAGCUAACCAUGUUGAAUAGGUUGCCCACUUCAACUCAAUUGAGUCAUUUCUUAUGUUUGGCAGGUUGAAUUACACAUCUAAUCAAUCUUUCUGUGCACAUCCUAUAUAUUAAACCAUCAUUGCUCCAUGUAAUUGACCAAAAAAAAGAAUUUCCUUCUAUUUUUUCUUUAUAUAUGUAAAAUAAUAUUCAUAGAUAAAAUUCAACCAUACAUAAAAAAAAAUGACUAUAAAACAUCAAACACACCAGUAGUUAAAACUACCCCAAAAAAGAGAAGUAGAAUGUGGCCAAACCGCAUAACUAUGGAAGACAUCGCACUGAUAACCACGUAGCUCAUAUCACCAAUGUUGAGCCUAACUAAUAGCCAAGCUCAGACAACCCAUAAAAAUUCAAAACCCUAAACCUAUCACUCUAAACUGUGACUGCCACCAAAGAUCGAAGAUGCACUACCAUUGAAUAUAUCAUAUAAGUCCAUGAAGAACCUGUUGAUUAAUUUAUGGAUCUAUAGAUUUGAACUCCAAUGAUCUAACUGCGCAUAAAAAAAAUAAUAGUCAUUUUUGAAAAAGAAUGCCAAAAACAUGACUAUGUCAUAGCAAAGCAAUUCAAAAGGAAGAUCGAAGUUUAGAGAAAAUAGAAAAUCAAUGAGAUAGGAAUUGGGAGUAGAAUUGGAAUAAGGGAGGAAUAGAAAAAUAGUGAUAUAUAGGGUACUCAUAUAUGAUCAUGGCAUAAGUAAAAGCAGGUGAUUUGUUACACAAUUCGUUAACUCGACACGGAACAAUACGAAGAUAAUAGGUUUUGGUUCAACUAACUAAUCGGGUUGUCAGGUGAUUUGUUACACAAUUCGUUAACUCGACAUGGAACAAUACGAAGAUAAUAGGUUUUGGUUCAACUCAUUAACUAGUCGGGUUGUUAUCGAGUCAUCCGUUAACGGUUUUGGUUGUUAUCGGGUCACAUGUGGAGAGCCCGUUAGGAUAAGGGGUACAACACGUAACGACACAAACACAACCUGUUUGUCAGGUCUAGACAUUAGGUAUGUCAAUUUAUUGCAUGCCUAUUAACUCGACACGAAUUGUUAACGAGUGGGGUCGUUAUGGGUCACUUGCAGUGACGGAGCUAGAAUUUUAUAACAAUGGGUGUGACAAAGAAGUUCAAAUAUUGAUUGUUCACACAUACUUUAGGUCAUGCGCAUAGCUAACAUAGAUAUAACUUUAAUCUCAAAUUUAGUUUCUUAUGUAUCUUAGAUCUAUUGAAACUUCUGUAUCCUGUCUAAUUUUGAAAAAGUUCUCGAAUUCGAAUCCCAGCCUCCAUGGUCGAAAACAAAGUCUUUGUGCUCCAUAGUCUUCUUCCAAAGCCAAAUAUGAACUAAACAAGUAUGUUUAUUUUAGGGAGCUGUUAUUGACACUCCUAAAAUCUCAAUCCAUACUCUUUCUAUAUUUCUGAUUUAUUUAUUUUAAUUCUUGUAAUGUAAUUUCCAAUUUUACCCCUAUAUCACUUUUAAUGUCUACAAUCUUGAAAACCUUAUUAAGUAUGAUGACAUAAAUAUGGGUUAUUGAUGCACAAAACCGGAGGGGUCUUGGGACAACGUAAAUCCGAUCGUGAAUCUGCAAGAAAGUAAAAAACACAAGAUGUAUCGUGGUUCACCCCAAUGUUUGGGCUACGUUCACACUGAUAUUGUAUUUCUCUGACUGUAUGUAUAGAUUACAAGGGUGGGGGGAGUCCCCCAGAGAAAGAGAGAGUUUGAGAGGGCUCUCUAUUUGUGAGUAUGAGAGCUUGAGAGAGAUGAGCUUUGUGAGGGUAAGAGGGCAUGAGGAUUGUGAGGGUGAGGAGGCCAUUUUAUAGAAUAAGGGCUCCUCCCCUUUUUACAUAUUUGUCCCUUUACUUAUUACAUAAUUACAUUUGAGUCCCCCGAGUAUUUAUACGAGGUCUAAAUACGGAGGCCCUAAGUAUGGUAUAAACAUGGGUAAAUAUUUAUAGGGAGUUGUAAAGACCUUUUGUGCUCUAGAAGCAAGUAAUCUUUUACUCUCGAGUCUGAGCAUAUAUGCAAAAGACUCUAGCUCCAUACAGAAUCGGUGGUUGCUUUAUCAAGUCAGCCAUUUCUUCGUCCUCAGACUGUUUUCCUCUUAGUUUGAGCAAAAUUCUUCAAUUUUUUUCUGGGUAAUUCAUGGAUGAACAACCAUAUAUGAACCCGAUACUACUGGAAAGUUUUGACGAAAUUUACAAUGGUGAAAUGGAAGAAGUGUCAGACUUGAGUAAUCCUCCUAACUCUCUUGAAUCAAAAUUUCAUGGUAUGUCUUCUCAUGACUUUUUUUUCUUUUUAUUUACUCGUUUAAUUAUUUUUAUUAUUAUAGGCGUUUCAUUAUGAGUUUGAACAUAUUUGUAUUUCAAUCUCAAUAACAUGAAUUAGAUAUUCAAUUUCAUGGAUUAGAAUUGGGGUUUUCCGGUAGACAAAUUUAUUUAUUGGUGCAAUGAAAUUUCAUGAAUAAGUUUUUUUGUUGCUACCCUUUGAAUGCUUGUUUUUUUUUACCCUGAUUUGCUUUUCAUGUAAUUAGUUCUACCCCCCUUAUCAAUUGACUUCUCAUUCGACCAACUUCUUUUGUUUUAUUAACUAGUAUGAUAGCUUUCAUUGUUAGUAAGUUAUUGUAGAUUUAUGUUGAAAUGAAUGGUUCACAUGCUAUAAAACUAAGUUUAUUUUUAUCUAGGGAGUCAAGUAGAGAUCAAUGAACAUGACACAAUGCUUUCUUUGACUGAAAAAGAACUUUCAAAGUCGGGAAGACCUCCUUGGUAUUGUUCGUGAAAUUGUAUUAAAGUAAGGGUAUGCAACUGUUAUUCGGAGAUUGAAGGCUGAUAAAUAUGUUAUCAUUGGUUGUGUUAGAGGUGGUAAUUAUCGAAAUACCAAUCUUUCGUUAGAGGACAAGAAAAGGAAAAUAGCAUCUGGAUUGAUAAAUUGUCCUUUUGAAAUUUGGGGAAAGAAGAAACAAGAAGGAUUUUGGAAGGUGGACAUAAAAAAUUUGUCACAUAACCAUGAUCCUUCAGCUGACAUGUCUGGGCAUUCCUAUUGUUGUCGAUUUUUAGAAGAUGAAAACUUGGGCAUUAAACAAAUGACUAUGGCUGGUUACCACCUCGCCAGAUUCUUUCUUCACUUCGUCAAAGUAAUCCUAAUCUUCAAGCAAUUUUUCAAAGUGUGUAUAAUGAAAGGUAUAAGAUUAUGGAGCAGAGUUUAGGAUGACGUACGGUUGUUCAAGCCUUGUUGGACGAACUUGGUCAAGGUGGUUUCACUUAUAACAUUGAGUAUGAUCAGAAUGGUCAUUUGACUCAUUUGUUCUUUGCCUAUCCCAUUUCACUUGCACUGACUAAGAGCUACUCAAAUGUUUUUGUGAUGGAUUGCACCUAUAAGACUAAUAAGUACAAGAUGCCAUUGUUGGAUAUCAUUGGGGUCUCAAGUUUCAACACAUCAUUUUAUUCUUGUUUUGCCUUCAUGCAAAAUGAGGAGGAAGAGGAUUAUGUAUGGGCGCUGACAAUGUUUAGUAAACUCCAGGGAAUUGAUAAUCAUCCAGUGGCGUUUAUAUCAGAUAGAGAAUUGGCAUUGAUGAAAGCCAUAGAAAAUGUCUUCCCUAGAACUACAAAUAUUUUAUGUGUCUGGCAUAUUGAGAAAAAUAUUCUUACAAAUUGUAAGUCUCAUUUUGAAAACGAAGAUGAUUAGGUUAAUUUCAUAUCCACUUGGACUAGUUUAAUACGGUCUCCUAAUGAAUCAUCAUUCCAUGAAGCUUAGAGUUGUUUUGAAGUAAAAUACAAGGACAAGUACAAUAAUUCUAUUCUUAAAUAUAUUACAGCUACAUGGCUACCUUUCAAAGAAAAAUUUGUAAGUGCAUGGACUGAGCAGGUUAUGCACUUUGGUAAUCGUGUUAGUUCAAGAGUAGAAGGUGCACAUGCAAUGUUAAAGAAGUAUCUUCAAGUUUCAACUAGAGGCCUUCGUGAGGUGCAAUAAAAGAUUUUUCUUGCUAUUGAAAAUCAAUUUCAAGAAAUCAAAGUUCGAGUCUCAAGUGAGAAGAUUCGUGUGUCACAUAGACUUCAAAUUCCCUUCUUUAAAGAACUUGUUACUUAUGUAUAUAUGUUUGCACUGGAUGAGUUACAUAAGCAAUAUUGAUUAGCAAAAUCCAAUGAUGUUUUAUCUCAGUGUAAAGGCCAUUUUUUUAAAACAAUGGGCCUUCCUUGUGCACACAUGAUUAGAGGAAUGAGAAGUGAAUUGCACUUGAAGGACGUUCAUGAGCAAUGGAAGAUUGAUACAAGAUUGUUUAGUGAUGUUUGUGAUGUUAACUUGGAUGGUGAUAGAGAUGAAAUAAGUGAUCUUCUAGUAGAUUUUAAAUCGAAGUACGAAAAAAAAUGCCCAUUUCCGAAAAAGAAGGUACCAAAAGGCAGCUAUCCCAAUUUCUUUGUGCUUCUUUUCCUUUAAUUCUUGAGCCUACUAUUCAAUCUCAUAAAGGUCGUCCAUCAAAGUCGAAGAAGAGAAAGGAAUCUAACUCUACAUAGUGUGAGCCUUCCUCGUUUGAGAUAGUUGAGAACUCUUGAAAAUGUAGCAUUUGUAACAGUGUUGGCCACAACCGUCGGACCUGUGAACUCAACGAGAGAGCUGCAUGAUUUAUGUGGUAUGAUUGCAAAUUUUGAACAGAGACAUACUUGUAAGUUCUCUUUUUAUACUUACUCUUUAAAUCAUGUUCAUCUUGGUUGGGACUUGAAAUUAAUUUGUGUUCCCUCAAUUGAAAUUUCUCUUGUAUGUGUAACAACUAAAGUCUACAAAUAAACUACACCUUUAAUCAUUAGUAUUUUAAUGUGAGUUUGAAUAUAUAGGACAUAUUUAUAUAUCUUUUCUAAUUGUUUUGGUAUAUUUUAUUAUGAUAUACAGGUUUUGCACUGUGCUGAUACAUAUUUGUGUGUUUGAUUGAGAUGUGGAGGCAAUUGAAGAUUUGAAGGGAAUUCUAUGAGAUUCAUGUUGGAUUUCUAGUGACUAGCAUGCAUAUACAAUUCAAAAUUUAUAUACGAAAGCAACGGAAGCAUUUCAACAUAUAUUAUCAAAGCUCUAGUCAUGUAAAUCCCCUUCAAGAUGCAUAGGUUUAUGUAAGAUGCAUCAAAAACAAAUUUAUAUAAGAACAAAGUUUAGGAGUAGUUUUAUACCUCUUGAUCUAGAUCUUAGACCAAGGAUGGACCACUUCCAAGCCCUUUGCUCCUUGAAGUCCUUGAGCCUAGCCUCCUUCCUUGCCUCCUCCACUUUGUUUAGUAUGAGUGCUCCUAGGUUCUCUUCAAGUUUCCAAAAUUGAAAAACUCUAAAGAUCCUCACCCACUAGUGUAGUGAGAAGGAUGAAGGAAUAACCAAAGGGGUGAAAAGAUGAUUAGCUAAAAACCCCCUAUGGUGGCCGGCCCUUUGAGUGUUAGAGAGAUAUUUUUCUUUUUCUCUUUUGUUCUUUUAACACUUCAAAAAACCCUAAUGAAACAUUUGCUAUAAAGUUCCUUUUAUAGCCAAAAAGAAACAAGUCAACAUUUGACAUUUCUCUCCCUCCUUUGGCCGGCCCCCUUUGUGUUGUUUGGGCUUUGGGCUUUUAUUUAUUUCAAGUCAUCCAAUGCUUGAAUAAAAGCCCAAUGGGUUUAGGCCCAAUGGGCCCAAUUAAACUCGAACGUUUCUUUAAGCCCAAAAUGAUCUUAUAUCGCUUUUAUGAUUUCUUUAGACUUUCUAAUUAAUCACAACACUUAAUUAAUCCAAUUAAUUAUUUCCAUCAUCUAUUAGUUACUCACUACAAGAGUGUAUUGGUGAACAAUCGUUUUAGGUUCUAAUUAGCAAGGCAGUGAGGUGAUUGGCACCAAUCCAAUUGAUUAUAUUUAAUCCAAUCACUUAGUGAAUUAAAACUUACUUUUAAUUCACCUUCUUCUUUGACGACUACAUUUAAUCAUCUAGAAGAACUCACAAGCCAUGAGUGACAUCUAACCAUAUAUCAUGGCUACCCAAGCUAAUGUAGAAGUUGUUCGGAGAACCUAUUCAGUUGGAAUUACAAUGCAAGUCGAUCAUUCUCUAAAACAAUACUCUCAAUCACAUCAUUAGGGUAUGGAUAUAUUAUGUCAAAUCCCUAAUGUGAUUAUUCCUUCUUAUAUGAUUCAAUUGAGUCGUAUAGGAACGCUUUCCUUUAUAACGCUCAAUACUUCGACCGAAGAUUCCAGAAUCAUAUCUUAGAGUAUUCAUCCUCUCUUAACGAGGAUUAGAGAUUCCUUGUUGCGCAUUCACUUGCCUUCAUGACUAAGUGGCUUAACCCCGACUAUGCCGUGGACACCCGCGGAUGGAGUGACUUUGACAUAAUCAAAGAUCAAGUACUUAACCACAAGACAACGAUGAUGCCUCAGGUCAAAUGACUACUUACAUUAUUCCAACUAUUAGAGUUACUUGCUUGACAUGUGAGUAGACCUCCAUGCAAGUACUCUCGUUCGAUUGUGUUCAGUGAACUCAUUCCCUUAAUGAGCACCUACAUACUUGUCUUAGUGUCACUACACGAAUGGGAUGAGACUUUCCAUCCUUCUAAUUGAAGCGGACAUAGUAUGUACCGGUCUAUGCAUUGUCAGUAUCCCUCCGACAAUCCUAUGACCAGGAACCUCCUAUGACCAGGAACCUUUUGGACAUGAUGGUUAUGUGAAGAAGGUCUCUGUAGUCUAACUUCAUUAGAUUACUUCUUCAAUCGAUCCAUUGUCCAUGGAUUCACCAUUUAGGACAUAUAUCGUUUAUAGAGAUAGUCCUAAAUAGUAUCUUUGCCAUUUGAUGUAUAAUAGUCAUCUAUACAUCCAUUUAUUGUCCUGAAAGGUUUCUUCCAAAGAUUGAAUUUCAGGGCAUAUUUCCAACAAGAUUAGGGUUUGAUUAUCAAGGAAAUGGAAACAAGCUUCAGGCUUGGUUUGAGAUGUGGUGGCAAUUGCUGAUAUAUAUGUUUGGAUGCUAUGUUUAGAAUUAUUUAACUUUGCAUUGACAUGGUUAAAAUUCUAGAAAAAGAACAUGAGAUUAGUUCUUGCUAUGUUAUUCAAGAUAUGAAUUGUGAUAGCCACAACUAUUAUGUUGUAUUUUAGAAGGAUUGCUUGUUGCCUUUUGCAACAAUUUUAUUUUGUUGAAAAGAAGAAAGAAAGAUGCUAUUUGUGACAUUUGCUAUGCUAUUUGUUUCAUAUGAAAUCUAGAAAGAAAACAAAUCUACCAGAAAUUCCUCCAAUUUUUUUCGUUAGCAAAAUCAAUUCCAAAUGAAAGACUAAUGAGGCUUUCAUCCAUGAAUUACCCAAACAAAAUGAAGAAUUUUGCUCAGAUUAAGAGGAAAAAAGUCUGAGGACGAAGAAAUGGCUGACUUGAUAAAGCAGCCACCGAUGUUGUAUAGAGCUAGAGUCUUUUGCAUAUAUGCUCAGACUCGAGAGUAAAAGAUUACUUGCUUCUAGAGCACAAAAGGUCUUUACGACUCUCUAUAAAUAUUUACCCAUAUUUAUGUCAUCAUACUUAAUGAGGUUUUCAAGAUUGUAGACAUUAAAAGUAAUAUAGAGGUAAAAUCGGAAAUUACAUUAAAAGAAUUAAAAUAAAUAAAUCAGAAAUAGAGGAGUGUGGAUUGAGAUUUUUGGAGUGCCAAUAACAGCUCCCUUAUUUUAUUGUAGUUACAUAUCAAAUACUCUAAUCAAUGCACGUUAAUUUAUACUGGUCUUAGCGUAUAUCAUGUUUGUCCUUAAUUAUUUGCAAAAAAUAGUAUCAAAUACACAUGAGCUUAUUAUCUAUGUAUGAAUUCCUUGGCCAAAUACUAAAAUUUAGUGAUAACAAAGGCAUGUUGUUGGAGCUAGAGGCAUGCAUUCCCCCCACGCUGCCUCCGGAAGUGGUCACUUGUCAAGAACCCUUUAAGAUAAGAGGUUUGAAUUGAGACAAUUCGUUAAGAUAAUGAAUAUGAUACGAAAACAACACGAACACGACAAACACAACUCAUUUGUUAGGUCUAGUUCAAAUGAAGUCAUCAUAAUGAAUAAUAUUAUUCAUUACGAGGAGCGUGAAACUUAAAUGAAGAAGAAAAGAGAAAAUGAAAGAAAGAAGGGAGUUCUAAUUUUUCUUUUUCUUUUUAGUCUAUUCUUUGAUCAUCUCAUUUAUUUGUUAAAUGAUAAUGUUCAUUAAGUGUACAUUCAUGAAUUCCUACGACAAAGUGGAUCAAACAGUCAUUUAAUGGGCUUUUAAUCAUUUCAUUCACACGUUUUAUGUUAAACAAAAGUUUAUUGACAAAGUCAUCGAUAUAGUAUUAUGGAGACUUAAAAAUUGUUGGAGUUAAUUACAUUUGAUUUUGUACAUGCAGCACGUUGAGCUCACGAAUGUUAAUUAAUAAAAAAACAAAUGAAAUAUCGAAUGCUUUGACGAAGUUGAUUGAGUCGUAAAAUAUACGAUUCCUCCUACUAGUCUUCCACUCCUCCUAUAGGGUAGCUUAGUUGUAAGGAAUGGGUUUGCUUGAGAAGGGUUGUAAUUUGUUAUUUAUUUAGCAAAGAGAAGAUUUUAAUCUUUUCCCUUAAUUUUCCUUCACCAAUUACCCCAUUUAUUGCUUGUCUUCUUAUUUAUUUACAUCUUUUUUUAUUAAACAAACGAUAAAAAUUUUAAUAUACGUGGCGAUAUGUUUUCUUACUUAAAAUAAGGUAUAAGUUAUGCAUAAAGAAAGACGUAAACAUAAGAGAGAAAGAUUGUGAUUUCUUUAAAAAGAUGAUAAUGAAUUAGACGAGUCGAGUUAUACACAAAUAAAACAAAAAUCCCACCAAAAACUACCUGGAUGAUCAAUUCCAUAAUUGGCUAAGGCACAUCAUCAAGUCGAGCCGAAAGAAAAUGAACUACAAGAGAAGAAUUACAUUCCAUCCAUAAAAGUGCAAACCCUUGUCCCAAGCAAGAUUGGACUGUCCGAUAAACAUCAUGACCAAUAACCAUCAGGACUAGGAGCAGCAUCUGGGGAUCGAUGGAGAAAACAGUAAGUCGAACCUCAUCAAAAGAUGGAAUAGCUAAAAGCGAAGAAUUAUGAUCAUCAUUCACCAAGUGAGGAAUUUAACGUGAGACCAAACAUGUGUCAGUAGUAAACCCAUCAUCACGAAAGAUAUUUGAGAAAUAAUCAACCACAUGCAUGGGAUCGAAGAGUUUUAACAUUACUAACAAAAUCCGUCCCAAUUUUCAGAAAGAAAAUCUACAUUAAGGGGGUGAGGGAGUGAACUAAAUCUUACAAUAGAUUUACCAUAAUAAUAUGGUUCAACUUCGCCCUUGGCGAAAAUUGAACUUAAAACCUCUCACUUACAAGUGAAGAUGAGUACUACUAGACCGUUGUACUAAGUGAUAUGUAUAGGUUGAGCUUUUGCCAUAAAAAGUACUCAGUGUUACGAUCACCAUCCUUUAGCCAUUUCACACAAAUUUUUGCCAUAGAGUACAAUUGUUUUGAUUGAGAACUUAGACCAAAGCGCAAACCAUAACACAAGUCUAAACACAUUUUGUCUGUUGACAGCCUCCAAUAAUAGCAAGUCUAUUCUCUUUUUCUCUCAAGUCAUUCUGUGGCAUUGAGAGUGAAAACAACACUUAGGACAAAUUCGAUGUUCAACCCAUUCAAACUCUAUCCGAGUUUGACACCAACACAUUGUUUAUGGAUGAAUUAAUGAUCGAUGAAGAAGCACUAGAACAAAGUGAUGAUCAUAAAAAAGAAAAUUAAAUUCAAUAUUAAUAAGUUAAUUAUCUUGAAAUUAAUGAUUAAACAUGAUGUUAACGUGGCAGUUGCAUGCAGCAGCAAUGGGUCGGACUAACUACCAGAGUCUGAAUUUCUCUUGUUGCAUUUGCCUUCCAUUGAUGGGUACAUGGAGCGAGUGUUCUCACCUCUCCGACCACUUUGCCCAAUCAUAUAAAUAACAAUUACCUUGGGGUCAACUAUGCAUGGGUGCUUUAAUCACUUAUCAUUAAUUGGUUUUUUAUUCUCCAAAAUAUUUGUUAGGCCAAUUUCUUAACCAAAUAAUUAACCAAAGUAAAGAUCUCUAGAGAUGCAUGUGGCAUUGACUUGGGAGGGGGCCAAUCAAAUUGGUCAAUUGAAGCUAAUUGUUUAUGUAAAACUUCACUAGAUUACAAUUAUUAUCAAUUUUUUUGCUUAAUUCAAACAUUUCUUUCUUUCAAACAAGUUGAUUUUGGGAGGCGAGUGCUUGUUUUAUAGGUUUUCUUUUAAUAUAACGAUAUCUUUACACUAAAGUGUGAAGAAAUAUAUUUGUAUCGAAUUACUAUUUAUGAGUUUCGAACAUAAAAUCUAUCAUUAGUUCAAAAUUAAAGUAAGAGAUAAACAAAAGAAAUACAAAACUUUAUUAAUAAAAAAAACUGUCAAGAAAGCUACAUAAUUCGAAGAGACUACAUCUUGACCGACUUAUUUUCAAGUGAAUAACAAAACACUCUAUUUAUAAUAAACUAACUUUGAUUCUAUUGGCAAAGCCCGAAACCCAAAUAAAAAAAAAAACCUAAUUAUUAAUAUUUUUCAACAUCACAUACAAGUGGAGAAUAAUCAGACCAUACUAAUAGGUGGCAAAUAAGUUAAGUUUUACACCAACUAAUUUUUGAUUUAGUAAUAUUUGCCUCUACUUAGUUGGAAGAUAUAUUAUGUUCAACUCAUAUAAAUGGCCUAUCAUAAUAUUUAUUUAUGAUGAGUUCGAUCUAGUGGUGGUGGUACUUUUAUUAUGGCGCCUAGCCCGGCCAUUACGGUUCCUUUUUCUUGUUGGGGAAAGGCCACUACGGUUUGAAUCGGCUAGUUCUGUCGGAUUAAUGCCUACUCUAAAUUACAUUAUACGUGAAAAGAUAACAUAGUUUUAUAUACGUGAAAAAGGUAACAUGUCACAACAUUUUUCUGUGUUUGAAAAAAAGAAAAAACAACUAAGAGUAUAUUCAAAGAAGAUGUUAAAAUGUUCAAAUCAAUACUAUAGUAAAAAAAAAAAAGUAGCAACUAUGUUUUCCAGCCGAAAAUUCAAAUUUGAUGUGGCAUGACAUAGAUUCACAUCACUCAAACUUGCCGCGAAAAUUGACAGCAUCUUCAAAUCUUUUUAAAUUGAUUCUUAAAUUCAUUAUAUUAAUUGAUUAUUAUUAAUUUUUUUUAUAAUAAGUUAAUGAAAUAAAAUAAUAAUUUAAUUUGACAUAUCCAAUAAAUAUUUUUUUUUUAAAAUAGCAAAAUUACAACAUAAACUGUUAAAUAAUAAUAUAUUUUUUUUAAAUUUAACAUAUUCCUUAAAGAUGCUUUAAGAAGUAAAGUAAUACAGCAACACGCCGUAUUGUGUAGAAGUAUACUUUUGGUUUUGAGUUUUAGAAGUGGGAAAGGGAUCCUCUUCGGAUUCCUUCCAUCAAAUCCAUCAAUCCAGACCCUUAAAAUUUGAUCCAACGACUAAAGUUAUUAUAGCUUUUAAAAGGGACUCGUGUUUUUAAUCGUUGGAUCAAAUUUUAAGGACCACAAUUGGUGGAUUUGAUGAAAAUGAUCCAGAGAUAAUCCAUUUCCUUAUAAGUGUAUUAAUUGUGCGGCUUCGCAUCAGUACUAAGAUGGCCAAGAGAUUCAAGAGAAUGUAAUUUGCUUAUUUGUCGGCAGACCCGAAAAAUGAAGGUAAAAAUUGAACCCUAAAUUUGAACAUCCUGAGUUUAAUAAAUUUGAGUACUUUUCUUUUUUAAUUGGGUAUAGAUAUUUUGUCAAAAGUAAAUAAUUCAUUCAUAUUUGACUAUAAACAUUUACAUUCGAAACUUAAAUAUUAAAAACUCAUUCAAGUUCAAAUGCGCACUAAUUUGAUAUUCACGUGCCUAGAAACAUAUGCCGAGAUUGCAUGAGCCGUUUUAUUACAUACUCUAGAUGCAUAAUGAAAACUCAUCGAUACAAACUGAAUCACUCUCACAGAAUAUAAUGGACUAAAAAUAACGACAAAGUAUAAAUUGUUUUAUUAUAUAUAAUUCCGUAAUUUGUAGAGAAAGAGACUAGUUGAGCAAAACAAAGUAUAUCUCUAUUUUAGUGUCGUCUUGAGUAUAAGUUCUUUUACAAACAUAAAAUACACAAACUUAAAUAUUUCAUUAAAAAGCUUUUGUUAGUGUUUUCUUGAUCUCGUAAAUUGACAUUUUUAAUUUGAGCUCUUACAAAAACAAAAUACAAAAAUUUGAGAUUUAUGAAAAAUACAAAAAUUUGGAAAGUAAGUAUUUCAGUACAAAUUGAUAUGUAAUUCCCCAUUCACAAGAAGGAGACCAACUUGAGAAUAGGCAGCAUAUUAUUGUUAGCAUAUUCUCUCAAGUCACACCCCAUAAUAUAUCAUCUUAAUAUUUUUCUUUUUUUCCUAAUUUAAUAUUGUUUUCCUUUUAAAAGUGAAUAAUUAUUGGAAAUAUACGUCCCUCCACCCCCACCCAAGUGAAAAAAAAAAUGCAAACCAUAGGCCAAAAAGACAAAAUUCCUCAAACACUGGAAAUUAAAUAAUUUCUUCCCCUUUUUUAUAUUCACAAUAAUUACCAUAUAAAAAUUCCAAAAUAAAAAUGGUAAAUCAUGUGUUGACUCGUCGGGUCACGAAUUUUUUGAGAAAAUUAAAACAAAAAAUAAAAAAAGAAGAGAAAUUUCAAAAUCAGCAAGAGAAAUCAGAUUUUCUUUAUUUAAAUAUAAAAUAAAUGUGUAUCUAUAUAUCAACAGAUGAGGCAUUAUUAUUAAUUAUUGUUAAUAUUGUUUUUUUUUUUUGUGUGGAUACAGAAGCGGAAGCUGUCAUUGCCUUUCUCUGUGUUUCCUGAGAAUCUGAGAAAGACUCUUUCUCCCUCUGUCUGCUUUGCUUGAUAAGCAAAACACAAAGUCAGAGACUUUCAGAGAGAGAGAGAGAGAGAGAGAGAGAGAGAGAGGAGAGAGAAAGAUAGUUUCUUUGUUCUUCCAGCAUCUUAGCUUUUUUGUUUGUAAUUCUAGGUUCCCUUUUGCUCUUUCAAAACGUUGUUGUACUCUGAAUUUCAGAAACAUAUAUGUACAUACAUAUAUAUAAUUAUUGACUUUCCGUCUCUCAUUGUGUACGUUUAUAUAUAUAUAUAUGUAUAUGUAUAUGUGCUGUGUGUACAAAAUUUGAGGUUUUUGGAGCUUUUGAGCAGUGAAGGGGGUUGGGUUUUGAAAUUCAAGUGCUAAACAGGUUUUGAAAGCAAGAAGCUUUUUUGCCCGUGCUUUUUGAGGCUCGGGUUGAUCCGAAAUCAUGAACUCCGGGACAGGGCAACUCCCUCCUAAUCGGGUCGACCCGGAACAACCCAGUUCCUGCUUUUUGCAGAAGUUCAAGCUCUACGAAACCCGCUCGGUACUAGAUUUUUGCUAAAUAUAAUGUUUUCUGUAUAUGCUUUGAAUUGAACGUGUCUUGUUUUUUAAGGUUUGAUCUGCUUUUGAUUUGAAGGAAUGCAUAACAUGAAUCCUGUUAAAUUGCUAAUGUUAGUUUUGUGAAGCUGGAGACUUGAAGGACAAAUAUUUGAGAUGUGAACAGUUUUCAAGUUUUGAUUUUGAUUGUUCAGAACUUAACUUUAGUCAACUUUAUGAUUUGGGUUUAUGAGUAUUAUUUAGUUUGAGUUCGUAUUCAUCAAAUUUUGUUGAUGCGGAUUUCUUGAUGUGUUUUGGUAUUGAAUCUGCUAGUUUUUUUGUGCUGCUUCAGGAGUCUUUGUAAAUCUUGACCCACUGUCAAUCUAAUUUGAUUCGUUAUUGAAAAUUCCGGCAUUGAAGCUUGAAUAUAUUGCUAAUGAUAUCUUUCCAUUCCUGUUUGAUUCCGGAAUCUCAUGUAUUUUCAAAUCUUUCGGAUAGAAACUGGAUGUUGAUGGAUUUGGUUGUUGAAAGCUGUCUGUUUUGGUGCUCUCAUUUUAGGAAUAUAGAAAAAGUAGUGUAAAUUCGUUGCUUCGUUUCUUUGUUUCACCUCUUUGUUGUGCCAAUUGUUGAGACUACCGAUUAUUAAUGACGUUUUGUAUGCAACAGAAUUUUUAUUUGAUAGGAAGAGACAAAUGCAGAACCUUUUGGAGGGUUCUAAAGAUUGACAGAUUGGAUCCAUCUGAGUUAAACAUUCUUGAAGAUUCUGCAACAUACUCGGAUAAUGAGUGCUACGACCUCCUGAAACGGAUAGAUGAAGGAAACAAGUCAAUGGGUGGACUUAAACUUAUCACCAUUUGUUAUGGAAUUGUUGGUAGGACUUCUUUGCAUGGUUUUAUACCUUUUCACAUCUUUUGGUUUUAAUUUAAAUUUGAAGAUAUUUUCUUCUGAUUUUAGGGUUCGUGAAAUUUCUGGGACCUUAUUACAUGAUAAUUAUUACAAAAAGAAGGAAAAUUGGCACUAUUUGUGGCCAUACGAUCUAUGCAAUUUCCAAGAGCGAGAUGAUUCCAGUUCCAAAUCCCACCGUGCGGUCAAAAUUGGCCAAUUCUAAGAAUGAUGAGAACAGGUCUUUUGUCCAUUUUGCAUGUAAAUGUAAUAUGUACUUGGUACUUUUAAAGCGAUUUAAGGGAGUAGUAUUCAGAGUUUUAAAUUGCCAAUUUGUAUUUCUAUAAGAAUUGUGCCAUGGUGUUACGUUAUUUAGGUUUCAAUUAACUUGGCUAGUAUAGUAGUAGAAAGUUCUUCACUGUGGAGGUAAUCUCUGUGCUCCAUUGUUAAUAGUUCAUACACCCUUCAAUGCGAUAUUAAUGGUGUGGAACUUCUCAAUUCAGACCUGGCUCCUGUUCUUCUGCUACCUUAGUUUGUCUUUUGCUAAGUUAAGGCAAAUAAUGAAUCUUGUGGACUAUUAAUUUGGCAUAUACGAAAUCUUCGUUGUUAGAUCCUUCAUUGUUAAUACUGCUUUUUAGGGGCUAUUUCCACUUGCCUUUCCAGUCCAUUUCCUGCAAAUAUGCAGGGGCAAACUUCAUUGCCAUUGUGAUGUAAAUGUAAUGAGGCCAGGUAUCAUCAGGUUUUCACGGGGAAAACCACUUUCUUUCCUUUUCUCCUUUUUCCCCCUUUCUGGUUAAUAUCUUUACUUCAAAUAUUUGUUUCAUCAGUAUAUUUUCGCUUUUUUUUUUUUAUUUUUUUUAAAUUAUAAAGUUAAUUAUCGAUAUACAUUAUUCCUCAUUUUCCUUUUCUUGUUGAAAUAGAUACAAGAAGCUCCUAUGCACGGUGGACCUCACAAAGGACUUCUUUUUCAGCUAUUCAUACAAUAUUAUGUCUAGUCUUCAAAAGAAUAUAUGUGACAGGAAGACAGGAUCGUCCCUUUAUGAAACAAUGUUUGUUUGGAAUGAGUAUUUGACACAUGGAAUCCGAUAUUGUCUGAAGAAUACUCUCUGGACAGUUGCUUUAGUGUAUGGAUUCUUUAAACAGGUAAGAACGCCAAAUCCAUCAUUGGCACUGCUUCAAACUAGAAAUUUAAUGAUCGCUUGCUGGAAUUUUGUUUUGCAUUUAGUUCUAAGCUUUUAUUCCUUUAUGUGAUGUGGCUUUUCUAACUGUUCAAAGUAAUCUUGGUUGCUGUUAUGAUAUGUAGUGAUUAAUGCAAAAUUUCUUCCUUAAUAGUUUUUCUUAAAAAAACUUUAUGCGCAUUGUUUGGUACAUUUUUUGGUAAUAUUUUUGGCUUCGUGCUUUGGUAUCCAGGUCAAUCUUUCUGUAUCUGGCAGGGAUUUCAAGUUGACCCUCAUUGCCAGACGUUCACGUCACUUUGCUGGCACCAGGUUUGGACACUGCUAUUGCCUGUUUUCUGUAUUAGUUAAUGGUUACUGCUAAGUUCCUUACAAAUAUACAUUUGCAUUCCCGUGUGUGCAGAUAUCUAAAGCGAGGUGUAAAUGAGAAAGGUAAAGUAGCUAAUGAUGUUGAGACAGAGCAGCUUGUUAUUGAAGGUGCUCCUGAAGGACACCCAGUACGAAUAAGUUCUGUUGUGCAGCACCGAGGAUCAAUUCCCCUUUUCUGGUCCCAGGAAACCUCUCGACUAAAUAUCAAACCUGACAUAAUACGUAUGACUCCGGCGAACCCACUUGUUUUAUUCUCUGUGGUGGUUCUCAUAUAUUAGCCGACCCCACUUAGUGGGAAAAGGCUUUGUUGUUGUUGUUGUUGUUGUUGGUUCUCAUAUAUUCCACUGAUGUUUUAUCUUUUGCCAGUAUCAAGGAAGGAUCAUAACUACGAGGCCACAAGACUUCAUUUUGAAAAUCUUGUCCAGAGAUAUGGAGACCCAAUAAUUAUUUUGAAUCUGAUUAAGGUAGCACUUGUUUGUUUUACAGGCAUCGAUGCUUCUAGUCUUGCUAUCCUUGUAUAUAAAUUUUAAACUAAAUCUGAUCAUCCUUCCAACUCUAUUCUCAUAUUUUCUCCUCUAAUUGAUCGUUCUUUUCAGACAAAUGAGAAGAAGCCUCGAGAAACAAUUCUCCAUGCAGAGUUUUCACAUGCCAUCAGAUUUAUCAAUAGGAGUUUACCAAAAGAGAGUCGCCUGAGGUUUCUCCAUUGGGAUCUGCACAAACAUGCCAGAAGGUACUUGACUUUCCCUUUUCCUAUUAUAGGUAGAGAGAACGUCUUUAGUUAAAAGUAUGGUUGGGAUUAAUUGAACUAUAUCAUUUACAGCAAAGCUACCAAUGUAUUGGGACAUCUCGGAAAAGUUGCUACGUAUGCAUUGGGAUUAACCAGAAUCUUCUAUUGUCAAGUAAACCCCAAUUUAAGGCCUGAGGGAUUACCUGGCUUUGAGUAAGUUCUUAUCAAGACUCAAGAUAUUGCUUUUUCAGCUUGGUAUUCCUUGUUAUAGGCUUUGUUGUUCAGUUUUAUAUAUCAUUAUAUACAAUAGUAGGCAUUUUGAAGUAUUGUGUGCACAAAAGCAAUUGCAAGCUAUUUACAAUGCUGACAAUUUUGAUGCGAUGCAGGAAAAAUGAUGAUGCCAAUGACUGCUUGUCACAUAGCUGUUCAAGUAAAGAUGAGGAUGCUGAUAGCCGAGAAACAGAAAUUAGCAAUGGUAGUGAUGGUGACGAUGCAAGCAUGAAUUGCAAUAUCACAACCAGGAUGUUUCAGAAAGGAGUCCUGAGGACCAAUUGCAUAGACUGUUUAGAUCGCACAAAUGUGGCCCAAUAUUCUUAUGGGCUAGUUGCUCUUGGACAUCAGCUGCAUGCUUUAGGAUUUAUAGAAUCUCCGGAUAUUGAUCUGGAUAACCCUCUGGCUGAGGACUUGAUGAGAGUUUAUGAGUCAAUGGGUGACAUACUUGCACUACAAUAUGGCGGUUCUCCAGCACAUAAUAAGGUAACUUAAAAUACAUGAUUCUAGAUCUCAACUUCCACUGCAGGUAUCCGGUAAAUAAAAGUAACGUAAUGGAUUAAAACUGGGAAGAUGGAAGUAGUAAAUUUAACUAAAUUACCUUGAAAUCAUUUAUGUAUCUUAUAUUUGUUUAUUGGUGGAUCCUCCCCUGUGAUAUUCUGGUUACACGUUCCAGGGUUUUAAGGUUGCUAUGCCUUUUCCCAAUACCUUGGCCCUAUAAAUGGUCAUAUUGUGUUGGUUGAUUUUUAUGUUUUUUGUUGAUCUGAAACAGAUAUUCUCUGAGACUAGAGGCCAGUGGAAGGCAGCAACACAGUCCCAGGAGUUCUUUAGAACUAUACAGCGGUUCUACAGUAAUGCUUACGUGGAUGGUGUGAAACAAGAUGCUAUUAAUGUGUAAGUCAAAUGAUGCCACUCUUAUACUUGGUCCAUCUGCAUUUGAGUAAUGUAAGCUAACAGGAGCACUAUUUCACUGUAUAAUUCUGCAGAUUCCUAGGUUACUUUCAACCACAACCGGGUAAACCACAACUGUGGGAAUUGAAUUCGGAUCAGCAAUACAAUGUUGGGAGGUAUGACCCUAAUUUUGCUAAUGACAAUGCUAUGUGUUUGUUAUUUGCAGUUGAAAUAGGGAGACCACCAUUGUAAAAAGAAAAUAUACACACACGUAUCCAUAUGUCAAUGUUUUUCUUUUGUUGGAGAAUAGUGUUCCACAUGGGUGGGAGAAGGAGGUUAGUUGGGGCAAUACUGGUAUUUUGGUGGUGGGUUAUGAUGGGCCUAAAACGUUUUUCACUUUUAAGUUCAAGAUAUCUGAUAUCUCGGUGGAUGAUAUUUAGGGUGACAAUAAUUUUCAGCUUAUGACUCUAUUAGAAAGAUGAGUAGAUUAAUAUUAUGGUUUCUUAUUAGCAGAAAAGAAGAAGAAAAAGAAAAAGAAAAAAAUCAAUAUUGUGGUUUCUGUUUGUUUGAUAUUAUCACAAGGAAUAAAUAGCCUAUGACUUGACUUGAUCUACAUAUGACAUUCAAGAUGACUUUCUAUGUAUUUAGGUCGUUUAUCAAAAGGUCACUAUCCGAGGGCCAUAUUCUCGGUGAAAGUGAUUCACCUAUGGCAAGCACAGAUGUUGGGUACAAUCAACCUUUGUCUGAAAUCGCACAAGGAAGUAACAGAGCAAUUUCAGAGUCAGCACCAGCAAUCUCAACUUGCGAAAGUGAGAUAUCCUAUUGCAGGUAUGCUUGCAUUGCAAUUCAUAUACUCGUUUACCAAUAAAAGCUGUUGUAACAAUAUCAGGUUUCUAAUGGCCAAAGAAAAACAUUCUAGUUUUUCUAAGCCAAUAAAUUUGAUGGUUGUUCUAUCUUUAGGCCUACAAUAAUUCCUUUCUUCCGGUCUAAUAAUCGCUGUUGUAGGUUUACCCCCUCAAUGCCUUGCAAGCAGCUUUUUGGUGGGUUGCAAGAAGACGAAUGUCUCCAGAGUGAUCAUAUCAUUUAUGAUGAACACGAUGAUGAUUGCAACUUGUCAAAUUUUCUGGAUGUGGAUUGGUUGUCCACAUCAGGAAAUUCCUGUGAAGAAGAAUGUGGAAGGUACUUAUUCCUACCCUCUAAAAAAUGCAUGCAGAUUAGACUUGGCAAUAUAUCAUGUGAACUUUCUAGUUAUGAGAACUGACAAUUGAUUCGCAAUAGGUCUAUGACCAGCCUUUCCUCGGAGAAUCUUGUGAAUGGACCAAAGAUUGAAACGAGCACAUCUGCAAGUGAAUCUGGAUCCACGAGAAAGGUAAACUACUUGCUGGGAUUGGCACGAAAUAUUGAAAUAGUGAAAAAGUGUACCAUUUGCUUUAAUAUAAAAAAGAUUAACAGAUUUCCUGAUGAAAAGACGGAAGAUUAGUUGGUUAUACCAUUCUACUGCCCUUACAUAAGUAGAACUCUGUCGUAGCAUCUUUUUCUCAGUAGUGACCAAGUGGCGAUGGCUAGUUUGCUUAAUAAAGUUGGAGGAAAAGAGUUGGACCUUGGACUUUAUCCAUUGACGUUGCGUAUUAUUCAAAUUUUAGUGUUAAUUGGUUUCUAUCGCUGCAGAACUGUUGCCUUCAUAAGAUGUUUUAUAGACUUCCAUAUCCUGUUAGACUUGUCAUCUUUGUACUCCCUAUGUUAGAGCAGUAAACCAAAUUGUUUAACGUCUUUUAUUUUUCGUGAUUUAUUAGGGAAAAGAGCAAUACGAAUCAGAGGUCAGUCGUGAUAAUGUGACACCCACAUAUUCAGAGAGCUUCAUGGACUGGGUAGCUAAUGGGGAGUUGCUGUUUCUUUGAAGCUAACUAAAAGGUUUUGCCUCAUAACUUUAACUCAACCCGUCCGAAGGAUUUGGGUUCUUGUACAGAAAAUAAAUGGUAAGAAUGUCACCAACCAAAAGAACAUAGUACUGGGAUUUGCUGAGAAAUUGAUUCUUCAAGGUGAAAACUAAUUCUUGGGUAGACUUUACAGUUUACCUUGUCAUAUGAUCCAUUGUCAUGAUAGGGGAAGUAGCAAUAAGCAACCCGUAUAGUUCUCAACUCCGCCGCUUCUUGUAGGUUCUAAUAUCUCUAAAAAUGAUAUACUUGUGAAUUUUAUUAGAUAGCAACAGAUUUCCUCCUCUCAAUUCAAUAUGCAGGUUCAGAUUUGGUUUCAUUUCAUUUUCUUUCUCAUGUUUAUUUAUCGAGCAAACUUUGUAUUACCCAUCUGUGCACAUCAGCGCUGAUGUUCAUAUCAUGUAGUGUCAGGGAAGUGAUUUUCACACACCCCAUUUUCUCCCUACGCACUUUCUUUAAUUCCGCUCGAUUUAUUCAUUCUAAAGGUGAGGGAAAAAAGAAGGAAGGUGCGCAGAAGGAGAAAUGGAUGUCUGAAAUCAUUUUCCAAUAUUUAUAUCCUUGAAAAGUAAAAUGCUAUUGGACUGCAUCUACACUUGUAUGCGAAUGUCAAGUAAAGUUACAGGGCAUCGGUUGGAAAUGUUAAGAAAAGCAAAUAGAGUUUCGAAGCAAGCGAAGUGAAGCUGAAACGUUGAUCGGAUUGGAUAGCUCUUCGUCGACCUACUCCCGCGCAUCAAAUUCCGACCAACAACCUUUGGAGGUAUAGUUGUGUGGUUUAAGGCAUUGGUUUGCUAAGUUGGCACACUAGCAGAUUGUGUCCCGGUUCAACCCCAUUUCCGAGUAGUCUGCAACAUUUGAGAGUGCUUCUUUCUUUUCAUUGUUUUUUUUUUUGUUAGAAGGGGAUGGUCGUUUCAUGACGGGUUGGGCACGUUGCAAGGUUAACCCGAUCCUAAUCAUCAUUUACGGGUCGGGUUAAACUCAACCCAACCUGUGGGUGAACUUGGGUUAAACUUGGGGUUGCCCAAUUUUAUCACAGGGUGGAUAAUAAAUGGAUUCAACACAAUCGUGAUAAUUGGGGUUAACUUCCUUCCAAAAAGGAUGGCUCAUCCAAAACUAAGGGCUCGUUUGGAAGUAUAUUAAAAUAGUUAAAAACGUUUUUGAUGAAAUGGUUUUGGGAUAAACACUUGGAAGUGCUUUGGAAACUCAAAAAUAUUUUCUUUAAAAACUAUUUCAGUAAUUUUAAAAGCAUUUCUAAAGAAACCCUAACAAACUGAACAAGUUAUAAAAUGAUGAGUCACCAACUACCUUGAAGAGUUGCAAUUGAGAAAAAAGGAACGCGAAAAAAGAAAAAAAAGAAAAGAUAAAGAGUCCUGCAACCUAACCCAAAUUGCUGCUCAUAAACAUGUUGUAGUAAGAAAAAAAUUGGAUAAUUCACAAAGUCCUGCAACCUAACACAUCGCUAAAUAUUACCCAAGUCUCGUAUCAAGCAAACAACACGCAUGAAGAGUUUUUCAUCAUAAAAUUAAUUGGCAAUACAGAGAUGUUCAACAUCAAUCCACACUUAAAAUGCAUGCAAGGUCCUUUGUUUUUCCGACGUGGCAUUCAUGCCCUCGACAAAAACAUUGAGCAAGACAAUCCACAGUUUUGAGUGUCCUUUCAUGGCAGGGAAACCAACUCUUAUGCAAAGAGACGUUUACGCAGGCAAACGGCGACGGUAGCGGGUGCAGUAGUGGUGCAAUAGCAAGGGAGUGACUGUCGAAAAAUCACAUAUAAAAUGCUUAAACAAGGUUGGCGCAGAUAGCACAGUUGAUUAUUAUUUGCAACAAUAUAAGAUGGUUAAGAAAGCAUAUAUAUUAAUACGGAUAACAAUGUCAACAUCUCCAACAAAACUCAAUUCUACAGCUUAACAGUCUAAAAACCAAUCCAUUUUUCAGAAAUGGAAUCAUAAUCCCUUUUCUAAACCCAAAAAAGAAGAAAUCUAGCCGAUUACAAAAUGAUUCAACACAUUGUGGUGACCAAAAUUUCCUUAUUCCCCCCAGCCGGUAGGAGCGGGAACUCCACCUUCAACAAUGGGGGCAGUAGCCAGAGCCUGUGGUGGUGGAACAGCCGAAUCCCAUCCAUCU